UUUUUUUUUUUUUUUUUUUUUUUUAUGAUUAGAGCUGGACCACAAUCUACUUAUAUUCAAUUCUUGGAUGCGUGAAUUAAGUUUUUUAGUUUGAAAAUAAAAUUAUAUUUAAUAUUUUUAAUUAUUGUAAUAUACUAAUAUCAAAAUUAAAUUUAAAAAAUAAAAAAAUUAUUUUAAUAAUAAUAAUAAUAUAUAUAUUUUAUAUAUUUCUAAAUAAAAAAUAAAUUUUAUUAUAUUUUAAAUUGGUGUUUAGAGCCAAAUAAUCUUUGGUAAUUCUAAUCAUAGGAAUUUUUUUUUAUUUUUAUAUAUUUAUUAAAAAUAAAAUAAAUUAAUAAUUUUUUAAUAAUUUUAAAUAAUUUUAAUGCGUUGAUUUUAAAAAUAUUAUUUUAAUAUAUUUUUAAAUAAAAAAUAUUUUAAAAACAUCAUUAAAUAUAACAUCAUGCAUACACUAGGUAGCAUGCAGUUUUGUCUGGUAACUAGUUAAUGCAGCCAUCUACCUGAGAGGAACUUGUUGUAGCACAAUUAUAAAAUGACAAAUUAAAAUAUUUUAAAAUUGAAAUAUAUUUUUUCAAUUAAAAAAUAAAACUUUCAAGUAUAAAGCGGUGACAGUGUAGACUAGCAAGAAGGGGUGACAAAACUUUCCUAUCUCUAGGCGUUAUAGCGAAUUUGAUUCUAGUUAAGAAUGUUUUGUUUUCUUUAAUAUAUACAGUCAAGUUUUUAAAGAUAAAAAAAUUAUAUUGUAUUUUUAUAAAAUAAAAUUUAAAAAUAUAUCUUAGCAUGUAUUUUUUUGUUUUAAUAAUUAGUUUAUUAAAACCAUAAAAACUAGGCUAAAAUUUCAAAAAAUAUACAAAAUUUUGCUUUCUUUUAAUAUUGAAGAUUACAAAUUUAUAUAUAAGAUGUAUUCUUAAUAUUAAAUAAAAGUUCGUUCUUUUUAUUGACAUUAGAGCAGUUAACUUUUAUAUGAUAAAAUAAGAAUCUCCUUAUCGAGAAGGACUUUUCUUAAAUCUUAGACAAAUCAACAACUAGAAAACAUAACAAUACCUGAGUUUUUAUUAGACAAUCAAACAAUGCAGUUUACCUUAGAUAAAACAUAUUUGGGAUGUUAAUACCAUUUUUUUACGCAACCAGUCCCCGUAGUCGAUCUCUGAUACCAAUUAGGAUUUCUAAUGAUCAAAAUAUUAGGUAGCGAUUCUCAUUUCCUCUUUCCUCUAAUAAAAGACAUUUUAAUAUUCUGUUCAAAUUAAAAAAAAUAAUAGAUUUACUUACUUAAAAUUAAAAAUUUGCAAUACAAGUGCUACUAUGACUGAAAAGAUUAAAGAAUAAUGAAUUGUGUUGAGAUGAACGAUGAUGUUUGGGGGUGGAGGGCUAGUUGUUUGUAAUGGAGGGUUGUUUAGAUGCAGAGGGGAAGGAAAAAAAAAAGAAAUAGAGGAGGAGAGGGUUAUUUGCUUAAGUCAGGGAAAAAAAUUCAAAAGUAGCCAAGUAAAUGCUAAAUCACUAUUUUUUUUUUAAAUCAUUGAGAGUAUAUUGAAAAGGCUAUAAAGUUAAUAUUCAAAGCAUAAAAUAGAAACAUGACAAAAAAGAAAGAAGAAAAAAGGAAUAGACUUGAAAAAAAAAUUAAAAAAAUUAAAAUAUUUCUACUAUAACAAAAAACAAAGAGACUACCUUAGAUUUCUUAUUACACCAUAAUUUGAUGUCAUCAUAAGAUUUUAAGAGGUCAUUUCCUGUAUAAGUGAAGUUUGAAUCCAGAAUAUGCAACCAAAUAGCAACCCGAUAAAGGAUGGUGAAGAAACAAUCAAACAAGUUUAUAGUUCCCUCCUCAAAAACAAUUUUGUUCCUCAGCAACCAAAUACCCCUAGUAGUACCACUAGAAAUUAGUCUCCAAGCUAAUCUUUGAAAUUUGCCUUGCACCAUUCUGGGUCAUUGUAGAAGCAGCGAGUCUAGUAUGCUUGGUAAAUAACAUUGGAUACCCCACUAAUCCAAAACUUUUAUCCAAACACUCCUAGAAAAGUUACAAUGUAUAAAAAGGUGCUUUGAAGUUUUCAAAUUUAAGCUGCAAAAGACACACGAAGCUUGUGUGGCAGGUAAAACAUUCCGUUGAUGGAGAAAAGGUCUUAUACUAACUUUGUCCUGGACUGCCAACCAGAGAAAUACUUGAACUUUUGGAGGGGCCUCUUUAAUCCAAACAUUGGCUUCAAAAACUCUAUCAUUAGCAGAGGAGGUACUAUCAAUUAGGGUGCAACAGGACUUAACUGAAAAGCUUCCAUCAGAAUUACAUGACCAUAAAAUGCUAAAUCACUAGUAAAGUUAAUCAUUCAGAAAUAUUUAUGGACCAAGAAAUCUUUGCACGGUCUAAUUCUGGAACCAUACCAUGUAGCAUUCAAGAGUCUUUUUUUUUUGUUGUAUUUUUUUUUGAAAUAUAGCUAGAAAAGAUAAAAAAAAUUAAAAAAAUAAAACACUUUGAUUUAAUAUUUUAUAACCAUUGAUAGAAAUAGUGGUUGUAAAUAAUCAUUAUUUUUUAUUAACGGUUAUGAACAUAAGCUAACAUGAUAAAUAAUAAAAUCAUUUUUUUAGUAUUAAAAUAUGGAUGGUCAAAUAUUUUAUAUUUACUUUUUUUUUGUUAACUUUCUCUUUCCUUUCAUAUUAUAAUUGAAAGAUUAAACAAAAGAAAGCAGGGUAAAUGGAAUUCUGUAGAUACACUUUUUAAAGGGCGCGUUGACAUCCUUUUUUCACUGUUUAUAUUUUUUUAUAAUAUUUUUUUUAUUUGAUUUUUUUUGUUUUUUGUUUUUUUUUGUAUUUUAUUAUUUUUUGUGCGGGACCAAAAAUGGGUUACAACAUAUCCUAUGAAAAUACAUUGUUUACUUCUGAAAGCUAAUUUAUGAUCUUCAUAUGGUCUGAGAUAAGGGUAACAGGCACAACCAAAGGUUCGAAGUUCAGAAUAACUAGGCAUAGUUUUAUGAAGGACAAAGUAUGGUUAUAAUCUUUUAAGAACUUUGGUUGGUAAGCGAUUGAUCAAGUAUAUUGAUGUUAAGAAAGCAUCUACCCAGUAACAAUUAGGAAGACCGGCUUUUGCUAAAAAAGUUAACCCCAUUUCUUGAAUUUGUCUAUGUUUUUGUUCAGCUAUACCAUUUUGCAGAGAUGUAUAAGGACAUGUUAAUCGAUGAAAAAUACCAUUAUUUGUUAAAAAUAUUUGAAAAUCCUUAGAUAAAUAUUCUCCGCCAUUAUCAAAUUGCAAUUGCUGAAUUGAACAAGAAAAUAAAUUUUUAACAAGAGCUUUAUAUUUUUGAAAAAUUGAAAAAACAUCACUUUUGAAAUGCAUGGUAUACAUCCAUGUAAGACGACUGAAGUCGUCAACAAAUAAAACAUAAUAGCGACAACCUCUAACUGAAGUGAUAGGAUAUACUCAUACAUCAGUGUGGAUUAAAGCUAAAGGUCUUGUGGAUUGUCUGUUGGGGUCAUUAAAAGGUAAUCUCUUAGCUUUUCCUAGUUGGCAAGAACAACAGAUACUAGACCUUUUUUGCUGGCCUUUUAUUUGCAAGAAAGAAGACAAAUACUCUAGUAUAUAAUCGGCAGGAUGACCAAGGCAAUCAUGCCAUUGAUCCCUGGUGGCUUUUGUUCCUAACUUGGAAGUUAGACAACAAAAUUUAGUGAUGUAAUUCUUGUUCCCGUUGAUUGGAUAGAGUCCAUCCUUAACCAGCUCGUAGAGCAGUAGUUUGUCUAUCUUGUUUUCCUUAACACAAAAAUCAAUCCCAGUAAAAAUAAAAUAGUAGUCAUUAUCAAGGUAAAGUUGGUUAAUGGAUAACAGAUUGGUUGCAGCUUGAGGACAAUGAAAUACUUUAUUUAGUUGAAAAGAAGUAUGAUCUGUAUGUAGAGAAGAAAAGCCAGUGUUUUUUAUUAUCAAACCCAAACCAUUGCCUACUUAGACAGUUUUAAGAUCAUCAUAUGGUUGAAGAGUUGUUAAAUUUGCUACAUUGGCAGUAAUGUGAGCAUUAGCCCCACUGUCCGCAUACCAAGUUUACUGUUCAAAGGUGUUAUUGGCUUCAACAGCCAUGACUGCUAACUCAGAAGGUGGUCUCCUGCUUUAGAAAGAAAAAUUAAAGCGUUGGAAACAAUCUAAAACAACAUGACCGUGCUUAUCACAAAUCUGACAUUUUGGUCGUUCAUGUGGAGUUGCACGAUCAUUGUUGAAGUGAAGUUUGGGAGGGCCACGAGGCUUUGCUAAUGCAGCAAUUUGUUGAAAUUUUGUAACAGUACCUGCAGGCUUCCUUUUUGGAUAAUUAGAGUGCUUGGCAACAAAUGCAAAAUUCUAAUUUUGCAUCAGAAUAGGUGCUUCAACUAAUGAUUCAAAACUUAAAAUUUCAGAUUGAAAAUCAUCAAGAGACAAUUCCUUAUCCCUACAAGCAAAAUUGUAAGAUGUAAUGAAUGGAGUAAAGGUGGCAUGAAGACCAUAAAGUAAAAAUGUGAUGAAGUCCUUAUCAUCCACAGGUUGGCCUGCAACAGCAAGAUGAUCAGCCAAUUGCUUAGCAUCUUCAAGGAAUGUGGAAUAUAAUCAAUUUCCUUGAACGAUAGUUUGAAGUUGUCUCUUAAGAAGAGCAAUACGGGACCUUGGGGUAGCUGGAAUUCGAGUCUGAAGAGAAUCCCAAACUUGUUUGGAUGUUUUCAGGCUAAAGACAGUAGAUAUCAGCUUCUUAGAAAUAGAGGCUAGCAACCAGUUUAAAACAAAAUUGUCUUUUCUGAACCAAAUUGAAUAAGAAAUUUGGAUGGUGCUUCUUCAUAAUUGUCAAUCAUACCAUUUAGAUCAUGACUUUGAAGAAAAACCUGAAACUGAACACUCCAUGUCAAGUAAUUGUGUCCUUCAAGUUUUUUGCUGACGGGUUGUGAGAUGGACUGAAUAUGUUGAGUAGAAGGAGAGGAAAAAUGUAUGGGAUUAGAGGAAGUCAUGGAAUCUGUUGAAUAUAGUAUGAAUGAAGAGAAUAAGAAAGAUUUUUGUGUGGAAGAUGUUGGAACGAAUGAGGCGUUUGCCUAUUGCUCUGAUAUCAUGAAAAAUUAAACAAAAGAAAGGAGGGUAAAUGGAAUUAUGCAGAUACACUUUGUAAAGGAAUGACUUGAUUACUCUUCUUUCUAUUUAUUCGUAUAUAUAUAGAUUUACACAGAUAACAAAUUAAUAAUUGAGUAACUGAAGGAGAAUAAACUGGAGAUUACAAGCUAUUUGAAUUUCAAGCUAGCCAAACUAGCGAUUCUACAGGCUGCUAGUUGACAGUAGAAUCUUUGGAAACCUCUCCUGAUCUGUUGGCAGCCAACAGUGAGAUCUUCUCCUGAUUUGUUGGCAGAUGUUGAUACUUUAAUAAUAAUAACUAUGGAAACCCUAACAUGAAACCCUAGAAAACAUAUAUAGGGACUAAAAAAAAACUUUGGGAAUAAACUAUAAUUUUCCAUGCUUCUUAAACAAUAAAAAAAAGGUUUUUUUUUGUUUGUGUUAUACUCGGUCAGCGCUGUAUAUAAUUUUUUAAAUUGAUAAGAUUAAAUGAAGUUUUAUAAAAUUGAUGAUCAAUUUAAUGCCAUAAUAGAUUUUUUAUAUCAUGAAUACAGCACCACAUGCAAACCAAACCCAACUAUCAUGUUAAAAUUAUCUGAAGAGAAUGAAAUUAAAAAAAUAAUAAUUAUAAAAUGAAUAAUUGAUUAAGGAUAAAAAAAAACAAGUCGGAAUUAGAUGCACUGACUGCGUAUAGGAUAAUUGUGCAUAAUAGCUUGAUUUUCUAUCACUGUCACUGCAUAAGUUCCAGCUUUUCUGUUCAAAGAAUUUCAGAUCUUUUGUCCAUGUAUUUGACGUUAAAAGUUAAUCAAUGGCUACAGGAAAAGAUUAUAUAUAUUAUGUAUGUGAUGAUUCACAAAAAAACCCAAUCCAGCAUAGUUCAAUUAAUAAUUGUUGCAUGCAGAUAUGAUAUAUUGAUUGCUAGUUGAAUUAGAGUAUUUUGCUUUCGAUAACUUUAGUGGAUUUACUUUUCUCCUUGCAUGCAUUGUUAAUUAACUUGGGCUCAAAAUAACUAGAUAUAUAAAAAGUUUUAUAAAAACCCAUAAAUCUAAAAUAAAGUUUUUAAAAAACCUAUGAAAAAUCACUAAAAUCCCAUAAAAACUCAAAAAAAGCAAAACAAGUUUUGCUAAUUGUCGCACGUGCGCGACGUCGCGGCGAUCGUCCACCCUCGAAUGUGUGAUGGGGGGGUAUAUAUAUCUGGUCAAUAUGGUGAGACAAGGAGUUCUUUGUCUCUUAGCAGUGAGAAAUGGUGUGGGAGUCGCCACCUAGUAUUUUGGUCACUAGGAACCCUAACUGGUCUCAGAGAUUGGGCACGGGGACUGGUUGCGUAAAGGGAAGGUAUGAGCACCCCAAAUACGCCCUACCUAAGGUAAGCUGCAUUGUUUAUUUGUCUGAUAAAAUUCAAGGUCUCGCUGUGUUUCCUAGUUGCCGGUCCGUCUAUGGUUCAAGAAAAGUCCUCAUCAAUAAGGAGGUCGUUAUCUUAUCGGGUAAAAACCUAACCGUUCUAACGUCUAUGUAUGUUGGUUCGUCUAUGGUUCAAGAAAAGUCCUCCUCAAUAAGGAGGUCCUUAUCUUAUCGGGUAAAACCUAACCGUUCUAAUGUCUAUGUAAAAAAAGCUAUAUUUUUAAUAUCAGGAAUACAUUUUACGUAUAAUUUCUUAAUCCCAAAUACUAAAAGAAGACAAAAAGAUUUUUUUAGAAUUUUUGAAAUAUUGGCCUAGUUCUCGUGGCUUGAAUAAACUGGUUAUUAAAGCCAAAAUGCAUGCUAAUACAUAUAUUGAUUUUUGAAAUUUCCUUUGUUAUAUGAAAAAGAUGAUGUUAUAAUAUUUAUAUAUAUAUAUAUGUUGGAGAGACUAGGCCGUAUUUUAAAACAAAACAUUUUUUAAAAUAUAUAUUUUUGUACGUUUUGACGCAAAUCGGGUAUUUUAAUACUGGGUUUGUAUCCUUACGGUAUAAAAAUACAACCAAAUAUUAAUCCACUUUGAUAAAACGAAUGCAGAAAAAUCAACAAUAUUUUCAAAGAUAUUUUUGGAAAUUUUUUGAAAGCAAAAGACAUUUUUUAUUUUGAAAAUUUUUGAUGUUUUGAUGAAAACCAGGUAUUUUAAUACCGGAUUUUGUAUCUUUACAAUAUAAAAAUACCAACCGAUAUUAAUCAAAAUACAGUAAUAAAAUUACAACAAAAUCACAUAUGUUUUUUUUAUAAUUUUUGCAGAAUUUUUAUAAUUUUUUCAUGUAUAUAUAUAUAUAUAUAUAUAAAUAAUACAAAAUAUAAUAUAUAUAUAAUAUAUAAAAUUAAAUGGGCUGGGCUGGUCCGGCCCAACCGACUGGGCCGGACUCAGCCCAAAAUUGUUGGGCCGAUUUCGGCCCAAAAUGGAUUGGGCCGAUCUCGGCCCAAAAAACUCUUCUAGGCCAGACCCGGCCCAGAAGACAGGGCUGGUCCGGCCCAACCGACUGGGCCGGACUCAGUCCAAAAUUGUUGGGCCGAUUUCGGCCCAAAAUGGAUUGGGCCGAUCUCAGCCCAAAACAAAUACUCUUCUGGGCCAGACCCGGCCCAGAAGACAGGGCUGGGCCAGGAUCCGCCUGGCCCAGCAACCAAAACGGGCGGGGGGAAUUAUUUUCCCCCCACCCCUGCAUGCAGAACGCUAAUCGUUCUGCAUGCAGAGAAGAAAAGAAAAAAAUGAAUGCAAGAAUGAGGGGGAAGAAGAGUUACCUGGCGCGAGGGAGGCGGUGCUGGUGAUGUUGCGGUGGAGGCCGGUGGCGGUAUCAAGCGGCGCUGCGGCUGUUCCGAACGUCCGGCGGUGUUACUGUUUUUUUUUUAAAUUUUCUACCCGUUAACAACUUUUCCCUUUCUCUUCCUAUGUUUCGGUCUUCUUUUUCUUUCUUCCUUUCCCUCUCUUCUCUCAGUCUAUUUUUCUUUCGUAUGUUUUUUUUUCUCUUCCUUCUCUCUCCUUCGUUCUAUCUCUUCCCCUCUCUCUCCUCUGUUUUUUCGUUUUCUCCUUCUCCCCCCUCUGUUCUCUUCUUCCUCUCUUCAUUGCUGCUGUGUUGGCUGUUAUUUAUAGAGCCAAGUGAGUGGCUUUUCGCUGUGGAGCAUGGGGAGCAGCCGACCGGUCGGCCAUUGGGUGCGACUGCCAAGGCUCGACCCCCCUCACCGGUUUUCUGGCAGGUGCGUGGUGGGUGGUCGGCCAUUGUGUCCGGUCGGUGGGCUCCAGGCGAGAGAGUGGCCGGCAAAAAUUCAAAUUAAAGCAACCCUUUUUCCUUCUUCCCCGCUGCGUGAUCGGGGGAAGAAGAUGAACAGUGUCGUUCAAAACGACACCGUUCUGCUCUUUUUUUUUUUUUUUUUUCUUGAAUGUAUGAAACGGCAUCGUUUUGGAGAAAACGCGCCAUUUCAUUUGAAUGUGGCGCCAGAACGCGCGGAAUUCCAAAUCAGCCCUUAAUCAUCUUUUUUUUUUCUUCAAUUGCAUCCCUGCCAAUUUCGGUCUCCGCCUCUCUUGUUGGCCGCGUUUUUCACUUUAGUCCUUGGCCUCUGAUUUAUGCAAUUGCGCCCUUAAUUGAUCAAAAACUUCCAAUUUCUUCAAUUAGGCCCCCUGAAUCAAUUAAUUCCAGUCCCUCCAUUUACGCGCCUCUUCCAAUUUGGUCCCUGGUUUCGGAUUUUCUCAAUUAAAUCCCCAAUUGGCCCUUAAACUUCAAUAUUUAUGCAAUUAGGCCCCUGAUUUGACCUAAUAAAUUCCUAAAAAAUAUAUUUUGGCCCCAGAACUUAAAUUUCUUCUAAUUAAAGCCCAAAUUGACUUAAAAAUCAAUUUUCUUCCAAUCAAAUCUCUUAUAAAUUCAUUUAAAAAUUCAAUUAAGUCCAUAAACAUCCAAAUUUGGGCUUUUCUCCUCAAAUUUCAAAUUUUCCUUCUCAUCAGGGCUCUCCUCCUUCAAGAAUAUACUGUCAAAAAUCCAAUCUUUGUAUUUUUAACCUCAUUGACCAAUUUUCCAACCAUUUUCUGAGCGCUUCUGCCUCCUGUUAUUUUUCUAACCUCCUUUGGCUAUAUAUUUUUUUAUAUAUAUUUUAUGGGGACCCAAAAAUGGGUUACAACACUAAUUUUUGUUAAAAAAACUAAACCAAAUCAAAACUAAUUGGCUUGAACUGAUUUCUAUACAGUUCAAUUGUGAAUUUUUUUUUAAAAAAUAUUUGGUUUAUUUUUUAACCAAAAAACCUAAUCAAUCAAAAAUUUAUCACCACUGGUAAGAGCUCGCAUUACACCUUAGUCUUUAAAGAUGGUGUUAAUUUCUGUUAGAAAAUAAUAUAAAUCAUAUCCUAGGACUUCACCUAACAGCUUAAGCUAUUGGGCUGAGAUGGUUCAUUGACAUGGUAUUAGAGCCUUGAUGACCAAGUGGUCACGAGUUCGAAUCUCACCACCCUUAUUUAUUUUAUAAAAAUCAAGCACAAGAUAAUGUGAGUUACUUGAGGAGGUGUGUUAGAGAACAAUAUAAAUCAUAUUUUGAAACUUCACCUAACAGCUUAAGCUAUUGGGUUGAGAUGAUUCUUUGACAUGAUAUCAGAGCCUUGAUGACCAAGCGGUCACGAGUUCGAAUCUCAUCAUCCCUAUUUAUUUGAUAAAAAAAUUAAGCACAAGGUAGUGUGGGCCUGUGCAAGUUUCAAGUCCAAAGGGCUUUCACUUGAGAGGGUGUGUUAAAAAAUAAUAUAAAUCAUAUCCUAAGACCUUACCUAACAACUUAAGCUAUUGGGUUAAGAUGGUUCUUUGACAUGGUAUGGGCCUUGAUGAUGAAGUGGUCACGAGUUCAAAUCUCACCACCCUCAUUUCUUUGAUAAAAAUCAAGCACAAGGUAAUGUGAGUCUGUGCAUCUGUGCAAGUUUCAAGCUCAAAGGGCUUUCACUUGAGGGAUCAUACCCGUAUAAUAUAAUUCAUAAAAUGGUGGAGGUAGGAUGCGUUGAGAUGGGUAUAACAAUAUAUAUAUUAUUUUUAGGAGGGGGCAGUUCCUAUAUUUGUUUUUUCUACGGAUAUUUCAUAAUGAGUGCUCUAUUAUGAGUCAGUUUACAUAUAUAUGUAGUGAAUCUUAAAAACAUGGAAUUUGUAUUCGAUUAAGUCAAACCAAUUAACAAUGUGCAUAUUGUAGGAAUCUUGGUUUAAAGUUUAUUACAAAAUAUUUUUCUCAUAUUUUAAUUUAGUCAAUGUAUAAAUGGUUAAAUCUUCUGUGUCAUUAACUUCAAGAUCUUUUAGUGAAAGGUUUCCUUUUUACGAUAUAGAAAAAAGAAGGCAGAUAAUUAAUAUAAAUUUGAGUGAGUAACAUAUCAAAGACAAAACUUGACUAAUCCUGUACAUGGCCAUGACAUCUUUUCUCUAAGACAAGACCACUGAAAAGUAAUGGUACGAUAGAAGAAGUGGCCAUGGACAGCGAGGUCAAGGAGAAAUGGCCAUGGACCACUAAAAUUAAGAUGUGAAAGGAAGGAAAGCUAGAAGAGAGCCCUCUUUCUUUUAGUGGUGAUAUUGGUAUUAGUAAGUUAGCCGGCUACUACCGGUAAAUAUCUUUGCAUUCAAAGUGCGGGAACACUUGUCUAAAACGAAUACUUUUAGAAAGAUUACAGGCAUAUUGCUUCCAUACCAUUGGCUUAACACUACCAGCAUAGGGAAUGAAAUUGUGAAAAAAUAAAGGGUUUUCCAUGGCUGGUUUAUGGUGUGGUUGGGCUUGGCAGGUUCAUGAGCUUUUUUGCAAAAUAAGAUUCUUGUUUAAAUAGGAAAUUCUUUGAUACUAAAAUUAGUAAGUAUAGGAGGAGUACAGAGUGUGUGAAAAUAAAUAUAUAAACAAAGAGUUUCUGUGUGAGAAUGAAAAAGACUAUUUUAGUAUCUCUUGUAUAAGUUGGCUCUAGUUUGUGUGGCUUAGAACUGAUAUCUGGCUAAAGCUUUCAAUGGCUAAGAGUAGCUUUGGCUUUUUUUGUAUGGAGACUGGGUGUAGUCUCUGAACUUAUCUCAUGGAGAAGAAAAAUAUUUUCAUAAAAAAAUUAAGUCAUUAGAUGAUAUGCCUUGUUUGUUAUUAGUGGAGAUGUUGGGGUCAAUAUUUUCUUACAAAUUCGAGUCAUCUUGCUUGUUGUUCCAUGAGCUCCUAUGAUAGAAAUGUUGGCUACAUUAUCCAAGAAAAGUUGUGUCUGCACCUCAUAAAAAAAAAGUAUUGCAUGCAUAGAAAAUAGUGCGUGAAUGGAUAAAUCAAAGGGAUCUUAGUGUAGAGAUUUUUAAUGGAGUAAUAAAGAUUUUAAUAAAAACAUGAAAAUUUGUUCAUGGAGUUAUGUUUGGAGACAUGGUAUCUUAUAAUAGAGAUUUUUUGUUAGAGAUAGUGAAGAUAAAGAGAAAGUUACUCCUUUUAUUCAAAAGUUUAAAAGAUAGUGAAAGAUACCAUUUUUUAGACUUUCCUAAUCUCAAGUAAUGUGUUAAUGGAGAUUUUUUUUUCCUAUUUGUUUAAAUUGCAUCACAUUCUUCAUAAAUUAUUGAAGAUAUCCCUUAAAGAUCAACUUUUUUAUCUUUCUUUUCAAGGCAUGAUAUUCUUCAAUGUCAUGACUGUAAUCAUGGUGAAAGUGAGAGAACUUGUUAGGAUUCUUUAUGUUAAUACCACUAUUCAUGAAAUAUAUGGAUAUCGUAUAAAAUUUCUUCCCUACAUGGAUCCAACACCUUUAUAUGCAUAGUGGUGAAUGGUGCGGAUAGGAGCUCAGAAAAUAAUAAGAAAUCAUAAAUGGAUCCCAUGGUGUUUUUCUUGAAUGUCUUUGUAGGAGAUUGGUGACAUUGUGGAGAUUCUGCCCUCUAGAAAUACAAGUAUUCUUAUCUGAUCAUACUUGCUUCUUCCACUUAAAUAUGGUUUUUUAUUACAUGUUUUUAAUUGACAAAAAUUUUGUCAUGAAAAGUAUAAAAGCAUUCCCAUAAUGAAUAUUUAUAGAAUCCACUUAUUAGAGCCUCAAUGGCGAUAAGUUCACGUAGAUUCUUCAUGUUUAGCAUUUAUUUGUUGAAUCUCUAGAUAUAUGUUUUGUGCUUUUAUUCUCCUGUUGUGUAAUGGUGAAAAGCUUAAUCAUGUUAUUUUUACUUGGUAUACUAGUGCUAAAAUAAGAGGUUAGCUUAACAUACAAAUUAUAAAGAUCAAAUAUGAAGCCAAGAUCAAUACUGUGAUAUCAUAUCAAAGUAGACCAAUAAAAUAUCUUAUAAGUUGUAGGAGAGCAUAUAGAUAUUAUUUUCUCAAAGAGCAUGUGAGCAAAAAUCAAGGGAGGAUUGAUGGAAAUAGUCAUGCAUAUAGUUAAGAUCUUUUAUGAAGUGCUCUUUAUAACAAGAGUAGUUUUAUUAAAAAGUUGAAGUAUUGUGCAUAUUUUACAUGUUAUUUUUCAUGUUUUUUUUUCAUGAAACUAGAGUUAUCAUUAUCUUUUGGUGCAUAUAAUGGAUUAGUAUGUUGUAUUCCUUAUUGAUGAAAUGAAAGAGUGUGAAGCUAUUAUUGUAUAACUAGAACAAUAUUGUUGAGCACCUAUACUUGAUGGGUGAGUUUCUGAAGACCCAAAGUUCUUAUGCUAAGGAGAUCGAUUACUCUCUCUCUUGUCCUAAAGUUUUGUCAACCAUGAAAAUUGCUUUUGGUGAGGAUUGAAAGAGAAUGAACUAGCUUUUUUUCUUUUCCCAUAAACGACGCCAUUAGUAAGGUUAUGGAUUUAUCAUGGUUGUGUCCUGAUUGAUAAAGUGGCUAGGGAAGGUAAUUAUGAUUGCCAAUUAUAUACUUAACAAAGUACCCUAUAAAAAGCUAGAAAAUGCACCAUAUAAAUUAUGAAAAGGUAGAAAGCCUUAUAUAAAUACUUCAAAGUGUAUUAGUAUCAUGCAAAAGUGGCAGUACUUGAUCUUAAAAAAGUCAAGAUAGGACCUAAAAACAUGGAUUAUAUUUUUAUUAGAUAUACUUAUAAUGGCAAUGCAUAUAAAUUUCUUAUACACAAGUCAAGUAUUAAGAGUAUUAAUCCUGAUACUAUUAUGGAAUCAAGAAAUGCUACAUUCUUUGAGGUUGUGUUUCUAUUUAAAGAAGUAUAAGAAACCACUCAAUUGAGAGAAUGAUUAAGACUAGCUCAUGUAGUUAUCAUCAAUUAGAAGUUGAUGAAGUUGGGCCUAGAUAAGUAAAAAGGAAAAAAACCAAAAUGUUUUGGUUCUGAUUUUCUAACAUAUUUGCUAAAAAAAUGAACCUCUAAGCUAUUCCAAAGCAAUGUCAUGUCCUGAAGCUUCUUAUUAGAAGGAGAUAAUUAAUUGUGAGAUUGAAUUUGUUAUGAAUAUUCAUAUAUGAAAACUAGUGGAUCUUCCACUAGGAAGUAAACCAUUAGGCCAUCAAUGGAUCUUCAAACAAAAAAAAAAACUGAUGAAAUUAUUCAAAAAUAUAAAGCAAGAGUUGUUGUUAAAUGAUUUAAAUAACAAGAAUGUGUGAACUAUAUAGACAUAUAUUCUAUAGUAUCAAAAAUAACUUUCAUACAGACGUCAAUAGUCAUUGCAACUAUUAAUAAGCUUGAAAUACAUUAAAUGAAUGUAAAUAUAGCUUUUUCAAAUGGUGGCCUUGAUGAAGAUGUUCACAUAAAAUAACCUGAGGGUUUAUUUUAAAUGGACAAAGAAAAAAAUUGUGUAAGCUUGUCAAAUCAUUGUAUGGUUUGAAAAAGCACCUAAAUAAUGACAUAAAAAAACAAAAUUAGUUAUCAAAUGAGUUCAAAAUCAACAAAGUUGAUAAAUGCAUUUAUGUGAAAAAUAUAGAUAAAGUUUAUAUCAUUGUACAUCUUUUUUAAGGACAAAAUACUGAUUUUGUGUAGCAAUGAUCACAUAAUCAAGUCUAUUAAGAAAUAUUAAAUAAUAAAUUUAACAUAAAAUACUUGGGUGUUGUAGAUGUUAUAAUAAUAAUAAAAAUUACAAGGACAUCUAAUGGAUUGAUAUUGUUUCAAUCUUAUUAUGUAGAGAAAAUUCUCAAUAAAUUUUCUAAAGAUGACCAUAGCCUAAUCAAAGCACCAAUUAAAUAUUUUUGCAUAAUUAGGAGCUUGAUAUAUUUUAUAAAUUGCACAAGAAUUGAUAUUGCAUACUCAAUUAACAAUUUUAGUAGGUUCACCAACAAUUCGAAUAUGUAUAAUUGGAAAGCAAUAAAAAAGGUCCUCAAAUAUUGGAGAUACACCUUAGAUUAUGAGUUACUAUAUUAGUUACCCAACAAUAUUAGAAGGGUAUAAUGAUGCAAAUUGAAUAUUUGAUAAUAAGGAUUUAAAAUUUACUAGUGGAUUUAUCUUUAUACUGAGUAAAAUAUUUGUGUCAUGGAAAUCCUCUAAAUAAAUGUGUAUCACAAUAUCCAUAAUAAAAUUAAAGUUUAUUGUUUUUAAUAAAAUUAAAGAAAAAGCCAAGUGACUUUGGAAUUUCAUAAAGAAUAUCUUAUAUUAGCAAAAAACAGUGCUAGUUAUUCGUGUCCAUUGCGAAGUCAGUCUGCAAUUAGAAGGACACAAAGUAUAAUGGUAAUUCUAAACAUUUAUAUUAUAGAUAUAAUAUCAUUAACUACUUGCUGUUAAAUAGAAUAAUUUCCAUCGACUACGUAAAGUUUGUCGCACCUGACAUCAUGGAUACAUUUAAAAAUUAAAUAUUCUUGAAAGAAUAUGUUUUUGACAUCUUAUUCUUAGAUAGGGAAUGGUCUUGCUUAAGGAGUCGCCACCUAGUAUUAUGGUUGCUAGGAACUCUAAUUGAUCAACAAAGAUUCUAUGGUACGGGGAUGGUUACACAAAAAGAAAGAUAUUAUCACCUCUUAAGCGUCCUACUUGAGGUAAAAUGUAUUGCUGGUUUUGUCUUAAAUUGCUAAGAGUUUGUUAGUUUAUGCUAUGAUGGUCUGCUUGUAAUAUUCUUGACUCUAGCGUCAGUGAAUAUUCAACUACGGAUAUUUCCAACUCUGGCGUUGGUAAAUAUUAUAUAGUAAAAAAAAUGGAUGGUAUUCCUAACUCUAGGAUUAGUGAAUAAACCAGUAAAAUGAAUUUAAAUCAAUGUAUACAUAUUCUUUUUAUUUUUUAAAAAGAAAAAAAAUAUAUCGCAUAUCAAAUUUACAUUUCACAGUAAAAAUCCCCAGAUCAAUUAUACAGUGAAAUACCAAAAAAAUUUGAGGGACCCACAAAUAAAUUAAAAAAGGUCCACGAAUUUUCUGAUAUGCGGAAUGACCUGUUUGACUAGAUAUCAAAAUAUAAGAGGAUGAAAACAAAGGGGCAAGGCAUAAGGGUGUGUUUUGCCAAAAACACCCUUGGCCCAAAAUAGAUUGGGCUGGCUGGGCCGAGGCCCAAGCCCAUCUUGGCCUCAUGUUAUUUUUGAUUUUUUGGGGGGGGGUCUGACCCAGCCUUUAUGGGUUGGGCUGGACCUAGUGACCCAGCCCAGUCACGGGUCCAAACCAGUGGCCUGACCGGUUACUAUUGCAGGCAUGCGUGAAGUUGUAGGACAAGCUAGAGGUUUAACGCCUAUCAUUUUAGUGAUGUCAAGAAGAUUUAAGAUAUUUUUAUAUUAUUUGAGAUGAAGUACUUCAUUGUUUCUUUGUGCUUCAAUUUCAAAGAAGAGAAAUGAAGCCAAAAUAUUAGUUUUUCUGGUUUUAUAGUAGAUAAUUAAAGCUAAUAAUGAAGAGAAAUUAUUAUGGUAAUUGUCAUAACCCAUUUCUUUCCAAAAUAAAUACCAAAAAAUAAAUAAAGGCUAGCAACGUAGAAAAAACAGGCCGAGGAGGAUCUAAAAAAUACACGAAAAUCAAGUUGUAAUUUUGGAGGAAAUUCAAGGUCUAAUUGUACUUCAUUACACCUAAAAUUAAAGAAACAAUGCAAAUUAAAGGUCAACUUAAUUGAUUAUUGGGCUAUUAAGUCUAAGGACAAAAAUUAAGUCUAAGGAAAUAAUUAAAUUUUCAAUAUGCCAAUUUGAUUUAAUCAUGAGCUAAAUUGAAGGUUUAAUCAUGUUUAGGAAUUAAUUUGGGUCCAAUUAAAGGAUUUAAUUAGGUAUAAGGACUUAAUUAUAUUUUAAAAGGGUCAGAUUAAUUUUAUUAGGCGUUUAAUUGGUGAAGAAUUAAGUCUAAGAGUCCAAUUUGGGCUCAAUUGAGAAAACUAAAAUUUUAGAACACCAAAUUUAAUUUUUACCAUGUCAAAUAAUUGAAAUUAGGGGUAAAAUCUCAAAAAAGUAAAGUUUUUGGGUCAAAUUGAAAAAGUUCAUAGUUAAUGAUCAUUUUGUAAAAGGCGUCGAACUAUAGGGGCUUAAUUGAUUGAAACCAGGGUGAAAAUGAAAAAAUUAAAAGUUUAAUGGUCAAUUAGGGGCUAAAUUAAAGAAAUCUGAAACCAAGGACCAAAAUUGAAAGGCUCCGAACUUCAAGGUUAAAAUUGAAGUUUUAUAGGGACUAAAUUGCAUUAAAUCAAAAGUUUAGGGUCAAUUAGAGGUGCAAUUAAAAUAAAUCAAAAGUGAAAGGACUAAAUUGAACUUUGGCAAAAAUCCCUAAACGAUGUCGUUUUCAAAAAAAUAAACCAGACGAAUCGUCGUCUGGUUACUGUUCAUUAUCUUCCUUCUUUUUAGCCUGAAAAGACUACUCAUUGGCUACUUUGUAGGUGCUUUUAAUGCCUUUAACCUUCACCAAAUUUAACAAAACAUUAACCAAAAUGAUCACCUGACAUUUCCCUACAACCUCGUAUGAUCCAUUCAAUCUGAUUGAAAGUACCAUAGUGGCCGAGAUGCCAACCUAAAUUUGUCAAUUCAGGUAGCCUUGAAUUGUCAAAUUUGACAGUGUAUGGUGCCUACUUUGAAUCAACAGUUAGAAUCUUUUCCAGCUGAAUCAAGGGCCAAAAGUUUUUUUCCAAUGAAGAUAAGAUUACCCUCUUCCAUCCCCUAUAAAUAAAUUUCAAUUUCAUGGUAUGAGCAUUAAAAAAUCAGUGUACAAAGUUGGCAAAAAACUAUUUUUUUCUAGAUUUUUUUCUUCUCCUUUGUCGGCCAUACUUUUCCCCUCUUUUUCUCCACCUCCGGCGAUGCCAUCACCUUCAGCCACCAUCCACAAUCUCCCCUAUAACACCAGCAACGCCUUUAGCCUCUCUCCUCCUCUAGUCAGACGAGUUUUCCCCUUUUUGUCCUAAAAAACUCCUCUCCUGGCUACUGCAUUUUACAGCUGGGUCCAGCCCGAAAAAAAGAAGAAAAAAGAAAACCCAAGUCUUCUGGGCCGAGAGCGGCCCAGUUAGUUUGGUCGGCCAACCUUAUAAUAACAAAACAAAAUUUAGAAAAUUCAAAAAUCCUUUCAAAAUGACUCCCAAAUAUCAAUGCAGAUCACUGUAUAACUAGGAAUUAUUAAUUAAAGAAUUCUUAACUUGUUUGAAAUGAACCCAAAUCAAACUCUAUGCUAAAUAUGAGAAUUAAAAAAUGAAUCUAGACUCAUAGUCCACGCCAGCUAAUGAAGAGACGUUUAUUAUAAUUUAAUUCAAUAAAAAUGACUCCAUAUCGACUCUAAAAAUCAAUGCAGAUCCUUCAUGGACAAGACUUAUUAAAGAUUUCUUAAAUUGCUUGAAAAUGACUUCAAACUCUAUGCUAUCCUAAUAGGAGAUUGGUAGCCCUAAUCAUUAUAUUUUUAGUUUCUAAUAUAUCUAUUAAUGAAGUUAUUGUAUCAUAAAACAAUACUAAAAUGUUAAAAGUGAUUUAAUUUGUACCCAAACAAUUUUAUAGACAUGAUUUAUUGAGUGACUUAAUCAUAAAAUUUGGAUAUCCAUCAACUCAAUUUUAAGUCUGUAAAUAUAUAUAUAUAUUUUUUUCAUGACUUCUACUUUUGAAAAAUAAAGUCAUAAAUACUUAGACAUAAUUGUAUAUUCUCUUCUUUUUUAAAAAAGAAAAAGAAUAUAAAGCAUAACCAUUUUACAAUUUGUUACUUUGAAAAUUUUAAUAAAAUAGAAGAAAUACAUUAAAUAAAGUCAUUUUAAUACCUAUGAUAAAUAAUAGAAUGAGAAUAAAAAAAUAAAUUGAGAAUAAUAAAAAAAAGUGGAGUUAGAAUUAAUUUUAAAAGCUCACCUACUAGCUUAGAAUCUUGGUAGAAUGGUUCCUUGAGGCAUGGAAACCUCUUCGAUUGAGUUAGUAUUUGAUUAUCAACACACUUAAUUAUUUAUAUAUUAGUGAAUUAAUAUAAAAAAAAUUCAGAACUUAAGCUUUUAAAUUAGAAUCACUUUUCAAUAUUUAGCAAUAGGUUCCUUCUCUAGUUUUGAAUCUUGCCAACUUCAUUUUUUUUUAAUUAGAAACUAGAUAAAUAGCCUACGAUAUACUAUCGAUCAAGUUAAUUUUUUGCUAACAUGAAAAAAGAUGUUCAUGCGAUAUCAAUAUUUUUAAAGGAGUAAAAAAAAUUAGGAAUUCGAUUACUGAAAAAGAUUACACGUGUUGUUAGAGCAAUGACUCGAAAAGCAAAAAUAAAACACCAUGAAUUAAGCAUCUCAUGCUAAUUCUCACGUAAAUGAAUAAAUUAUGAAUGAAUAAAAAAUUAAUCUCAAAUAACUUUUGGUUAACAUGCUUAGAGAAAUUUAAGACACUCUAAAAACUCUAUCCUACAUUAAAAAAAAAAAAAACAAGUUUUUCUAGUUGUUUAUAUAGUGAGAAUAUAAAAGGUUAAAAUUAAACCCAAAUAAAACCCAGGCUUUUACAGGAGAGAGGACCUAAUCUAAGUGAUCUUUGAGCUUAAGCCAAGUGCGUGCACACAAGACUCAGCUCGUGCACAAGCCUCGAGCUUUGAACCUUGUUUAGGCCUAAGUUGAGGCAUAUGUUUGAGUUUAUUAUAAAAUAAUAUUUGGGCUAUAAAAUAUUUUUUUUCCAACCUAUUAUAGGCUUGGAUUUAAAUUUAUAAUUCUUUGACCUAUAAAGGAUUUUUUUUACCAUCCUAUUCUUUUGUCAAGUCCAUGAAUUAAAGAAUUUGAUUAGUUUAUUUCGUAAUAGUUUCUUAAAACUUAAUAAUUUUUUCAACUUAAAAACUUCAACUUAAGCCAAAAUAUUAGGUUUUUUAUUUAUAAUUAAAGCUAAUAAUGAUGAGAAAUUAUUAUGGUAAUUAUUAAAAUUAACUUGAUAUAAGUUUUGGUUUAAAAAUGGACGGAAGAAUAAUGUUUUUUGUUGGUUUUUGUGGACAGUGUGUAGAAAGAAUUUGUAAAAUUUUUGACACUUUUCCUCACCUCAAUGUUUAGCAUAAUUAAGCCACAAUAUCCGGGCUUCUUCUUCUCUUUUUUCUAAUCUUGCUUUUUUUUUUUAAUUAAUAUCUUCUUUGAAUGUCUUUUUUCUUAAAUAAUUUUUAAAUUUAUGAUUCAAUUAAUAUCCCUCCUUUAUGAUUUUUUUCUUAUUUAACAUUUUUUGGAUAGAGAUUUUUUUAAUGGUGUUGUGUGUAUUUAGUUUUUGGAAAUCUUAUUCUAAUGCUUCUAUUUUUUUAAUCUUUUAUAUAGAUGAAUUUUAUUUUUUAAAAUAAAAAAUAUUUAUUUUCAAAAAAUAUUUUUAACAUGUGAAGCAUUACAUGAUAUUUUUUUUAUUUUGUUUUAUUCAAUAAAUUUAAUGUGCGUGUUUAUUUUUAUUAUCAUUUGAUUAAAUAAAAAAUUAAAUUUUAAUAAAUAAAUUUAGUAAGCACAAUCAGGUAAAUAUCCUGUUUUGCAAGAUUAAAUGUAUUAAUCUAUAUUUAUUUCUUGUUUUUUGUGAUUUUAUUUUUAAUUAUUGGUAAUGAUUUUUGUUUUUCUGUUUAUUAACAUAUGUAGUUCUUAAUUUAUUUAAUGAUAUAUAUGCAUGAACAUUUUAAUUUAUAUAUAUUUUUAAUGUAUACAAACAUAUUAAAAAAGACAAUAUAAAUAUUUUUUUUUAAUUAGAAAAAAUAUCUAAUCCGCAAUGAAUUGCUGAGUAAAAUAGCUAGUUUAUAAUCUAGAGGAUGGACAGCGCCAAAAAGUAUAAAAAAUUCAAAGCCAAUUUGCAACUUGGUUGAAAAAGACUAAAUUGCAUGCUAUUUUAUUAUAAUAAAUAAAUAACGAAUCGAGACAGAUUCCUCGCCAGCUAAUAAUGAAAGCUUUACUACAAUUUAAGAGAUUAAAAAUGACUCCAAAAAAUCAAUGCAGAUCCCUGUAUAAAUAGGAAUUAUUAAUUAAAGAAUUCUUAACUUGCUUGAAAUGAACCCAAAUAAAAAAUUAUCUCAAUUCAAUAGCUUAACCUAUUAAAUAAAAUUUUAAAAUAUAAUUUAUAUUAUUUUCUAACACAUCUCCUAAAAUAAAAGUCUUUUGGACUUGAAACUUGCAUAGACUCACACUACCUUGUGUUUAAUUUUUAUCACAUAAAUGAGGAUGAUGAAAUUCGAACUCGUGACCGUUUAGUCAUCAAGGCUCUGAUACCAUGUCAAAGAAUCAUCUCCACCCAAAAGUUUAAGCUGUUAGGUGAGGUUCCAAGAUAUUAUUUAUAUUAUUCUCUAACACUAAGUAUGAGAAUUAAAAAAUGACUGUAGACUUAGAGUCCACGCUAGCUAAUUAAGAAAUGUUUAUUAUAAUUCAAGUCAAUAAAAAUGACUCCACAUUGACUCUAAAAAUCAAUUUUGAGAAAUUAUUAUGAGUCCUAAGAGGUAAUUUAACUGGUCAGGUCUUGGGCUUGCUCCCUAAUGGUCACGAGUUCGAGUCCCCUCAGGACCACUGGUGGCUUACAUGAUUGUUAACUUCAGGACCCGUAGAAUUAGUCGAGGUGUGCACAAACUGAUCCAGACACCCACGUUAAUAAAAAAAAUUGAGAAAUUAUUAUGGUAAUUAUUAAAAUUAACUCUAUAUAAAUUUUCGUUUAAAAAUCCUUAGUAAAAAUAGACUGAAGAAUAAUGUUUUUUACUGAUUUUUUCUGGACAGUGUUCAGAAAAAUAAUUGCAAAUCUUUCUCACCUUAAUUUUCAGCAUAAUUUACUCGGUUUUAAGCUUUGUGUUAUUUUUUAGUUUUUUUUUUCUACACAAAAGCUUAGAUUCAAUGAGAGAUAUUUGAAUACAAUUCCUGAGUUCGUUUGAUUUUACAAAAGCUUAGAUUCAAUGAGAGAUAUUUGAAUACAAUUCCUGAGUUCGUUUGAUUUUAUUUAGGAGUGUAUUUAAACAAUAUAAUUUUUAUUGAAAUUCUAAGAAACUUAUUAAAAUCAACUUUUUUGUAUUUAGUAGAAAGUAAUAAAAUCUUAAAUACAAAAUCAUUCACAACAAUAUAUUUUUAGAUAAAUAUUUUUUUAAGUAUUUCUACAAGUAAAUAUCCUAUACAUGUUUUUAUUUAAAUACAUGCUUAAUAUGAAAGUUGUAUAUUGUCUUUUAUUGCAAUCUUACAAUGGUAUUAUAUUGCAUGUAUAUAAAUUAUACUUCUAUAUUCUCACUAUUUAGUCUACUAACUUUGAACAACAUUUUUUUUCACGGGUACAUUUCUAUAAAUUUUUGUUUGGUAAUUUUCACGAGUCAUUAAUAACUUUGCUCAGUUUGCGAUUAUUUCCAUCAAUAACAUGGAUCCAAGAUUGUUGGAGGCAGUACAGAGAGGAAAUGUCAUUGAACUACAGGAGCUGCUCGGAGCAAACGAUUACCUUCUAGAAAGAAGUUGUCUCAAUGACUCCUCCGAGACAAUCCUACAUAUUUCCUGCUUAGCCGGACGAACAGAAUUCGUGAAGGAGCUACUGAAGAAGAAAGCAGAUUUAGCUAAAAGGCUCAACCCAGAUGGGUUUAGCGCAAUACACAUAGCUUCUGCAAAUGGGUUUGUGGAGAUAGUGAGAGAGCUAUUGAUGGUUAACAGCGAGCUUGGCAGGCUUAAAAGCAGUGAUGGUAGAACUUCUCUUCAUUGUGCUGCUAUAAAUGGGAUGGUACAUGUGAUCAAGGAAUUGCUCAAGUUUUGUCCUGCGAGCAAGGACAUUGUGACAUUCAAAGGGGAAACCGCAUUUCACCUUGCUUUGAGAAAUAAUCAGUUUGAGGCUUUCAAAGUCAUGGUUGAUGUGCUCCAGCCGCAUAACAUUAAGGAGCUUCUGAAUGUGACGGACGAAGAUGGCAAUACUGUUUUACACCUUGCGACAGCUAAGAGACAGACUCAGGCAAGUCCGCUUUCCCUUCUUUCUUUGCUCCUUAUCUUUUGGGGUGCCUUGGGAUGGGCAUGAUCGGGUAUAACUUUCUAAAUUUCGAAUUAUAUUUCUACAACUAUGGUUUUCUGCAUAAUGGUAGACAUAAAACUCAACUACGAAACUAGAUGGUCAUUUUCCCUUCGUACUUGAAUUUCCUAUUUUCUAUUCAUUUUGAUCUGGUUUAGUUAAACCUUCAAAACAAGGGGAAUUUAUGUUGCUCGUAAUCAGAGCCAUCAAAUUUUAAAUUUAGGAAACUGAAACACUGUUUUAAACUUACUAAAAUAUGUGUUUUACGUGUUGAAAUUAAUUUUGAUUUUUUCAUUCAAAUUAUCUUUUAGUUCUCCUAAGUAUCUUCUAAAUAAAUGCAUAUAACAGUGAAAAAUACAGAGUUUGUGAAGAGAAUAAUUUGUUCCUCUUUCUAGCACGACAUAAAAUAGCCACUUUACAAAGCCCUCUUUAUAUCCUAUAGUUUAGGACUGAUUGACUAAUUAUAUGGAAACCUAUAGCUAUCAAGAUACAAUCACAUGUUCACAGGGAUUCUAGUAAUUCUAUUAUAUCUCUGUAGCUAGCAGUAGAGAUAAAAUAGGGGCUUGAAUAUUGGAGAUCCAACUUGAAGAUAAUUACUCAUAAUUAUCAACACUCCCCCUUAUAAAUGUCAUCCAUGCCUAGUUUGUUGAGACAGUCAUUAAAUGCUUGGUUUGACACUGUCUUGAUCAGCACAACAGCAAGUUCGUCUUGAGAUCGAACAUGAAGAACUUCAAUCAAUUUUUCUUUUAGUUUCUCCUUAAUAAAAUAUGUAUCAACCUCAAGAUGUUUAGUUUGAUCAUGUUGGACAAGAUUAUGAGCAAUAUAACACGUUGUCUUGUUAAUCACAAUAUAACUUCAUAGGGCUGACUUGCUUACUAUGUGAAUCUUGCAUCAAAUUUCUAAUCCACAACAAUUUGCAUAUUACCUUAGUCAUUCCUUUGUAUUUUGUUUGGAUCUAGCAACUGCCUCAUGUUUUUUUACUUCGCCAUAUAACUAAAUUCCCUCCUACAAAUGUGAAAUAGCUAGAUGUAGAAUGUCGAUCUUGAAUCGACCAAAACAAUUAGCAUUUGUAUAGUCGUUAAUAUCUAAAUUGUCUUCUUUUGUGAAUAAAAUUCCCUUUCCUGAAGAUGACUAAGUAGCGUAAGAUACGAAUGACAACAUUCAUAUGUUCGUCGCUUAGGGAGUGUAUAAAUUGACUAACCACAAUCAGCACAUAAGCUAAAUUAGGCCAAGUACAUGCAAGAUAUAUUAAUCUUCCAACCAGCCUUUAAUAAUGUUCCUUGUUAGUAGGAACUUGAUUUGAAUACACCUAUAGUUUCAAAUUUUCUUUCACAAGAGUGGUAGUUGGACUACAUGUUGUCAUACCAGUUUCAUUUAGAAAGUCUAAGGUAUGUUUUUUUGUGACAGAAAAAUAUCUUUCUUCGAUCUAGAUACUUCAAUUCUAAGAAAAUACUUUAAUUCCCUGAGGUCUUUCAUCUCAAAGUCAUGAGUAAGAUGCUCUUAUAGUAUUUUCUUUUCUUCAGGAUCAUUUCCAAUCACUAUCAUAUCAUUAAUGUAUACAAUAAGAGCUGUGAUUUGUUUUUCAUUAUGCUUCAAGAAUAGAGUGUGAUCUAAGUUACUUUGCUUGUAACCAACAGACGUCAUAAAACUUGUGAACCUUUCAAACCAUGCUCUAGGAGACUACUUCAAACUAUAUAGGGAUUUUCUCAACCUACAAACUUAUUUAUUACCUUUAGUCUACCGAUUACAGCCAAGGGACAACUCCAUAUACACUUCUUGGAGAUUUCCAUUUAAAAAUAUUUUUUUUUUAUCAAACUGGUGUAAAGGCCAAUCAAGAUUUAUUGCUAGAGAUAAUAAAAUACGAACAGUGUUAAUUUUGGCCACUAAUGAGAAUGUCUCCAUAUAAUCAAUUCCAUAUGUUUGAGUAUAUCCAUUGGCGACAGGUCUUGCUUUGCAUCGUUCAAUAGUUUCAUCGACUUUGCAUUUAAUGGUGAAAACCCACCUGCAUCCAACAGGUAACUUUCUUUCAGUUGCGUCAACAACUUUCCAUGUUGAGUUUUUUCAAAAGCUCUUCAUCUCUUCAUUCAUUGCCUCCCUCCAUCUGAAAUCUUUCAAAGCUUCCUGCACAUUGUUAGAAAUAGUUGCACAUUGUUAGGAAUAGAUAUAACAUAUAAUUGAUUCAUAAAUGUCAUGCUUUUCUUUGAUAAUCUAUGGUAGGAUACAUAGUUAUUUAUAGGAUAUUUAGAUUUAGAGUUGAGGACAGGUUCAUAGCUAACCUUGCAUUAAAAAAAAGUAAAAAAAAAAAACACCUAAAACUUCUUGCAACGAAAGAUAAGAUGUUGUACAAGAGAGACCACACAUGAAGAAGAGGAGAGAGAACUCUUCUUACAUGACAUGAGAAAUGGCUAAAGAGCCAUGAUAAGAAGAAGGCAGCAGCCUGCCUAAAAUACAGUGAGCCAAAUAUUAAAAGAAGUGUUUGGUUAGAGAAAUAUGGUGGCAACCAUGAAAGGAGAAAAAUGGCUAGGAGCAACCAUGUUCAUAUAGACCAUUUUUAAGGAAAGAAAGAUUGAAAAGAUGGCAAUGAGAUGCCAUUAGCAAGUCAUGACAAGAUGGUUUUCAAUCAAAAUUCAAAUUUAUGUGAGAGUUUCAAAGUUAAGGAGGAGUGUUGGAAAUAAUUUUGAAGUAUUUAUUUAAAGUAAUUUUUAGUUCUUUUAGGUGUGUCCUAGAUAUAUGCAUGUAACUAUCCAAGAUGUAUUUAUCUUUUACGUCUUUUGAAUUAUCCGAGAUUAGUAUAGAUAAGUAUUGUAAAUCUAAGUAUAAAUCUAUAUGGACUUACUAUUUAAAGGAGUAAUUAAUGUAAUACGAAUAAGAUUUGGAUUUCAUCAUGCUUCCCAUGUUCCCAUUACUUUUCUCCUUCAAAUAUGUGGAGUUUUUGGGAUGUCUGACCCGUAUUUCAUAUUCAUACCAGCUAUGUCAUGUCGUGUUGAUCCAGAUGCUUUCGGAGCAUCAGAGUUCUGGAUUAGUAUUAUGUUUAAUUUUUAAGUAAUCUAUGAUUACACAACGGAAAAAGAAGUUUUUACGUAAUCUCUUUUCUUUUCUUAUGUUACAGACCCUGAAAUCACUUCUUGGCGGUCAAGGUAUUGACAUAGGUACAAUCAAUGUGAAUGUCGUCAACAAGAUUGGAUUAACUGCUAGGGACAUGUUAGAUGUCUCACAAAAAAUGCAGGCUGACGCUGGUGAUUUCAUGCUCAGGGAAUUGCUUCACGGUGCUGGAGCAUUAAGAGCAAGGGAACUUGGAACUGUUGUUGAUGUUCAAGUUACUCGUAUCUCUAGCACCGUAUCAGAAUCAUUGAGUCAAAAUUCAGAGCAUUUCUUACUUAAGGUGGCUAAACAUUUAGAUCCAGUGAAGCACUACAAGAAACUAGCUAAAGAAGUUCAACAGGCUCCCCCAGGAACACAAAACGUAUUGUUGGUUGUGGCAGUACUUAUUGCAGGUAUGGCAUACCAAGCCAUCUUAAACCCUCCUGGUGGCAUUCGCACCGAAGAACUUGAAGAUGGGACGGUUUACUAUUAUGCUUGGAUGGCUUCAGGAAAAGGGCGUGAGUUUAUUUUCUUCAUGGCUUCGAACACUAUAGGCUUUUUUGCGUCGAUUGUGGUGAUCAAUUUAAUUAUUCAGGAGUAUCCACUCAAGUCAUUACUGGGGCUAGCUUUGCGUUGUAUGGUGGCAAAUUAUAUUUCUGGGUUUCUUCUUAUUGGCCCGACUAGCGUGUCUAUCACCCGUAGCGCGUUAUUGGGAAUAGUAAUUGUAGUAUCGGUCGACUUAAUUCGCUUCAGCUUCCGGUUACUCAGAAGAUGGUCCAAAAAAAUAAGAGAACAGAUGCUUCAUUAGACCGUGGAGCCAGCGCCGGACUUGAGGUGAAAAAUGAUGCAGCUGAAUAACUCUGCUGCCACAGAGUAAGAUAUGGUAAGUUUUGUGUUACUCGAAUCCUAAACAUCCUUGUAUGGACUCAAAAUCUGCAAGCCCGUUAUAAGUAUUUGGCAGUUUGUGAACUGAUAAAAUUUUACUUCCUGGACGCAUGCUUGGGAAUACAUCUAGUUUUUGUACCCAUGAAUUGUUGCAGGGACAGUGAAAAAUUACACGAAUUUAGGCAUCUUAAAAGUGUUUGAGCUGAAAAAAGAAUGGCAAUGUAAAAUAUCUAGCGAAUAUGGUUGAUUGAGCAUCUUUCAAAAUUUUGAAGAAAAAAGGCACAAAAAUUGUAUGCUUCAUCAUGAUCUCUCGGUAGGUAGUCCAUUACUGACGAAACAUAGAGACAACCAUGCUAUAUAGGGAAUAACAAACACCUUACGCAACUUGGUAAACAUGGUAUGGGAAUUUAAGAUGCCAUUUGAAUUGAAUUCUAUGGAAAAUCUAGAUUUUAGAAUUCAAAGAUUGUUAGUAAUGUUCACCAAGAAAAAUGAAAAUAACAAUCAAUACAAAGUAGACAUCAUCCAGUUGUAUCAAAUAUCAAUUUAUAAGCAAGAGGUUAACAGAGAAACAUUGUGUCAUAAUCCAUUUUUGGAUCACUCCCAAAUCCAUUUCCUUUUCUUUCAAAAGAAAACGAUAUGGUGCCGUUUUAAACGGCACUGUGCAUAUUCUUCUCCCCUCAAAGACAGGGGAGAACAAGAUUUUUGAAAAUUUUUCUCGCUAUUCUUCCCCUCUCUCUUUCCCCUCCCACUUGCAUAAAACCCAUACCUAUAAGUCCAUGCCGCCAUGAUGAAGAAAACAGGAAACCAUGCCUUGCCAGCAGCUCCCAUCACCCACCUUACCCUGCACCAAGGCAGGGGUAAGGUGACCCUCUCCUCCUCUGCUUAUAAAUACCAGAGAAGGAACCAACAAUAAGGGGGGCGGGGGCAAAAAUUUUGGAGAAGGAGAGAAGCAAAUGACAGAUUCAGGGGGGGAGAAUUUUUUUAGAAAAGAGGGAAGCAAGCAGGAAAGAAGCAGAAACAGGAGGGGGGAAAGGUUUUGAAAACAGAAAAGAGUGGUGAACAUUUGAAAACAGAGAAGGAAGGAGAGAUUUGAGAAGGAACAGAGAGAGGAGGACAAUGUUGACAGAGGAAACACACAGGGGAAAAGAAGAAUUGCAGCAGCUUGCCUCUACUCCUCACCGGCGCCCCCCACAGCAACUCCACUGGUCAGCAACCGCCAGCAGCGCCACCCACCGUCAGCCUCCCACCAUCUUCCUUCCCUGCUGCAACACUGUGAAAAAGAAGAAAAAAUAGCAGCACUGGUUGCCACAACCACUGAGCCGCGACAACAUCUCCUCCGCCACCAGCAGCGCCACCGUCAACCUCUAACCAUCUUCCUCCCCCUGCUGCAACACCCUUGAAGAAGAAGGAGCCGGCACCUCUGCACAGACGGAAAAAACAGCAGCAGACACUGCCCGCCACCGCAGAGAAGAAUCACCAUCACUUCGCCAACAACAGCAGCAACCAUUAGAAAUAGAAGAAGAAAGGAGAAGCAGCAGAUAGAAGCGGGGAGAAGAAGAAACACUGAAAAAACAGAAACAGAGGAGAACAGAUUAGAAGAAAAAAACGCAGAGAAGAAAAGAAAGGCCGACCACCAUCCAAGCCGUUCUCCGGUCAGCAACUGCCAGCAGCAGCAGCACCGUGAGCCGCCGCCAGGUCUGCUUUCCCCGCCUUUCCCUUCUUUCUUCUUCUUCUUCCCCAUGCAGGUUCCACUGUUCAUGCGAACUUUGGGCCGGAUCAAUUCUGGCUCAGCUCAAAUUUCUGGGCCGGUUCCGGCCCGUUCAAAAAAAAUCCAAAAAAAUAUUUUCGUCAAAAUCUGUGAUUUUUUUAGCAAAAUUUGUCUCUACUGUUGAUGUACAUGAUUAUUUCCUCCAAGAAAUAGGUAUAUUCUUCGUCAAGAGCUUCAUCAGCCCCAUUUCCGUUUCAAACUUCUCAGGAAGCCUGUCUUUGGCCAUCUCUACAUAGUUUGGUUCCAAAAUCCAAUAUUACAACCAACAAAACUCGUCUCUGGUCUGAUUCUCUUUAAGAAGCUGUACUUCGUAUAUAUGUAUUAGGGAGAAUCUGCACUUGAGAUCACCUUUGUCUUCACAUGAGAUGCACGCAAGGAUUUAUACACGUCGAUGGAUGCUUUCUUUAAAUCAUAAAUUCAUCAUCGUAUAUAAUCAUAUCAAAAUUUGCUAUAAAACUCCUUACUCUCAUAUGAAAUUCAACUGUUAUGAGUCUCUUGUUAACAUUUAACAACUUCCAUUCAGCAUGAGAUUUAAUUGCAUGAUCUUAUCUUAACAAUAACUUGGACAACCCAACACAUAACAUUGGAUCAAAUUAGUUUUUUUCUUUUUUGGAUUCUCAAUACUUAAUAAGGAAAUGAGAUUCGUAAGAAACUAAUUUGGUCCAACAGUACGCGUUAAGCUAUUCAAGUCAUUGUUAUCGUGUUACCAUACAAGUAUACCUCAAGUCGUGGCUUUAAGCCUAACUCUUACACUUUACCAUAGAAAGUGGAGAAUUCAUGGGAGUACACAAUCUUCAUAACCAUUAGGAGCAACAAUGGGAGCUCAACGACCAAAAUAGUUUUUUGUAUUUAAGGAAAUCAUUACCAGAAUUCUUAUAUUUACCAACAGAAUUUUCCGUCGAUAUUUGUACUAUCAUUUCAUUGGCAAUUAAUUUACCGAAAGAAUCACAGAUAAAAAUGCUCUGUCGGUAAUUUUUUAUCUAUCGAUAAGUCCGUCGAUAAUAACAAAAUAUUAUUACUGAUGCAUUUACUGACGGGAAAAGCGUGCUAAAAAACAUUAUUCGCUUCAUUACGUCGGUAUUUUUCUCAGGAAGUUUGUCAUAUAACCAACAAAAAUAUUGUAUGCAAUUUCGUCGGUGAUUAUUUAAAAAUAUUAUUUUAUAAAAAUCUAUUUAACAAAACUAGAAAAAAAUUAAAUUAAUAUAAAUCAACACUCCAUAAUACUCAGAACUGAGUUGCUUAAAAAAAAUCAACUCAAACAAAUGUGCAACAAAAAAAUAAACAACAACAACAAAUAAAUAAAUCAACAAAAAAUUGAUCUCAUAUGAAAAACAAAUCCUACAACAACAUUCAUACAAUUACUAAGAACAGAAAAAUUUAAAAAUAUAAUAAAAAAACACAAAAAAAUAAGAAAAAAGAAAUUUUACCUUGAUGUAGUUGCGACUGAAGCUGAGAAGAGAAAAAAAAUCAUAAAAUAUGUUAAUUAAAAAAACUAAAAAGAGAAAAGAAGAAAAAAUAAAAAGGCAUGCAUGAGCGUGGAGAAGAAGAGAAGGAGUUUAGGAGAGAAAGAAAGAAAGGGACUUUGAUGUUUUUUAUAUAAGAAGAAGAAGAAGAAGAAGAAAAGGGCAUGUUUGUUAUGAAAUGAGGGAUUCUAGUCUUUUUAUUGAGGUAUUUUACCGAUAAUUUUACCGACGGAUAAUUAAAUAUUAAUAUUUUUAACCAUUCUGUCGGUGAUUCCGUCUUUAAUAUUUAAUUUAAAAUUUCAAUAUGAUAUAUAUAUUUUUUUAAUAUUGAGACGAUAAUAUUUUGAGCUUUGUAGCUUAACCCGCAACCCGAGUUAUGAACUCCAUUGAGUUUAAUAACUUUGUUUUUUGAAACUAUUUUUUACUUAAUUUUAUGAUGAUAAAAUUAGACACUUAUAAAAUUGAGCACCAAUCAAAUAUCAGCUCAUUUGUUUAAGGAUGUAAUAACUUUAUAAAAAGCAAAUCAAAAUAAAUUAUAAAUAAUAAUUUAAAAGCAAUGCAUCAUUGAGUAAUGAAAUUUAAAUUAAAAAAAGAAGAAAAAAAAAGAAGAGGGACCUGCUUGUAUUGUUUACAUGAACAGUGCAAGCAGGCGAUUUCCCCUUAAUUCUUGAUGUUGUUGUUAGUAACAGUAGCUGUAGUAACAAUAGUAAAAUAAAAAAGAAAGAGGCAAUAAACUAUAAAAAAAUGAGUUAUAAUAUAUAAAAUCAAUGAUUCUUUAUAUAUUUUUUUUACGAUAUACAUCAGUUUCGAUAUAAAUAAUUUAUUUAAAAUCUAAUUGAAAAUAAAUUUAGUUAUAAUAUAUAAAAUCUAGUCCAAAAAUAAUUUUACCUUUAAUACCCAAGAGAAAUCUUAAGAAUAACCACUCCAGAAACCAAAAUAAUUGUAUCAACAAAAAAAACAGAGCUAAAAUAUUUUUUUUAACAUAGAUAAAUAUAUAAUAAUUUACUUUAUUUUUCAUGAUAUUUUGGGUUUCCAAAUGGACGACCCCAAAUCCAGCCCUAAACCCUGUAUUUUUUUAUUAAUAAACCUAUUUUUGGAAGAAUGAAAAAGAUGGAUUAUUUUGUUAUUGAAUUUUUAGCCUAAAAAACUGAAAUUUAUUCUCGUGAAAAUUAUCCAGUAAUUAAAGAUGAAAAAAUAAAAAAUAAGCCCCAAAUAUCAAUACCCCGAAUUCCCAAAACAAAUUAAACUACCCAAAAAACACAAAACACCUCCUCAAAUAACAAAAGUAGGGUUUUAUAGCUCUUUACCGCUUAUAUAUAACUUCUUGACACCCCUGUUUCUCCUCCAUUAGCAGGCUCCACACCUCCAAAAACCCUGUUUUCAUCACACAAAUCCUUUCAAAAACUUACCUUUUAAAAAAACUCUCUGAAUGAUGCCUCCUAGGCUUCACUUGUUACAUUUCACUGAAGUAGAAAGCCCCAAUGCUCGUGCUAAAACACCUGCCGUUCAGUGUUGUAGUUUAGCCUCUUGUACCUUUUUUCACGGCUUAUCUGUUUCAAAUCAACGACUACAUCUCUUAUUUCUUAAAAUUUCUCUUUUUUUCAUCCGGGUAUGUGUUUUUUUGUUGCCUCUCUAUACCUCUAGCUUGUUUUUUGAGAACUAUGGUGGAAAUUAAGCUAGUCACUGAGGCAAAAAUUGAGUCUUUUUGGUGGUGUUCACGUGGGGGCUUAUGCCCUUUGUGUCAGUGGUUUUGCCUCUAAAAACUCCUUCCGAAUUCAUCAAGUUUUGAUUGUUUUAUGUUAUUGAAUUUGUUGGCGAUUAUUAUAUUGGAUUUAUCGCUCUCCUGAGAGAAAUCAAUGAAGCAAAGAGAUAAAUCAAGUUUUGAUUGGAUUCAUCAAGUUUUCUUUUUAUUGAUUGAUCUUGGGUUCUGUUUGUUCUGUGAUUAAAGUUAUGUUUUUUUCCAGAAAUUUUUGGCAGUGAUGAUUAAUAUACAGCUUUAAUGCCAGUUCUGCUACUGAAAAUUCUUGAUUGAUAGAGCUGUUAUAACUCUGAGCCAUUUAAUUUAUAGAUACAAAAUAGUUUGAAUAGCUUAUUACAUUGCAUCCAUUCAUGAAUUCCUUGUAUAUCUAUUUUUAAUGUUAAUAAAUAUGUAGGAGGUUUAAGGUUUUUGAGACUUGGCUAUGGUAAUUUUUGGUUUGAGCAAAAUUGUAAUGUAAGAUUGCCUAUGAUGAUAUAAUCCAAUUUGUUUAAGGUGCAGUGGAGCCAUGUCCCUGUUUAUCAGGGAGAACCUACUUGGUGGAAGCUACAUUACGAUGAUAUUAAUGGAUUUAACUGAGGUAAUUUGAUUUUGAAAUUUAUGUAGUGUUUGAUACGCUGUUAAAAGAUGGGUUAUACGAUACAAAGAUGUUUGGGGUAUCUUUGAAUAUUAUAAAAAUCAUUUCUCCACUUUUCUGGUGGAGAAAUUUUUGUUUAUUAAAAGAAUACGUUUGUUUAACUUAAAUUUAUGUGUUUGCGGUAUAAAAAAUACAGUAAGGUAUUUGGUUACACACCAAACUGUGUUUUAUAAUACGGGGCCUAUUAAAAAUUGCGUUUGAAACACAGUUUUUGUGAAGUAGUUUUUACAUGUUUUUUUUAACUAAGUUUCAUAAAAUGCUAUUUGUUUUUGCAUUUCAAAAGCACUUUUGAAAAAAUUUGAAAACUUUUUAUUUUUUUUACUUGAAAUUAAUAUUUUUUUAUUUUCAGAUUAAUUUGAUGCGUUGAUAUCAAAAAUAAUUUUUUUAAAAAUAAAAAAAAAUUAUCUUGAUUUAUUUUCAAGUAAAAAACACUUUGAAAAACAACCGCAACCACACUUCCAAACACAAUUGAACCAAACAUUUUAUACAUGUUUUUUGCUACACAUAAGCCUCAGCCAUAAUUUUUAUCAAACACGUAUCUAAAUUCAACUAAUCACACUUUUUAAAACUUACUUUUUUAAAACCGCAACCACAAAAGCUACCUAAAAAACAAACACACUUUUUAGGAGUAGAUCAAGCUUGUUCAGGGUUGUUUUUUAUUGAUAUAAAAAUAAAACUGGUUAUUAUUAUAGUUUUAAAAUUUAAAUAGUAGUCGAUCCAGAGCAAGUUCUGGAUUAUAAAUCAGGUUGAUUAUUGACCCGAAUCAAUGUAAAGAUAAAAAUAAUUAUUAUCUUAAUUUAAAAUUUAAUAUAAGUGAUGACCCAAGGCAAGACCUUAAUUAUAUGUUAAGAAGGUUGAUAAGGGUUGAUCCAAGUUAAGUUAAUAAAUGGAUAACAAUACCUUGGUUACAUUAUAGGAACGUCAGCUACGAUUGAUCCAAGUAAAGUUAAUGUACGGAUAAAAAUGAUUAUAAUAAUUGUUUUAAAAUCUCAUCCCAGAAGUUUAUUUGGGACAACGUCUAGUUAUGAGUCAAAAUGAUUAAUCCAAGUUAAUCUAAAUAAAUAAAAAAAACCAAAAUAAUCUUGUUUUGACCUUAAAAAAAAUCAUAGGUUUUUUAUCCAUGUUUUAUCUCGAAUCAACUUAGAUUUUUAAUUAGAUUAAGUUGAAUCAAUUCUUUUAUCCUUUUUAAAAUGGAUUGAUCCACUCUUGUAAUUCAGUGUUAAUCAAAUAUAAAAUAAAACAUAUUAUUUAAUCCAAAACAUACCAAACAUAAAACAAGACAAUCAAAACUAUUGACUACACCGAAACUAGCUUAGCGUUUUCUAUAGCUCAUUAAUCAUGGAAAAAAUAAACAAAUUGAAUUUCUUUUAUCUCUGUUGUUCAAAUUGAGUCUUAACUACACUCUUUACACCUUGUCAGCGGGAUUAGGGUCUGAAAAACUCUGUUGUCAUCAGCUUCAUCUCCUUCAUAACCCACCGGAUCGGAGUUAAAUAAUAGCACUACAUUAAUUUCUCAAAAUGUUUAUGUUCUGCUGUUUUAUAUACCCAUUUUCCUCCUUUUUUUUUAUUAUGUUGAACUUGUUAGCCUUCAUUCUAUGAUCUCUAUAUUGAAGGUGUUAGCAUUUUCCAAGUGCCAAAAUUGAAUUUUUCGAUCAUUGUACUCGUGAAAAGCAAGGUGAAAUAUCUGGAUAAAUAAAACUAUCGUUACAGCUGAUGCCAUCAAGAAGAUGACGAAAAUAUAGUUUAUAACACGAGCUAAUAUCAGACUCUUUUAAAGUCUGCUGUGAAGUGUUUAUUUUCAGUAUUUCAAAAGGGACCGUAAAUUAACCAUAAGAUGACGAGAAGAUAGUUUAUAACACGAGCUAAAUGAGAAUCAAUCUUCUUCAAUAUCAGACUCUUUUAAAAGUCUGCUGUGAAGUGUUUAUUUUCAGUAUUUCAAAAGGGAGCGUAAAUUAACCAUAAGAUGACGAGAAGAUAGUUUAUAACACGAGCUAAAUGAGAAUCAAUCUUCUUCAAUAUCAGACUCUUUUAAACUCUGCUAUGAAGUGUUUAUUUUCAGUAUUUCAAAAGGGAGCGUAUAUUAACCACCUUUGCCUCGAACGCAAAGAAGAUGAAGGCUACACCAAUGACACAAGUCGUGAUUGCAAGCCAUGAUGAUGUAGAUAGCACUGCAUAACUUCCUGUGAUGAAUGCGAUGACCAUUGCUGGGAUGGCACAUAUGGUUAAAGUAGAUGUCCAUUCAGAGAAGUUUUCUUUUAUAUCCUCUUCCACUUGAACUCUUGUUCCAAGCAGUGCCCAAUAAAAGUGCAUGAAGAGAGCAGAAAUUGAGAGAGCCAUUGCUAUUGCAUCUGAUAUAACAAAGACUGCAAAAGCAGCAUUUUUAACAAGAACUGCAGUGCCUUGUUCGUUCUUGUAACCACCAGGCACGGUGAAAGCAGCUGCAAAUGUUACUGUUGCUACGAGGGCCGCUACAACUAUAUGAGCAUCUAUUCCUCUCUCAGUAAUAGAGAGGUAGUCUGUUUUCAUCAUAGUUAUGGGCCGUUGAAGCGGUCCACUCCGUACAUCUUUCAAUGAUUCCAAAAACUCUUUCUGCAACAAGUUUCGGCUAUGAAAUUAAACGAAUCUUUCUUUUCGACUCUCAACCUUUGUUUGCUAUCAUAACCAGCGACUUUGAAAUCAAGUAAUUUUGUUGCUUUUAGCUACCAACAAUAUAUAUUGCUUUUGUUGCUACGAGAGCUGUUUUGUUUUUUAGUUUUAAAUUGUUUUUAGGUAUGAUUUAAAAGUUUUUUUAAUUUGAAAAAACAUCAAAUUAAUUUUUUUAUAUAUUUUUUGAUGUACUGAUAUGAAAAAUAAAAUAAAAAUAAAUAUAUUUUUAAUUUUUUUUUUUAAAAAAAAAACAUCUAAUACCAUGGUAUAUCAACCAACAUUAAAACAAAAGGAAACAAAGAAACCAACAUCAGUUUAGGGGACAAAGCAAAUAGUGUUAAUCAAUUAAAUUUUUUUUUUUGUUGAAGUUGAAGGUAUAAUUUUGUUAUAUUGCCAAAAGGAUUCUAUUCUAUUUUUAUUUUAUUUAAAAAAAAGGGAGAAAAACCAAGUGAAUUUAUGUUUGAUUGAUGUGCUUUAUUAAUGGUGCAUGCAUACGUAUUUAUUGUUACAGUUGAAGUUUUUUUUUUUUUAAGAAGAUUGAAUGAAUAUUAUAAAUUCUCUUGAUGCAUCCUUUGAUAUAUAUGAAAAAAAUAUUACAUCAUUCCUAUAUGACAAUUUAAAUUUAAUUUUUUUUUGGCAAGUUAGCGUUACACUUAAUCUUGCCAAAACAAAAUGCAAAGACUCUUUCGCGUGUACGAGUGCGACUAGUUAGAAGUCAAAUCGAGGGAAUUACCUUAUCUUCAGGAAAAUUUCCUACCAAGAUGUCAUCAACGCUGAGGUUUUGCUUGUUAAGGCCACACAUGUUCCUGUACGCAUGUCUCCAAUCACUACUCAAAUACCUCUGGGGAAAAUUGCGGAAAGCAGCAAAUAGAUGCAAUGGUGUGUUUCCAUCGUUAUCCUUCUCGUAUAUAAGUUUGUCAAAUUUAGGAAUCCAUCGAGAGAAAUAGAUAGCUACCAGUCCUUCUAUAGUUGUGGCAGCAUAGUGAAGGGCAUUCCAACCUCUGGUAUCCACUAGUUCACAAGAAGCUGGGCACAUGAUCAUAAUCACUCUCAUUGCUAGCAGAUUGCCUCGAACGACGGCCAUGUGAAGGGCAGUUCUCUUCUCUGAAUCAACAAUGUAGGCUGCGGACGCAUCAUGUUUUAGUAAUACUCUUACUGUUAGAAAACCAUUCAAUAAAGGGGAAAAGGCAGCGUAGUGAAGUGGUGACCACCCGUCAUCGUCGGUUCUUCUCGUCAAGCUCUCCUCUCUUUUUAAUAUCUUUCUUGCUGUCUCUGCAAUAAACCAUAAAAAAAAAUAUGGUACAUAUUAGGUAAUAAAUGAAUAAUAUUAUGGUUAAUGCGUAAUCUACGCUACUAAUUUAGUGAUAAGUUAAUAUUUAAUUUGGCAUUUUUCUCUCUUUAAUUGUAUUAUAAAUGCCCUUUCUUGCUUUCUACGUUCUUUGGUUCUUAUAGUCGCUAUUCAAUAUUGUUUAUGCAUCCUAUUAUUUUUUUUGUUUCUUAUUAUUUGGUCAUAUUUAAAAUAAUAAUAUGGAAAUAUCAACAACUCCAACUUCAUUUAAACCAGAUGACCAAAGUUUUUAAGAAAAACUAUAAACAACAAGAAUAAAGUUCAAUAUUAUUAUGAGCUUUUAAUUUUUUUUAAUAAAUACAAUUUAACCUUUAAUUUAACAAACAUACAAUGAAACCUCUAAUAAAAGAACAAUAUCCUAAAGGUUAAAAUAAGAUUUUUUAAGAAACUCAAAAUAAAUGACUUUAAUAAAUAACAAGAAACUAAAAUCUAAAAAACACAAUAUAUUGAGUACUAAACAGAUAAGGGUUUUUCUUGAAUUAAAAACGAAUUUAGUUUUUUUUUUUUUUGUACACCUUAAAUUAUGUAGGGACUACUUAAAAAUUAUAAGUUACAUCAGGAUUUGUUUGUAUUGAAUAAAAAUUCAGAAACAAUUUAAAUAAUUUAAGAUAAGAACUAACUUCUCACAGUUAUGGUUUCCGAUAAUAAUAUAUGAAUUCAAAACUUUACAGUUCAGAAUAAAAUCUUACCAUGAUCACCAUGCAUGGCUGCCGCGUGUAGUGCGGUUCUGCCAUGAGAACCACAAUAUUCCACUGACUUGCAAUUACUCAAGAUUUCGUCGAUCACUUUUUUUCUAUUUUCUUCAUGUCUUGUAAACCUCCAAUUCUUAAACCUUACAUUGGCAGCAAUAUAAUCAUAAUUAGAUAUAUAUGAUUUUUAUUGACAUUUUAAGUCCAAUAAAUAAGAGGUUUUUUUUAUUUACUCUUUUAUAAGAGAAAAAAAAAAUGCUACCAUUAUCAAAAUUCUUUUCCUUUUCAUCAUUUUUUUUGCCUUUCCGGGAAGUUUGCUUUAUAAAAGAGAAUUAAAAACCAUUAAAUUUUGCUAUUUUUUAUUGUUCUUAAAAAAAACAAUCAGGGAGAUAAGUGAACUUAUUCAUAUUGAAUUAAUAUGUCUCGAGUUCAAGAACAUACAUAGCAUAAAAAAAUAACCAGGUAAAAUCCUAUUAUUAUAGAAGCAUUGCUUUUCUAUUAUCUUUUAUGAUAAUUUUAAAAACAGAUUUACUUUAACAUUAUAAAGCUGAACAAAUUAAAAUUAAUCAUGCAACAAUUACAUUUAUAUAAUCUUAAAACGAUAGUAUUCUAGAUUGAUAAAUAGAUUAGUAAAAAAUUGAUUAAUCUAGUAUAUAUUAAAAGAAAAAAAAGAUGUUGGUCACAUAUAGUAUCGAAUCGGUAUCAAACUCUGUUUGAGACUAAAAAAAAUGUGCACAAACCUCAUAUUGGCAGCAAUAUAAAGUGGAGUUUCUCCAUGAACAUUGGCGGAAUAUGAAAACUCAGGGUCCUCUUUUGUCAAUAUUUCCACCACUUGGGCUUGGAUAUUUCGAGCUGCCACAUGCAACGCUGUAUCUUUCUCUUCAUUCGUCAUCCUCAACAUCUUCUUUGCUUCUGUUACUCCGCUCUCUAGAUCAGUAGGUCGAGCUUUUGCGCGGUCAAUGAGGACUCUUACCACGUUGGAACGCCCAUAUCUUGCCGCAAAAUGGAGUGGGAUUUCACCUUUCUUAUUGGCCUGCAAUAAUAGUGGUGGACACAUAUCAAUAAUUUGGCCAACAAAAUCAGUGGAUUUCGAUCCUUUACGUUGGUUUUCUAAGUAAACAUGAAGAAUUGUGUUUUUUUUUGGAGUCAAUAGCUCAUUGAGAGAAGUUGGAAGACGAUCCUUAAAUGGGUUGAUGUUGCCUGCUUCUGCAGCUUUGUACAAUUUUGGUUCCAUGUAAGUGAUGCUAUUCAUUUGUUGAUCAGAGGAAUUCAUCUUGUAUGACUGUUGUUUGUUGAAAAUUUUGGCUAGUUCCAUUUACUAGCUAGGCUUGUAAGCCUAUUUAUACUAAUUCAUCAAUAUGGAAAAAUAAAUAAAUAAAGCAGAGGAAGAGGAAGCUGUCUGAGUUCUGUUAGAGAAUAGAAUAAAAAUGAUUCUAGAAGUUUCACCUAAUGAUUUAAAUUUUUAUAUAUUCAAAAAUAUAAAACAAAUUAUAAAAAUAAAUUUAAAUUUUUAAGUUAAGAUGGUUAUUUAAUAUUUUCAAAUAAUAAAUGAUUUCUUAAAAAGUUAAAUUACAUGCUUAGGAAAUAGUAGACGAGUACAGAUGGAAAUAAAAAGAAAAUGAAGAGGAAACCAUUGUGAUAUAAGUCUUCUGGGAUACAUUAUUUUGAAGUAAGAUAUGCUUUAGCACAAUCAUAUUUCGUUUCUUUUCACUUUUUGUUGCAAUUUUCUCUGCCUUGCUGGGAAAUUAUGCAACAUAGGUAGUAAUUCAAAAACUUAUUAAGAACUCAAAAUUGAACAAAAAUAAUGACAAAAAAACCAAAAUAAUGCCAAAAAAAAAAACACACACACACACACACAAAAAAAAAAAAGAAAAAUAAAUGAAAACUUCUUCCCUUAAUGGCAUACUUAAUUCCAGCUAAGAGUUAAAAAACAAAAAGAAAAUAAAAGAAAUAAAUUGUUAAUAAACCCAAAAAUAAAUAAAGAAAGAAAGACAAUAUACCUGAGAAUGAGAAGAGAAGAGGAGGCUUGAUUUCGGCUGAGAAGGAGAGAGAGAGAUAGAGAGAAGAUAAUUGUUAGUUGAGAAGAAGAGAGAAUUAAGAAGAUGAUAUCUCAUUUGUUCUGAUCUGGUCUUUUUAAUUUAGAUUUACCAACGAAAUUACCAGCAAACUAUUAAAUAUUAAUAUUUUUAAUAUUUCCAAUGGUGAUUUUGUCUGUAAAGUCAAAUGAAAAUUUCCAACUUGUAUGAAAAUUCUUAAAAACCUCUCCAACUAUCACCAAUGACUUUUAAGUCCAUCGGUGAUUCCGUUAGGAAAAAAAAAGUAAAUAGUCAACAAUUACUAGAAGCAGUAAUUAUUAGCGUAUUGGAAUUCUUAUCGUCACUAGAAUACAACGACAGACAUAUUUUGUCAGUAUACCCGUGUGUAAUGUACACCAUGAAUAGUGACAGGGAGAAGGGAAACAUUUUCCAUCGUCACUAGAAUAUACCAACAAAAACAUUUUGUCCGUAUACCCGUGUAUAAUGUACAUUAUGUCAGUAUUUUCAUCAUUGUAAAACAAUGUUUGAUGCUAAAUUGUAUAUGUAUUCCUUAUCUAUCCAUCCUACAAAUACUUAAAUUCACAAGUGCACAUACAACACAAUAACAAUAGCUCACAUCACAAUAAUAAAACAAAUAUUUCCUUGUUAUUCAACAAUAAAUUAACAUCAUUGUCAUUAUAUUGAAGUGAGUUUCAUCCAUAAAUACUACAUUAUAAUUUAUGACAUUAUAUAUUCGUGUUGUGCAAAUUAAUUAGAAUUUUCUUCUUGUUCAUUAAUUGACUCGUCUUCAUCUCCAUCAUAAUCUUAUACAUUGAUUUCAUCAUUAUCAUCAUCUUCAUCAACUUGUGAAUGUUUGCGAAAGCUCAAAACAUCGAUCAACUCCUUAGCAUCAACAUCAACAUCAACAUCAACAAAAAUAUUAUUGACUAUGUGAAAUUUUAAAUUUUCUUCUAAGUCAUUAAACAAAACAACUUGAUGUGGAUCAACUAACUUUUCAAGUUAAAAGACAUCAUCUCCCACAAUUAAUUCAUUGUUCUCAUCCUGAACAACCUUGAUAUGACCCUUGAGUUUGGUUUUCACUACGAAUAAUCAAUCAACUUUUGAAUAAUCAUUUCUAAAAAAAAGGGUGUAUAUGUAAAAAACUUAUUAGUAUUGCUUGAUACAAACAAAGACAUCGUCGAAGUUGUAGAGUCUAGACUUUGAAUUAAUUUCAACCAAACCAUGAUGGUGAUCCUCUCUGAUUCCUCUGUUAUUGGUGUCAUACCAAUAUCAUUUAAAUAAAAAUACUUUAUCAUGCUCGCUAUAAUAUUGCAAUUCACUUACCUCUUCUAACUUCUCAUAAUAGUCAACUUCAAACUUAUUAGAAGUCAAUCCCUUAACACAAAGCCUACUAUUAUGUCUUUCUACCCUGCCCAUAUUUUUUAAUAUGAAACACAUGUCCAUUGAUGAAAUACCAGUUGUAACACUUCACAUUUCUUUUAGGAUCUAUACUUAGUAUAGAUAAAGUAACACCUGCAUUCCCUCCAAAUUGAUAAACAUGAUACAUGAAAUACAACCAUGAACAAUUAACGGGAAAUGUGUAAUGAAAUUAAGUAUCCCAAAAGAUAAGAAUAAUUAAACAGCACUAAUAUAUGUUUUGAACCAUGUGGAAAACUGUUCAUUUUGUAAUCGAAAUAUUUGAGAUUCAGUCUGCUAUGAAUUUUGGAACAAUAAAAAUUGAUGAUGUUUCCUAUAUAUAAUUCAAUAAUGUAUCAUUUUAUAAUAUUAUAAGAGAUAAAUUGAUCGAGAAUAAAGAAAUGUUAAGUAGUAUACUUACUGGAUAAAAGAUUUCAGUUCGGUUAAAUAGUUUGUGAAUUUUAUUUCUCACAAAUAUUUUCCCUCACAAUAUUUUUUAGUACAGGUCGUCUAGAAUGAGAUCAUAUUAACAAACUCCCACUAAACAACAUUUUAUGAACAUGUACAUGAUAUUUUAUGUAGAAUGAAAUGUUAUUAUAUACAUUGAAAUGUUGUUUUAUUUUAGGGUGUGCAUAACUUCCUAGAAAGUCAAAGUAUCAAUGUUUUCUCUUAUAAAAGAAUAAACAAAAGUGCAAAAAUAAUCACAUCUCUUUUCCUUUUCACUUUUGUAAUGUGAAAUCCUUUACCUUGCUAGGAAGUUAUGCUUUACACAAGGAAAUGAAGAAUAAAAAAAAUUUAAAUUUUUUUUAUUGUCCUUAAAAAAAAAUUACGUAGACAAAUGAGGUUUAUUCAUAUGAUAGAAGCAUUGCAUCUCCUAUAUAUAAUAUAUUUAUUAUAUCACUAUAAUAAAUAUAUUAUAGUGAUAUAUUAGAUAUGUUGUAAAAUUAAAUAUAAUAAACAGAAUUAAACUAUAACUUAAGGCGUAUAUAGACACUGUUUUAAAAGAUAUUUUCUCAACACAAGGUUGUUCUCCAGGAUCCAACAACUUCUUCAUCUAAAGACGAGAGUUACAUAAACAAGGACAAAGAUAGAAAAGAAAUACCAGCCAACCUUGCAAAUACAAAAAAAAAAAUAAUAUGAUUUUUUUUUCUUUUGCUAUAUUUGAUUGUAAGAGUAGAUGGUAUAUAUAGGCUACUAACAUGUAAUAGCUAGGUACAAAAUAAAUUAGAAAAUUAAAAAAUUAUUACAAUAGUUAAAGAAAUAAAAGAGGUUUUAGGGAAUUAAAAAGUUAUGGCUAUUAAUAAAAAUUAAAAAAAAAAGAGUUGUUAAAAAAAUAUUCACAAAAAUCUGAUUUCUUUGUAACCCAUUUCCAUUAGCACAGAUAUUACAUUAUUUAAGAAACUUGUGACCAUUUUCAAAUGCAAAUUUAAAAUUGUUUUGAAAAAAUUAAUAAUAUAUAUAUAGUCGUUUAUUGGUCGCAAAAUAUUGAUGAUAAAAUUCCUAUUUUGUAUGGAAUAAUUAAUUUUUCUAAUUAGAUAGUUAUUGCUAACUAAUAUUAUAGGAUCAUCAUAAUUUUUUUAAAAUAAUUAAUUUUCAUAAAAAAAACAUUAACAACAAUAAUAAUCAUAAUUUUCAAUAAUGAAACAAAAAUUUUAGCUAAAAUUUGGGAACAUUAAUUACAACCAAAACAAUCAGUACUAGAUUUGCUAUCAAAUAAAGUUCUAUUGAAUUUUUUUUAAAAAAAAUAUAAUAAUUUUUUGGAAUGAUUUGCUAAUCACAAAUAGAAAAUAAAGAGUUUAAAAACAAAAUGUGAUCCAAUUUUUUAGUUUCAUUCACUUCACUGAAUAGAGUUUUAUGAAUGUAUACAUAGCAUAUACAGUAAAAUGUUGUUUUAGUUUAGUAUAUGUUUCUAAGGGGGGUUGUGUGUGUUUGAUUUAAUUACUUUUUAAGUCCGACAAAUAUUGAUGUAGCGGGAAGAUAGAAAAAUUGCAGAAAGGAAGAAAGUAGUUUUUAUUAUUCUGUACUGGACAACAUAUAUAAUCAAAACGGUUCGUAUUUAAAGACAUCAGUACAAGAGUAAGAAAAGGAGGUAUGCAUAAUUAUAGCAGAUAUUCUUCAAGAGUUAUAGCAUAAUUUUUAUCAAGAUCAUGGCAGAUCAUGAGGAAGCUUGAUUUGGGAUUUCCUGAACGUAAGCUUCCUUCUCUGAAGCAUUUUCCUUAUCAGAAACCUUAACACGAGAUACUUAGAUAUAUACGAGUGUCAAGGUAUCAAUAUUCUUUAUUUAUAAAAAAGAAAAAAAAAAGAUUAAAAAAAAAAGAGCUAACAUAAUCACAUUUCUUCUUCUUCUUUUUUUGUUGCGAAAUCCUUUGCCUUGCUAGGAAGUUUAAAAGAGUAAGAAAAGGAUAUAUGCAUAAUUCUAGGAGAUAUUCUUCAAGAAUUAUAGCAUAAGAUUUAUCACGAUCACGACAGAUCAUAAGGAAGCUUGAUUUGGGAUUUCCUAAACGUGGGCUUCCUUCUCUAAAGCAUUUUCCUUAUCAGAAACCUUAACACGAGAUACUUAGAUAUAUACAAGUUUCAAGGUAUUGAUAUUCUCUAUUUAUAUAAAAGAAAAAAAAGAUUAAAAGAAAGAUCUAACAUAAUCACAUUUCUUUUCCUUUUCUUUUUUGUGUUGCAAAAUCCUUUGCCUUGCUAGGAAGUCUAAAAGAGUAAGAAAAUGAGAUAUGCAUAAUCCUAGCAGAUAUUCUUCAAGAAUUAUAGCAUAAGAUUUAUCAAGAUCACGGCAGAUCAUGAGGAAGCUUGAUUUGGGAUUUCCUGAAUGUAAGCUUCCUUCUCUCAAGCAUUUUCCUUAUCAGAAACCUUUACACGAGAUACUUAGAUAUAUACGAGUGUCAAUGUAUCGAUAUUCUCUAUUUAUAGAAAAGAAAAAGAAGAUUAAAAAAAAAGAUAUAACAUAAUCACAUUUCUUUUCCUUUUCUUUUUUGUGUUGCAAAAUCCUUUGCCUUGCUAGGAAGUCUAAAAGAGUAAGAAAAUGAGAUAUGCAUAAUCCUACCAGAUAUUCUUCAAGAAUUAUAGCAUAAGAUUUAUCAAGAUCACGGCAGAUCAUGAGGAAGCUUGAUUUGGGAUUUCCUGAACGUAAGCUUCCUUCUCUGAAGCAUUUUCCUUAUCAGAAACCUUUACACGAGAUACUUAGAUAUAUACGAGUGUCAAGGUAUCGAUAUUCUCUAUUUAUAGAAAAGACAAAAAAAGAUAAAAAAAAAAGAUAUAACAUAAUCACAUUUCUUUUCCUUUUCUUUUUUGUGUUGCAAAAUCCUUUUCUUUGCUAGGAAGUCUAAAAGAGUAAGAAAAUGAGAUAUGCAUAAUUCUAGCAGAUAUUAUUCAAUAAUUAUAGCAUAAGAUUUAUCAAGAUCACGACAGAUCAUGAGGAAGCUUGAUUUGGGAUUUCCUGAAUGUAAGCUUGUUUCUCUGAAGCAUUUUUCUUAUCAGAAACCUUUACACAAGAUACUUAGAUAUAUACGAGUGUCAAUGUAUCGAUAUUCUCUAUUUAUAGAAAAGAAAACAAAGAUUAAAAAAAAAAGAUAUAACAUAAUCACAUUUCUUUUCCUUUUCUUUUUUGUGUUGCAAGAUCCUUUGCCUUGCUAGGAAGUCUAAAAGAGUAAGAAAAUGAGAUAUGCAUAAUCCUACCAGAUAUUCUUCAAGAAUUAUAGCAUAAGAUUUAUCAAGAUCACGCCAGAUCAUGAGGAAGUUUGAUUUGGGAUUUCCUGAACGUAAGCUUCCUUCUCUGAAGUAUUUUCCUUAUCAGAAACCUUAACACGAGAUACUUGGAUAUAUACGUGUGUCAAGGUAUCAAUAUUCUCUAUUUAUAAAAAAGAAAAAAAAGAUUAAAAAAAAGAGCUAACAUAAUCACAUUUCUUCUCCUUUUCUUUUUUGUGUUGCAAAAUCCUUUGCCUUGCUAGGAAGUUUAAAAGAGAAAGAAAAGGAGAUAUGCAUAAUUCUAGGAGAUAUUCUUCAAGAAUUAUAGCAUAAGAUUUAUCACGAUCACGGCAAAUCAUGAGGAAGCUUGAUUUGGGAUUUCCUGAAUGUAGGCUUCCUUCUCUAAAGCAUUUUCCUUAUCAGAAACCUUAACACGAGAUACUUAGAUAUAUACGAGUUUCAAGGUAUCGAUAUUCUCUAUUUAUAGAAAAGAAAAAAAUAUUAAAAAAAAGAUGUAACAUAAUCACAUUUCUUUUCCUUUUGGUUUUUGUGUUGCAAAAUCAUUUGCCUUGCUAGGAAGUUUAAAAGAGUAAGAAAAGGAGAUAUGCAUAAUUCUAGCACAUAUUCUUCAAGAAUUAUAACAUAAGAUUUAUCAAGAUCACGCCAGAUCACGAGGAAGCUUGAUUUGGGAUUUCCUGAACGUAAGCUUCCUUCUCUGAAGCAUUUUCCUUAUCAGAAACCUUAACACGAGAUAGUUAGAUAUAUACGAGUGUGAUCAAAGUAUCGAUAUUCUUUAUUUAUAGAAAAGAAAAAAAAAAGAUUAAAAAAAAAGCUAACAUAAUCACAUUUCUUUUCCUUUUCGUUUUUUGUGUUGCACAAUCCUUUGCCUUGCUCGGAAGUUUAAAAGAGUAAGAAAAGGAGAUAUGCAUAAUUCUAACACAUAUUCUUCAAGAAUUAUAGCAUAAGAUUUAUCAAGAUCAUGACAGAUCAUGAGGAAGCUUGAUUUGAGAUUUCCUUAACGUAAGCUUCCUUCUCUCAAGCGUUUUCCUUAUCAGAAACCUUAACACGAGAUAGUUAGAUAUAUACGAGUGUGAUCAAAGUAUCGAUAUUCUCUAUUUAUAGAAAAGAAAAAAAAGAUUAAAAAAAAAGCUAACAUAAUCACAUUUCUUUUCCUUUUCGUUUUUUGUGUUGCAAAAUCCUUUGCCUUGCUAGGAAGUUUAAAAGAGUAAGAAAAGGAGAUAUGCAUAAUUCUAGCACAUAUUCUUCAAGAAUUAUAGCAUAAGAUUUAUCAAGAUCACGACAUAUCACGAGGAAGCUUGAUGUGGGAUUUCCUGAACGUAAGCUUCUUUCUCUGAAGCAGUUUCCUUAUCAGAAACCUUAACACGAGAUAGUUAGAUAUAUACGAGUGUGAUCAAAGUAUCCAUAUUCUCUAUUUAUAGAAAAGAAAAAAAAAGAUUAAAAAAAAAAGCUAACAUAAUCACAUUUCUUUUCCCUUUCGUUUUUUGUGUUGCAAAAUCCUUUGCCUUGCUAGGAAGUUUAAAAUAGUAAGAAAAGGAGAUAUGCACAAUUCUAGCAGAUAUUGUUCAAGAAUUAUAGCAUAAGAUUUAUCAAGAUCACGACAGAUCACGAGGAAGCUUGAUUUGGGAUUUCCUUAACAUAAGCUUCCUUCUCUUAACCAUUUUCCUUAUCAGAAACCUUAACACGAGAUACUUAGAUAUAUACGAGUGUCAAAGUAUCGAUAUUCUCUAUUUACAUAAAAGAAAAAAAAAGAUUAAAAAAAAGUGCUAACAUAAUAACAUUUCUUUUCCUUUUCUUUUUUGUUUUGCAAAAUCCUUUGCCUUGCUAGGAAGUUUAAAAGAGUAAGAAAAGGAGGUAUGCAUAAUUGUAGCAGAUAUUCUUCAAGAAUUAUAGCAUAAGAUUUAUCAAAAUCACGUUAGAUCACGAGGAACCAUUAUUUGGGAUUUCCUUAACGUAAGCUUCCUUCUUUGAAGCAUUUUCCUUAUCAGAAACCUUAACACGAGAUACUUAGAUAUAUACGAGUGUCAAAGUAUCCAUAUUCUCUAUUUAUAGAAAAGAAAAAAAAAGCUAACAUAAUCACAUUUCUUUUCCUUUUUGUUUUUUGUGUUGCAAAAUCCUUUGCCUUGCUAGGAAGUUUAAAAGAGUAAGAAAAUGAGAUAUGCAUAAUUCUAGCAGAUAUUCUUCAAGAAUUAUAGCAUGAGAUUUAUCAAGAUCACGACAGAUCACGAGGAAGCUUGAUUUGGGAUUUCCUUAACAUAAGCUUUCUUAUCUGAAGCUUUUUCCUUAUCAGAAACCUUAACACGAGAUACUUAGAUAUAUACGAGUGUCAAAGUAUUGAUAUUCUCUAUUUAUAGAAAAGAAAAAAAAAGAUUAAAAAAAUGAGCUAACAUAAUCACAUUUCUUUUCCUUUUCUUUUUUGUGUUGCAAAAUCCUUUGCCUUGCUCGGAAGUUUAAAAGAGUAAGAAAAGGAGAUAUGCAUAAUUCUAGCAGAUAUUCUUCAAGAAUUAUAGCAUAAGAUUUAUCAAGAUCAUGACAGAUCAUGAGGAAGCUUGAUUUGAGAUUUCCUUAACGUAAGCUUCCUUCUCUCAAGCGUUUUCCUUAUCAGAAACCUUAACACGAGAUACUUAGAUACAUACGAGUGUCAAAGUAUCGAUAUUCUCUAUUUAUAGAAAAGAAAAAAAAGAUUAAAAAAAUGAGCUAACAUAAUCACAUUUCUUUUCCUUUUGGUUUUUGUGUUGCAAAAUCAUUUGCCUUGCUAGGAAGUUUAAAAGAGUAAGAAAAGGAGAUAUGCAUAAUUCUAACACAUAUUCUUCAAGAAUUAUAACAUAAGAUUUAUCAAGAUCACACCAGAUCAUGAGGAAGCUUGAUUUGGGAUUUCCUGAACGUAAGCUUCCUUCUCUGAAGCAUUUUCCUUAUCAGAAACCUUAACACGAGAUAGUUAGAUAUAUACGAGUGUGAUCAAAGUAUCGAUAUUCUCUAUUUAUAGAAAAGAAAAAAAAAGAUUAAAAAAAAUGAGAUAACAUAAUCACAUUUCUUUUCCUUUUCGUUUUUUGUGUUGCAAAAUCCUUUGCCUUGCUAGGAAGUUUAAAAUAGUAAGAAAAGGAGAUAUGCACAAUUCUAGCAGAUAUUGUUCAAGAAUUAUAGCAUAAGAUUUAUCAAGAUCACGACAGAUCACGAGGAAGCUUGAUUUGGGAUUUCCUUAACAUAAGCUUCCUUCUCUUAACCAUUUUCCUUAUCAGAAACCUUAACACGAGAUACUUAGAUAUAUACGAGUGUCAAAGUAUCGAUAUUCUCUAUUUACAUAAAUGAAAAAAAAGAUUAAAAAAAGUGCUAACAUAAUAACAUUUCUUUUCCUUUUCUUUUUUGUUUUGCAAAAUCCUUUGCCUUGCUAGGAAGUUUAAAAGAGUAAGAAAAGGAGGUAUGCAUAAUUGUAGCAGAUAUUCUUCAAGAAUUAUAGCAUAAGAUUUAUCAAGAUCACAUCAGAUCACGAGGAACCAUUAUUUGGGAUUUCCUUAACGUAAGCUUCCUUCUUUGAAGCAUUUUCCUUAUCAGAAACCUUAACACGAGAUACUUAGAUAUAUACGAGUGUCAAAGUAUCCAUAUUCUCUAUUNNNNNNNNNNNNNNNNNNNNNNNNNNNNNNNNNNNNNNNNNNNNNNNNNNNNNNNNNNNNNNNNNNNNNNNNNNNNNNNNNNNNNNNNNNNNNNNNNNNNNNNNNNNNNNNNNNNNNNNNNNNNNNNNNNNNNNNNNNNNNNNNNNNNNNCAAGAAUUAUAGCAUAAGAUUUAUCGAGAUCACGACAGAUCACGAGGAAGCUUGAUUUGGGAUUUCCUUAACAUAAGCUUCCUUCUCUUAACCAUUUUCCUUAUCAGAAACCUUAACACGAGAUACUGAGAUAUAUACGAGUGUCAAAGUAUCGAUAUUCUCUAUUUACAUAAAUGAAAAAAAAGAUUAAAAAAAGUGCUAACAUAAUAACAUUUCUUUUCCUUUUCUUUUUUGUUUUGCAAAAUCCUUUGCCUUGCUAGGAAGUUUAAAAGAGUAAGAAAAGGAGGUAUGCAUAAUUGUAGCAGAUAUUCUUCAAGAAUUAUAGCAUAAGAUUUAUCAAGAUCACAUCAGAUCACGAGGAACCAUUAUUUGGGAUUUCCUUAACGUAAGCUUCCUUCUUUGAAGCAUUUUCCUUAUCAGAAACCUUAACACGAGAUACUUAGAUAUAUACGAGUGUCAAAGUAUCCAUAUUCUCUAUUUAUAGAAAAGAAAAAAAAAGCUAACAUAAUCACAUUUCUUUUCCUUUUUGUUUUUUGUGUUGCAAAAUCCUUUGCCUUGCUAGGAAGUUAUGCUUCACACAAGGAAAUUAACAAUGAAUGUAUUUUUGAAAACUUUUAUUGUCCUUUACAAACUAUUAGGAAGACAAGUGUGGUUAUUCAUAUUGAGAAUUUGUCAAGUUCAAGAGUAUAAACAACAUAAAAAAAACCGGUAGGUAAAAUCCUAUUAUGAUAGAAGCAUCUAAAUUAAUAAAAUAUUACAUUUUUUUAAUCUUAACAUCAUAGUAUUCUAGAUUACUUAAUUUUAUUAAUAAAUUAAUUAAUAAAAAAUUAAUUAAUAUAGCAUAUACUAAAUAAAAUUGUCGAUCAUAUCGUAUAGUUCGAACCGGUCUCAAACAAGGAAUGAGACUAAAAGAAUACUCACAAAAAUUUAAUUUCUUUGUAACCCAUUUGCAUUAGAACAAAUAUUUUGUAUUAAAAACAAUUGUGACGACCUUUCAAAUGCAAAUUUGAAAUAUAUUUUUAAAAAAACAUUAAUAAUAUAUAUAUAUAUAGGUCAUAUAUUGGUGGCAAAAAAAAACGAUAAAAGUUCUAUUUAGUAUGGGGAAUAAUUUAUUUUUAUAAUUAUAUAGUUAUUAAUAAUUAAUAUCAUAGUAAUCAUCAUCAUUUUUUAAAAAAUAAUUAAUUUUCAUAAAUAAUAAUAAUUUUCAAUAAUAAAAAAUAUUUUAAAAGUUUUGCUAAGAUUUGUGAACAAGAUUUACAAUUGAUCCCAAAUUUUCUAACAAAUAAAAUCCAUUUUUUAUUUUUUUUUAAAUAUUCAUUGUUUUGGAAUGAUUUGUUGGUCAUAAAUAGAAAAUAAAGAAUCUAAAACAAAUUUGUGAUCGAUUUUUUUAUUUCAUUCACUAAAUAGCAUUUUAUGAAUUUGUGCACAAUAUUUUAUGUACAAUGAAAUGUUAUAUGCAUUUAAAUUGUCGCACCCUUGCUAGCGGAGCGCGGCGGAGCGGCGAUUCUCGAUUGAUUUCGGUGUCUUUGUGUUUUAUUGUGAAUAAAGGAGUCGCCACUUAGUAUUAUGGUCACUAGGAGCCCUAACUGGUCUUUCAAAGAUUCUAAGGCAAGAGACUGGUUGCAUAAAGGGAAGGUAUUAGCAUUCCUAGUACGCCCUACCUAAGGUAAACUGCUUGGUGUUUGGUUUGCCUUGUAAUUGCUAUGGUGUUGGUGUUCUCUUAAUUAGUUUUUGUAUGCUAUGAUGAAUGGAUUUGGGUUCAAAAUCUAAAAGCAAAAAUCCUUGGCCAAUAUAGAUCAUACCUUUAGAUAUGUUUACAAAGUGUCAAGGGGAACCAAUACAGAUCUUUUGAAAUCUGUGUUUGAUUCAGACUAAACUUAUUAAGAUAAAAAUCCAAGGAGAUUCCAUGUGCUUUAAAAGCUCAUUUUUCCCUUAGUAUUUCAAGAGUUUUGCGACUCGUAAAUCGCAAGGAGAAGAGACAAAAAUUUAGAAAUCUAAGGAAAUUCAGAGCGCUUUAAAAGCUUCUUUUUGCCUUAGUAUUUCAUACUUUUACGGCUCGUAAACCGUGGAAUCAAAAAAUUGAAAUGCCCUCAAUUAUAAUCGAGGCUUCUUUCAAGGAUGUUAGAUAACUUAUUAUUCCUAAAAAAAUAUUUUAGAUAUUAACCACUUGCGGUUUCUUUAUCCAAACAUUAACAUCGAAUAAUAACAAGUUAUUCCCAAUAAUAUUUUGGAUAUUCAUCCAUUUGAAAUUUCUUUAUCCAAACAUUAACGAUGAAUAAUAACAAUUUAUUCCCACAGAUAUUUUGGAUAUUCAUCCCUUUGAGAUUUCUUUAUCCAAACAUUAACGGUGAAUAAUAGAUGAAUUCCAUCCAAAAUAAGAUUUUUAUAUUUUUUGGAAUAUUGACCAAUACCCUUUGAAGUUUUACAAACAUGUUGUAAAAUCCAGAAAUGCAAGAAAAUAAUUUUUUGUUGUGUUUAAGAAAUCCAUGAAAAACAUAUUUUUCAAAAACUUCAAAUAUUUGUUUUUUAUAUAUAUAUAUAUAUAAAAACAUUCAAAACAUAUUAGAAUAUUGAUCGUAUGCAACACACAAAAACAAUUUUUAUAUUUUUCUUUGUCAAAAAACACAAACAUCACAAUUAAUCACAAUUAAAGUUAACAAACUACAUAUUAAUCAAAUUUUUAAGGCUUUAAUAAAUCAGUUAUUAAAUCCCAACAAAAUAUGUAAAAACAUAUUCUUACAUUUUCACAGAAAAUACAACAUAAUUUUAUUUAUCCCUAAAAUACUUGAUCAUAUACAGAUUAAAACAUUAAAUUUUUAUCUUUUUGAUUUUUAUAAUUCAACAACAUACAUAAAAAAAAAAUACAAACAAACCCACAUCUCUUUUUAUUAUGUUUUUCUCAUACACCAAUAUAUAAUUACAAAUAAUAAACAAAAAUUUAAAAUAAAACAAACAUCACACAAAUAAAAACUCACAUAAUAGCCCCUAAAAAUAUCCAAGAACCUGCUGAGAGGCUUCUGGACCAUAAAAACAGUGGCGGCGCGUCUCCUCCACGCGCCGCCGCCACUGGCGGCGCUUGUCGUGUGUUCACGCGCCGCCGUAAGAGAAACAAGGGGGCAGGGUGGAUAUGACUUGGCUUCCUCCCUUCCUCGCCGGCGGUGACCUGUAACAAGAAAAAGAAAACGCAGGCAGUUGAUUUUAAUCUAUUCUGUCCAGAUUGUUCUUGUGUUUUUUUCUUUUUUUAGAUCUGUUAACUUCUGUCUUCUUUCUUCUUCUCAGUUAGCUGUUCUUUCCUUCUUGUCCCGGUGGCAAGUCUGGCGGUUGGGCGGCGGCGGCGCUGAUGAUCUCCAACUCCUGUUGGUUGCCACGGCGGCUGGGUUUGCUGCUGGAGGAAGACGGCGCUGCUGCCCGGGGAGAGGGAGUCGUGGCUGGUCCGUUGUUGAGGUCGACGGUGAGGGAAUAGACGAGGUCCGUAAGCUACUGAAUCUCCAGUGAUGGCAGCGCUGUUGUGGCUGUUGUUUUGACCGCUGCUACUGUAGGCCGAAUGGAGGGGGGACCUGCGUUGUGUGGCUGUUGGGUGGAGGAUUUGGGUCUGUGAGGCGGUUUUGUUUCUGUGUGUGGGGAAGAAUGUAUCGCCUGUCGGGCUGUUGGGUGGAGGAGAUCGGGGAAGAAGAGGAAAGACGACUUGGGUUCUGUGAGAGGGGUCCGGCCGCUGGUCUGCGGGGCUUUUGUCGGGUCUGGAGGUGAGAGCGGCGGCUGGAGGAGGUGAGAGGAAAGGGAGGGGGCGCCUGACUGAAAGGAGAAGAAGCCGAAAAUCAAAAGCCCCAAAGCCAGGGGUUUCUCUGGUUUUUUCUUUAGAAGCGGGGCGGCAGUCAGGGUCUUCUGGUUUGCUGCCAAAGGAAAGGGAAAUGAGGGGAGUGGAGAUGGUCCACAAGAGGCAGGCAAUCUCUGGUUUGGUUUCAACGAGAGUGGGGUGCGGCCGACCUCUGUCAACAGGGAAAUGGAGGCUUGCGGCUGUUGAGAGAAAAUUUUAGGUUUAGGGUUUUUUCGUAGUUGUUCUAAAUUUUUGUUUAAAAAUUGCUCCCCUGUAAAUUUUUCUUCUCGUGCAUAUGACUUGAUGUUCAUUUAUAUAAAAAAAAAUUACACGUGAUAUUUAAAAAAAUAUUUUAAUAAUUAUUACAGUGAUUAUUUUCCAUAAUCAGCACAAAUCAAAUUAUAUAUCUAUGAUAUAUUAUAUUACAGUGAUUAUUUUCCAUAACCAGCAUGAAUCAAAUCAUAUAUCUAUAGUAUUUUAUAUUGCAGUAAUUAUAUAUGAUUCAGUAAUUAUUUUCUUGACAUAUUAUUUCUUUAAUAUUAGCCAUAAUAUUCUAUGUUAUUGUCACAUGUAAACCCUUAUUUUUUUAUUAUUAUUUUUAAAAAAUUAUUAAAACAUGGAUCAAAAAUUGAGUAGCAAUUAAAAUGUUGUUUUAUCUUAAGUUGUGUGUGUGUUUUAUUUACUUUUUAUAAUAUUGAUGAUUACAUUGGAAUUUAGAAAAUGAUGCGAGGACGAAACAAGAAGGUGGAAUUAUGUUUUGGUCCCAUCAAAUUUGAAAAAAUUAUGUACUUUCUCAUGAUGGUUUGUAAUUUGUGAAUUGGCCCUUACACUUUCUUCUUGUAUUCUUUUUCUUCUUUCAUGUUCCAUUUUCUUCUUGGCAUUCCGCCAAAAAAAACACAAACAUCUUUAUUUGUGAAGGUACUACUCUCUCGGUUGACUGCUCUCUCCUCUCGGUUUGUUGCUUACUCUUCUCUUAGCCUGUUGUUUUUUCUUCUACUAUUUUAUGGAGGAUUAUGCUUUCAUCGUUUGAAAUGUUGGUGUGUGUUAAUUAAUUUGACAAAUAAUCUUACGUUUGAUCAUUGUCAACUUAUUAAUCAAUAGUUAAUUACUUGAUCAAUAUGCUACUUGUUCUUGUUUUUUUCCUUUCAAUAAAAAAAAGACUAUAAUUAGAAAAUUAAUUCUAAAUUGAGACAUAUAAUAGCCUUACUAAUCAAACAUAAAAAAAUAAUAAAUAGUUAAAAACUAUAAAUAAAUUAUAUAUAUAGGAAUGGGGCAUCAUUUCAAGUUGGUGGAUGGCGUAUUUAUAUUGUUAUAGAGAUCAAAUUUCAUGUAAAUAUAAAAUCUUAAUCUUAUACAAAUUAUCUAUAAUUGAUAAGGAUUAUACAAUUUAUUAUUUGCAUUAAUUCUAUGUGUUUAUAUCAAUCAGUAAUAUCCAUAAAUGUAGCAUAACUUCCUAGCAAGUCAAAUUAAGUAUCAAUAUUUCCUUAUAUAAAAAUAUAAACAAAAGUGCAAAAAUAAUCACAUCUCCUUUCUUUUUCACUUUUGUGUCGGGAAAUCCUUGACGAAGUUAUGCUUUACACAUGGGAAUUAAGAAUAAAAAAAUUUUAAUUUUUUUUAUUGUCCUUAAAAAAACUUACGUAGACAAGUGAGGUUUAUUCAUAUUGAGAACUUCUCAGGUUCAAAAGCAUAGACAACAUAAAAAGAAAAAGGAAAAAAAAAAGGCAGAUAAAAUCAUAUCUAUGAUAGAAGCAUUACAUCUCACAUCUUUUAUGAUAAAUUUUUUUUUAAAAAAAAAAGCAGAUUUACUUAAACAUUAUAGAGUUAAACAUAUCUAAUUUAAUCAAUAAUUACAUUUAUAUAAUCUUAAUAUGAAAAUAUUCCAGAUAAAUGAAUUUAAUUAAUAAAUCAAUCAGUAAAUUGAUUAAUCCAUCAUAUACUAUAAAAAAACGUUGUCAUCACUUAUAGUCUCACAAGGUUAGAUAUUGGUCGCAAAAAAAUAUUAAAAUUUCUAUUUAGUAUGGAAUGGUUAAUUCUCCUAAUUAGAUAAUUAUUAAUAUUAUAGUAAUCAUCAUCAUUCCAAACAUACAUUGGUUACCAAAAAUAAAUAAAUAAAAGUGAUAAAAUUUCUAGUUAGUGUGAAAUAAUUGAUUUUCCUAAAUUGAUAAUUAUUAAUAAUCAUAACAUUUUAAAAAAGAUGACGAUGAUGAUAUUUAAAAGUUAUUAAUUAUCAUCACAUUUUUUAAAAUCUAGGUUUGUUCCUUUUGGCUUGAAAAUUAUUUUAGUUUGUUUGAUUUUUGUAUUUUUUUGUAUUAUUGAUUCUAAUAAUAUUUUUAAAAAAAAUCUCAAAAGAUGUAUCUCAACCAUAUCUCAAAAUCUAAAAUUAGAUGAAAUUGUCAUUUUGAUCAUUUAAAGCUAAAAUGAUAUUAUGCUUAUUAAACAAUCUAAAUAAAUAAAAGAGAAAUACGAAAACAAGAGAGAAGGAGGUUACUGUUUUAUUGAUAUUGCAUUGAAGGGACAUGUUUAACAUAAAUACAAAGAGAUUAUAUAUAGGCUAAAUUGAAAAGGAAAAUAAGAAUAUUAUUCUACCCUUAGUAAAUAAAACAAAAUAACUUAUAUUUUUUAACAUAUCCCCUCAAACUUAUGAUGCGGCAGCUACAAAUAUCGAGAGUUUGCCAACUAAAAAAUAAAAAAUAGAAAAUAGAAUGCGACUUGGUAAAUAAAUCUGCAAAGAAGAAGAAACAAAAGGCAAAGUAAUGGUGUCAUGCUUGAGAUGAUGACGAGUAAAAUGACAAUUGAUCUCAAUGUGCUUAGUUCUAUCAUGAAAAACUGAGUUGUGAGCAAUCUGAAUAGAACUUUGAUUAUCACAAUACAUAAGAGUGGGAUAAGAAAGGGAAACUCUCAUAUCUGCAAGUAACCAACGUAACCAAACAAUUUCUUUAGUAGUAGAUGUUAUAGCACAAUAUUCUGCUUCAGUUGAGUAUUGAGAAAUAAUAGAAUGUUUCUUGCUUUUCCAAGAAACAAGAGAAUCACUUAAAAAGAUACAGAAACCAGUAACAGAUUUGCGAUCUGUAGGAUUAUUACCAUGAUUAGCAUCAGAGUAUACACACGGCUCUAAGAAAGAGAUGGAUAGAAAAGUAAAAGACUUUGAAAAACUGUACCUCAAAGAUAUCACAAAAUACAAAGAACAGUUGUCUAAUGAAAGGUAGUAAAAUAAGUAACAAACGAACUAACAAUAUGAACAACAUAUGCAAUAUCUGUAUAAGUAAUAGUGAGAUAUACCAAGCUCCCAACAAUAGUACGGUAUAAAGUAAGAUGUGACAAGGUAAAUCAUCAGAAGAAGAAUACUUCGUGUUAACCUUAAUGAGAGUAUCUACAGUCUUAUUAUUAGUAAGUCUAGCCUGCUCAAGAAUAUCUACUAUAUAUUUUGACUGAAAAAGAAGAUAACCUAUGGGUAAGUAUGUUACCUCAAUACUUAGGAAAUAUCGUAGAGAAUCCAAAUCUUUCGUUUCAAACUAUUUGGCUAACUUUGUCUUCAAAACUGAAAUACUAUCAAUAUCAUCACCAGUAAUAAUUAUGUCAUUAACAUAUAAAGACAUAAUGAUACGACUUAUAUCAAUGCACUUAACAAAAAAAGCAGAAUCAUGACUACUAAAAACAAAACCAAGGGAAGAGAUCACAAUAGAGAAUUUUUCAAACCAAGCAUGAGGUGCUUGUUUGAGAUCAUAUAAUGAUUUCUUAAGCUUUCAAACAUACUCAGAAUCAUGUGAAAUACUUAAAGGGGCACCAUAUAAACAUCUUCAUGAAGAUCUCCAUUCAAGAAGGUAUUUUUAACAUCAAGUUGAGAUAUAUGCCACUGACGAACCGAAGCUACUACAAUAAGAGUAUGAAUAGUAGUCAUUUUUGCAACAUGAGCAAAUGUCUCCUCAUAAUCCAUACCAUAUUGUUGAGAGUAUCAUUUUGCAACCAACCCAGCUUUGUAUCACUCAAUAGAUCCAUCAAAAUUAGUCUUGAUCUUAUACACCCAGCGACAACAAACAUCACUCUUACCAAAAGGUAGAGGAAUCAAAUCUCAAGUAUAUGUUUUAUGCAAAGCAUAAAGUUUCUCAUCCAUAGUUUGCUGUCAAAGAGGAUCAAAAAUUCUCUUUCUAUAGGAAGAAGGCUCAGAAAAACAAUGAAUAGAAGGUAAACAAGAAGUAAAUGAUAAGCAAUAACAAGAAUAAGCAAAAUCUAGUAACUUUGUGGACUUAUGAAAGCAUAUGGAUUGACGUAGAGGUAGAUCCACAAUCUCAAACAAAGGUGGAGGGAUCGCAGAGGAGAAUGAAGCAACGUGCCUAUAUUUUAUUUUAGUAACGUUACUUUGCUUAGAAAUAUUUGUACACAAGGUUUGGUAAAUAGUUUCAUCUAAGCUAAGCAACUCACAAAAUUUAUUAAAAAUAUAUUUUUCAUUCAAAUUACAUCUAAAAUAUUUAAUAACAACGGAAUGUUAUUACGGUGGAGCACACCAUUAUAAAAAAUUUUCAAUUACAGUAACACUUCUAUUAUAAAAAGUAAAAAUAAAUUAUUGACCCACAGGUUGCUUAAUUUCUAACGUACGGUGGAGCACACCAUACGAAAAACACAGCUAGCUGAACAAAUCUCAAUUCCACCAAAAUUGUGAAUGGACAAAUAUCUAUAAGUUUCUGUUUCUGAUACAUAUGUAAUAACAGGAUCUCUCUAAGACUCUUUUAACCAUGAGAUUUGAAAGCUUCUGUACAAACCUCAAAAGGUAGGGAAAGCUAAUUUUACAGCGAACAGAACCUCAAAAAUCUCUUUAAAAAAUCUAAGUUUGAUCUAAAUGAGAUUGAAAAUUAUAUCUUUUAUUGUAAGGAUACAUGUUUAAUCAAAAUCUCCUACAGUUUCUUUUUCUUGUGAUCUCACAUGCAUGAUCUUUUUCAUUUGUAGUACCAUGAAAUGACAGUUCUUCAUCUAAUUACCUGUUAUAUAGUAAGUAUCUUCAGCAUGCCUUUCAAAACAAUUGGAAUACCGCAAAAAUGAUAUUAUGAUUUAAUUAACCCAAUUGUUGAUAAUUGGAUAGCAUUUCACUCACCAGAAUCUAACAGAUACUCUUGAUAGUUUCAUAUUUAUGUAAUGUUUGAUAUUGUGAUAAUAGUUGUUUUUAAAAUGUUUUUCGCUAGGAAAUAUAUUAAAAUAAUAUUUUUUAUUUUUUAAAAAACUAUUUUUAACAUAGCACAACAAAACAAUCCAAAAUCAUAAAUAAAAAAAAAACAAAACAAUCUAUAAAUAAAAAAAAUAAAAAAAUAUUAUUCCUUUUUUUCCUCAUUGGAAAGGCCUUGUACUCGGGGCAAAAAAAAAAAACUACCUACUUAAUUUCUUGACCCUGGAAAGGUACCUGAGGUAUGGUUAGCAUAAUUAUGGCUAAAUGUAUCAAAUUAUAGUCUACUAAUUAGAUAGCUAUAAUUGAAGGAAAAACAAAAGUGAUCUUUUUACUAGUUGAUAGAAUCCUGCAUCAACCAGCAAACUCCAUAUCAAUUGACAAUAGUCAAAAGACCUAUCCAAGCUACUUUACAUCAUAUACAAAGGAAAUUGAAUAGCAGAAAAGUACUUGUUUUCCUUGAAAAUAUUAAUGAUCGUGUAGGAUGUUGUUACCCAUUUUUUGAUUCCUAUAAAAAAAUAAGAAAAUACAAAAAACAAUAUUAAAAAAUAUUCAAAAGAAAUCCAAAAAAUAAUAGGAGCGAGAAAAAAAAGCUGGAAUGCUGAAAAAAUAACAAAAUUGGUUGAGGAGGUUCAAAAAUACAAAAUGUUGAAAUUUGACAAUAGAUUUUUGACUGAUGAGAGCCCUGUUGACAAAAAAAAUUCAAGUUGAGGAAGAAAAGUCUAAAAUCAGAUGUUUAUAGACUCAAUUAAAUUUUAUCUAAGAUUUAAUUGAAUUUAUGGAGGGUUUGAUUGCAAGAAAAAUUAAUUUUUAAGUCAAUUUAGAUUUUUAUUGGAAGAAAUUAAAGUUUUGGGGUCCAAUUAUCAUUUUGAAAAGGGACUUAAUUGCAUAAUUAUUGAAGUUUGAUGAUCAAUUAGGGACUUAAUUGAAACAAUCCGAAACCAAGGACCAGACCAGAAAAGACGUUAAAAUCAAGGGAUCCAAUUACAAUUCAUACUGGGGCUUGAUUACAAAAUUUUCAAAACAGCCAAGGACCGAAUCAAAAAUAUUCAUUUUGAAAUUUUGAAACGGCACCGUUUCCACUAUUCAUUGUCUCCUUCAAAGAGAGUCGUUUUCAGCAUUAAAACAGGGAUAUGUUUUGCAGCAAAUUGCUCCAAUUAUGGGGCAUGUUUUAUGGCUGCUAUCCUAGCGACCGUUACCACCACAGUGCUUUCCUUGGGCUAUAAAAGCCAGAGGAGGAAGUAGGAACCGUCGCCAGGGGAGGGAAAAGAGAACAAAAGGAGGAGGAGAAGGCAACGAGACAUAAAGGAAAAAAAAACAGAGAGAAGAGAGUGUAAAGAAGAGAGAGGCAGAGGGAGUGAGUAGGAUAAGAGAGAAAACAAAGAGAAGGCGAAACCAACAGAGGAGCCGAGUGACCAUCAGAAAACGCGACACCAACAAAGGAGUUGAGCCACCACCUGCUCUAUCUUUUCCAGAACGAGGAAAUAACAGAGGAAGCCACCAUCACCAUCGGCUUCACUUUCUUCAGAACCAGGGAACCAGCAGAGGAAGCCAGCAUCACCAUAGGCUUUUCCUUCUCCAGACUCACGAAGCCAGCAGAGUAGGUCAGCACAACCAUCGGCCUCCUUUCUCCAAAACCAGGUCUGUUUCUCUUCCAUUCUCCGCCUCUGCAAAAAAUGAUGCAUGUUACUGUGCAAAGGUAAUUUAAUUACCUUCGUACAGUUCAUGCACGAGUGAAGAAAUUCACGCGUGCUUUAGGUUGUUUAGCCGGGUCACUGGUUUGGGCCAGUGACCCAGCCAGGCCUGCUGGGUCCAGCCCUGCCACAUGGGCCGGGCUGGGCCCAACCAAAAAAAAUUUCAAAAAAAAAAUCCUUUAAAAAAUCUGUGAUUUUCCAGAAAUUUUUUUACUGCAUUUUGAUUAAUAUUAGUUUGUAUUUUUAUAAUGUAAAGAUACAAAUCCGGUAUUAAAAUACCCGGUUUUCGUAAAAAAAAUGUUUUGUUUUCAUGCAUACGGCCAAGUCUCUCAAAUAUAUAUAUAAAAAAUCAUAUUGUAUUUUCAUAUAACAAAUAAAAUUUCAAAAAUAUGUAUCAACAUGCAUUUUAGCUUUAAUAACCAGUUUAUUAAAGUCACGAGAACUAGACUAAUAUUUUAAAAAUUCCAAAAACAAUUAUAUUUUUGUUUUCUUUUAGUAUAUGGGGUUACGACCUUAUACGUAAGACGUAUUCCGGAUAUUAAAUUUUUUUGUUGACGUCAGAAUUACCCGAUAAGAUAAGGAUCUCCUUACUGAGGAUGACUUUUUUUAAACCAUAGACGGACCAACAACUAGAAAACACGACAAGAUCUUAGAUUUUAUUAGACAAUAAAACAAUGCAGCUUACCUUAGAUAGGGCGUAUUUGGUGUGCUAAUACCUUUCCUUUACGCAACCAGUCCUCAUACCCGAUCACUGAGACCAGUUAGAGUUCCUAGUGACCAAAAUACUAGGUGGCGACACCCAUUCCAUUUUUCCACUAAUAAAAGACAAGAAUUUCUUGUCUCCCCACAUUUGCCACAUUUUUAGAUAAUACAAAAUUUUGAGGGUUGAUAUUUUCGCCGCGAUGCCGCACACGUGCGACAUAGGAUAUGAUAUUAUUAAAUGAAAGUACAAAUUAAUCAUUGCACAUUUCUUUUACUUGUUUUCUCAAUUUAUAUAAAAGAAAAAAAGAUUAAAAAAAAGAACUAACAUAAUCACAUUUCUUUUCCUUUGUUUUUUUGUGUUGCAAAAUCCUUUGCCUUGCUAGGAAGUUUAAAAGAGUAAGAAAAGGAGAUAUGCAUAAUUCUAGCAUAUAUUUUUCAAGAAUUAUAGCAUAAGAUUUAUCAAGAUCACGACAGAUCAUGAGGAAGCUUGAUUUGGGAUUUCCUGAACGUAAGCUUCCUUCUCAGAAGCAUUUUCCUUAACAGAAACCUUAACACGAGAUAGUAAGAUAUAUACGAGUGUCAAAGUAUCGAUAUUCUCUAUUUAUAGAAAAGAAAAAAAAAGAUUAAAAAAACGAGCUAACAUAAACACAUUUCUUUUCCUGUUCUUUUUUGUGUUGCAAAAUCAUUUGCCUUGCUAGGAAGUUUAAAAGAGUAAGAAAAGGAGAUAUGCGUAAUUCUAGUAUAAAGUCUUCAAGAAUUAUAGCAUAAAAUUUAUCAAGAUCACGGCAUAUCACGAGGAAGCUUGAUGUGGGAUUUCCUGAACGUAAGCUUCCUUCUCUGAAGCAUUUUCCAUAUCAGAAACCUUAACACGAGAUACUUAGAUAUAUACGAGUGUGAUCAAAGUAUCGAUAUUCUCUAUUUAUAGAAAAGAAAAAAAAGAUAAAAAAAAAAGCUAACAAAAUCACAUUUCUUUUCCUUUUUGUUUUUUGUGUUGCAAAAUCCUUUGCCUUGCUAGGAAGUUUAAAAGAGUCAGAAAAGGAGUUAUGCACAAUUCUAGCAGAUAUUCUUCAAGAAUUAUAGGAUAAGAUUUAUCAAGAUCACGACAGAUCACGAGGAAGCUUGAUUUGAGAUUUCCUGAACGUAAGCUUCCUUCUCUGAAGCAUUUUCCUUAUCAGAAACCUUAACACGAGAUAGUUAGAUAUAUACGAGUGUGAUCAAAGUAUCGAUAUUCUCUAUUUAUAGAAAAUGAAAAAAAGAUUAAAAAAAAGUGCUAACAUAAUAACAUUUCUUUUCCUUUUCUUUUUUGUUUUGCAAAAUCCUUUGCCUUGUUAGGAAGUUUAAAAGAGUAAGAAAAUGAGAUAUGCAUAAUUGUAGCAGAUAUUCUUCAAGAAUUAUAGCAUAAGAUUUAUCAAGAUCACGAAAGAUCACGAGGAAGCUUGAUUUGGGAUUUCCUUAACAUAAGCUUCCUUCUCUGAAGCUUUUUCCUUAUCAGAAACAUUAACACGAGAUACUUAGAUAUAUACGAGUGUCAACUAUCGAUAUUCUCUAUUUACAUAAAGGAAAAAAAAGAUUAAAAAAAAGUGCUAACAUAAUAACAUUUCUUUUCCUUUUCUUUUUUGUUUUGCAAAAUCCUUUGCCUUGCUAGGAAGUUUAAAAGAGUAAGAAAAGGAGAUAUGCACAAUUCUAGCAGAUAUUCUUCAAAAAUUAUAGCAUAAGAUUUAUCAAGAUCACGCCAGAUCACGAGGAAGCUUGGUUUGGGAUUUCCUUAACAUAAGCUUCCUUCUCGGAAGCAUUUUCCUUAUCAAAAACCUUAACACGAGAUACUUAGAUAUAUACGAAUGUCAAAGUAUCGAAAUUCUCUAUUUACAUAAAAGAAAAAAAAGAUUAAAAAAAAGAUCUAACAUAAUCACAUUUCUUUUCCUUUUCUUUUUUGUGUUGCAAAAUCCUUUGCCUUGCUAGGAAGUUUAAAAUAGUAAGAAAAGGAGAUAUGCACAAUUCUAGCAGAUAUUCUUCAAGAAUUAUAGCAUAAGAUUUAUCAAGAUCACGACAGAUCACGAGGAAGCUUGAUUUGGGAUUUUCUUAACAUAAGCUUCCUUCUCUUAACCAUUUUCCUUAUCAGAAACCUUAACUCGAGAUACUUAGAUAUAUACGAGUGUCAAAGUAUCGAUAUUCUCUAUUUACAUAAAAGAGAAAAAAAGAUUAAAAAAAAGUGCUAACAUAAUAGCAUUUCUUUUCCUUUUCUUUUUUGUUUUGCAAAAUCCUUUGCCUUGCUAGGAAGUUUAAAAGAGUAAGAAAAGGAGAUAUGCAUAAUUGUAGCAGAUAUUCUUCAAGAAUUAUAGCAUAAGAUUUAUCAAGAUCACGUCACAUCACGAGGAACCUUUAUUUGGGAUUUCCUUAACGUAAUCUUCCUUCUCCGAAGCAUUUUCCUUUUCAGAAACCUUAACACGAGAUACUUAGAUAUAUACGAGUGUCAAUCAAUAUUCUCUAUUUAUAGAAAAGAAAAAAAAGAUUAAAAAAAAAGCUAACAUAAUCACAUUUCUUUUCCUUUUGUUUUUUUGUAUUGCAAAAUCCUUUGCCUUGCUAGGAAGUUUAAAAGACUAAGAAAAGGAGAUAUGCAUAAUUCUUGCAGAUAUUCUUCAAGAAUUAUAGGAUAAGAUUUAUCAAGAUCGUGACAUAUCACGAGGAAGCUUGAUGUGUGCUUUCCUGAACGUAAGCUUCAUUCUCGGAAGCAUUUUCCUUAUCAGAAACCUUAACACGAGAUACUUAGAUAUAUACGAGUAUCAAAGUAUCGAUAUUCUCUAUUUACUUAAAAGAAAAAAAAGAUUUAAAAAAAGUGCUAACAUAAUAACAUUUCUUUUCCUUUUCUUUUUUGUUUUGCAAAAUCCUUUGCCUUGCUCGGAAGUUUAAAAGAGUAAGAAAAGGAGAUAUGCAUAAUUGUAGCAGAUAUUCUUCAAGAAUUAUAGCAUAAGAUUUAUUAAGAUCACGUCAGAUCACGAGGAACCUUUAUUUGGGAUUUCCUUAACAUAAGCUUCCUUCUCUGAAGCAUUUUCCUGAUCAGAAACCUUAACACGAGAUACUUAGAUAUAUACGAGUGUCAAAGUAUCAAUAUUCUCUAUUUAUAGAAAAGAAAAAAAAAGAUUAAAAAAAAACUAACAUAAUCACAUUUCUUUUCCUUUUGUUUUUUUGUGUUGCAAAAUCCUUUGCCUUGCUAGGAAGUUUAAAAGAGUAAGAAAAGGAGAUAUGCAUAAUUGUAGCAGAUAUUCUUCCAGAAUUAUAGCAUAAGAUUUAUCAAGAUCGCGACAUAUCACGAGGAAGCUUGAUGUGGGAUUUCCUGAACGUAAGCUUCAUUCUCGGAAGCAUUUUCCUUAUCAAAAACCUUAACACGAGAUACUUAGAUAUAUACGAGUAUCAAAGUAUCGAUAUUUUCUAUUUAUAGAAAAUAAAUCUUUUUUAAAAAAAAGUGAUAACAUAAUCGCAUUUCUUUUCCUUUUGUUUUUUUGUGUUGCAAAAUCCUUUGCCUUGCUAGGAAGUUUAAAAGGGUAAUAAAAGGAGAUAUGCCUAAUUCUAGCAUAUAUUCUUCAAGACUUAUAGCAUAAGAUUUAUCAAGAUCACGACAUAUCACGAGGAAGCUUGAUGUGGGAUUUCCUGAACGUAAGCUUCCUUUUCUGAAGCAUUUUCCUUAUCAGAAACCUUAACACGAGAUACUUAGAUAUAUACGAGUGUCAAAGUAUCGAUAUUCUCUAUUUAUAGAAAAUGAAAAAAAGAUUAAAAAAAAGCAAACAUAAUCACAUUUCUUUUCCUUUUCUUUUUUGUUUUGCAAAAUCCUUUGCCUUGCUAGGAAGUUUAAAAGAGUAAGAAAAGGAGGUAUGCAUAAUUGUAGCAGAUAUUCUUCAAGAAUUAUAGCAUAAGAUUUAUCAAGAUCACGCCAGAUCACGAGGAAGCUUGGUUUGGGAUUUCCUUAACAUAAGCUUCCUUCUCUGAAGCUUUUUCCUUAUCAGAAACCUUAACACGAGAUACUUAGAUAUAUACGAGUGUCAAAGUAUCGAUAUUCUCUAUUUAUAGAAAAGAAAAAAAAAGAUUAAAAAAAAAUGAGCUAACAUAAUCACAUUUCUUUUCCUUUUCUUUUUUGUGUUGCAAAAUCCUUUGCCUUACUCGGAAGUUUAAAAGAGUAAGAAAAGGAGAUAUGCAUAAUUAUAGCAGAUAUUCUUCAAGAAUUAUAGCAUAAGAUUUAUCAAGAUCACGGCAGAUCACGAGGAAGCUUGAUGUGGGAUUUCCUGAACAUAAGCUUCCUUCUCUGAAGCAUUUUCAUUAUCAGAAACCUUAACAUGAGAUAGUUAGAUAUAUACGAGUGUCAAAGUAUCGAUAUUCUCUAUUUAUAGAAAAGAUAAAAAAAUAUUAAAAAAAAUGAGCUAACAUAAUCACAUUUCUUUUCCUUUUCUUUUUUGUGUGGCAAAAUCCUUUGCCUUGCUAGGAAGUUUAAAAGUGUAAGAAAAGGAGAUAUGCAUAAUUCUUUCUGAUAUUCUUCAAGAAUUAUAGCAUAAGAUUUAUCAAGAUCAUGACAGAUCAUGAGGAAGCUUGAUAUGGGAUUUCCUGAACGUAAGCUUCCUUCUCUCAAGUAUUUUCGUGAUCAGAAACUUUAACAUGAGAUACUUAGAUAUAUACGAGUGUCAAAGUAUCGAUAUUCUUUAUUUAUAAAAAAGAAAAGAAAAGAUUAAAAAAAAGAGCUUACAUAAUCAUAUUUCUUUUCCUCUUCUUUUUUGUGAUGCAAAAUCCUUUGCCUUGCUAGGAAUUUAUGCUUUACACAAGGAAAUUAACAACGAAAGUAUUUUUGAAAAAUUUUAUUGUCCUUUAAAAACUAUUAGGAAGACAAGUGUGGUUAUUCAUAUUGAGCAUUUGUCAAGUUCAAGAGUACAGACAACAUAAAAAACAGGGUAUGAUAGAAGCAUUGCUUCUCUAGCAUCUUUUAUGAUAAGCUAAGAAAACAGAUUUACUUAAACAUUAUAGAGUUUAACAUAUCUAAAUUAAUCAAAAAUUACAUUUUUAUAAUCUUAACAUCAUAGUAUUCUAGAUGAAUUAAUUUGAUUAGUGAAUCAGUUAAUAAAAAAUUAAUUAAUAAUAAUAAUUGUCGAUCACGUAUAGUUUCGAACCGGUCUCAAACAAGGUAUGAGACUAAAAAAAAUGUUCAUAAAAAUCUAAUUUCUUUGUAACCCAUUUGCAUUAGAACAAAUAUUUUGUAUUCAAAAAAAAUUGUGACCACCUUUCAAAUGCAAGUUUGAAACAUUUAAAAAAAACAUUAAUAAUAUAUAUAUAUAUAUAUAUAUAUAUAUAGGUCAUAUAUUGGUUGCAAAAAAAAUGAUAAAAAUUCUAUGUAGUAUGGAAUAAUUAAUUUUUAUAAUUAGAUAGUUGUUAAUAAUUAAUAUCAUAGUAAUCAUCAUCAUUUAAAAAAAAUUAAUUUUCAUAAAUAAUAAUAAUAAUAAUAAUAAAACUUUUCAAUAAUAAAAAAUAUUUUAAAAUGUUUGCUAAGAUUUGUGAACAAUAUUUACAACUGAUCCCAAAUUUUCUAUCAAAUAAAAUCCAGUUUUAGUUUUUUUUUUUAAAUAUUCAUUGUUUUGGAAUGAUUGGUUGGUCACAAAUAGAAAAUAAAGAAUUUUUAAAAAAAUUGUUAUCGAAUUUUUAAAUUUCAUUCACUAAAUAGCAUUUUAUGAAUUUGAGCACAAUAUUUUUAAAAAACAUGGUACAUAUUAGGUAAUAUAUGAAUAAUAUUAUGGUUAAUGCGUAAUCUACGCUACUAAUUUAGUGAUAAGUUAAUAUUUAAUUUGGCCUUUUUCUCUCUUUAAUUGAAUUAUAAAUGCCCUUUCUUGCUUUCUACGUUCUUUGGUUCUUAUAGUCGCUAUUCAAUAUUUUUUUUUUUGUUUCUUAUUAUUUGGUCAUAUUUAAAAUAAUAAUAUGGAAAUGUCAACAGCUCCAACUUCAUUUAAACUAGAUGACCAAAGUUUUUAAGAAAAACUAUAAACAACAAGAAUAUUAAAGUUCAAUAUUAUUAUGAGCCUUUAAAUUAUCAUUUUAACGUGGAAUCCAAUAGUCUUACUAAUAUAAUAAUUCAUUUGUGUUCUUUUUUUUUUUAAUUUUUAAUUUUUAUUUAUGUUAGGGAAAUGAUACGCCCACACAUACAUGUCAUAUAGAUUCCUUACAUGCAAACGUAUAUAAGAACAUUUUGGUCCUAAAAUCUUAUAAUCAUGCAAAUAAGUCCUUAAUUAAAUAGACUAGGAAAUUCAUUGUCUUCUUAUUAUGUAUUUUCUUUCCCUUGUAUCUUCCAAUGAAUUAUAUAAGUAAUAAAUACAAUUUAACCUUUAAUUUAACAAACAUACAAUGAAUAUUUUUGUCCCAAACCAAAAGCACAAUAAAUAAGUCCCAACCAAAAGCACCAGAAUUAACCCAAACAAACUCCCAAGUCCCAGCACUCUCUCUCACUCUGUUUUGUCGUUAAAGUUGCUUCAACUUGAAAAGUUCAACGAUAAGUCUCCGAAAGAAAUUUCCCACAGCAUCUCAAUUUUCUCUUUCUGACAGCAUAUCAUCCUCUCUUUCAAUGGAAAAUAUGACCUCAGUCGCCCAGGGAUUCACUAAGUCGCUUGCGAUGACAGUGGUAUCGGAGAUCGGCGAUAAGACUUUUUUCGCUGCCGCGAUCUUGGCCAUGCGUCACCCAAGAAGACUUGUUUUGUCAGGUUGCCUAGCGGCUUUGAUAGUUAUGACUAUCCUUUCUGCUGCUGUUGGCUGGGCUGCUCCAAAUCUGAUCUCUCGUGCGUGGACUCAUCACAUAACAACAAUAUUGUUUUUUGGAUUUGGGCUUUGGUCCUUGUGGGAUGGAUUUAAUGACAAAGGGGAGGCUGAAGAAUUGGCAGAAGUUGAAGCAAAAUUGGAUGCUGAUUGGAAAGCUAACACAGGAACGGCCAAAGCUGGUAGCAAGGACAGUGAUGAAUUGAAAAAGCAGAGGCGGACAUUUCUUUCACAGUUCUUCUCACCUAUACUCUUGAAAGCAUUUUCCAUUACAUUCUUUGGUGAAUGGGGUGACAAGAGCCAGAUAGCCACCAUUGGUUUGGCUGCUGAUGAGAACCCGUUUGGUGUUGUUAUAGGUGGAAUUGUAGGGCAAGCACUGUGUACUACUGCCGCUGUCAUCGGUGGAAAGAGCUUGGCAUCUCAAAUAUCUGAGAGAGUAGCUGCGUUGUCAGGUGGAGUUCUUUUUAUUGUUUUUGGAAUCCAAUCCUUCCUUUCAACGGUUGAGUAGACCCAUCAUCUAACACGUAGGUGGUGGUUAGGUGUAUUAGUGACUUUCAUACAUUAAGAAGGUGAUCAUUCUCCGAAGGACGCAGCAAGAUAUGGUUAUUCACAAGAGCAAUUGCUCAACUCAUAAAUUUCCUGAUUCAAAGAGCAGUAGCAUGUUUGAUUAUCAAAAUUAACCAAGAGCGUGUUAUAUGCUAUUUAAUAUCUUCUGUUGGAUCUUGAUAUAUCUUAAAUUGAAUGAAGCAUUAUGAGGCACCGAAGUUGCCUACACACUGUUGAUUUUAUGCAUGCAAAAAAAAAAAAUGAUUAUUUGACAUGGUAUAGGAGCUUGAUGACCAGGCGAUUAUAAGUUCGAAUCAUUUAUUUGAUAAAAAUCAAACAUAAAGUAAUAUGAGUUUGUGCAAGUUUCAAGCUCAAAAAGCAUUUACUUGAUGGUGUGUGUUAAACAAUAAUAUAAAUCAUAUCUUGAAGUCUCACCUAAAGUUUAAGCUUUUGAAUUGAAUUGAUUCUUUAACAGUAUAUAAACACUAUUUUAAAAAAUAUUUUCUCAAUACAAGGCUGUUCUCCAGGAUCCAACAACUUCUUCAUCUAAAGACGAGGGUUACAGAAACAACGAUAAAGAUAGAAAAAAAUACCAGCAAACCUUGCAAACAUAAAAAAUUAAUAAUAUGAUUUUUUUUUCUUUUGAUAUGUUUGAUUGUAAGAGUAGAUGGUAUAUAUAGGCUAUUAACAUGUAAUAGCUAGGUAGAAAAUAAAUUAAAAAAUUAUUACAAUAGUUAAAGAAAUAAAAGAGGUGUUAGAGAAUUAAAAAGUUAUGGCUAUUAAAAAAAAUAAAAAAGAAAGAGUUGUUAAAAAGAGUUAGAGUUGUUAAAAAAUAUUGACAAAAAUCUGAUUUCUUUGCGACCCAUUUCCAUUAGCACAGAUAUUUCAUUAUUUAAAAAACUUGUGAUCAUUUUCAAAUGCAAAUUUAAAAUGGUUUUGAAAAAAUUAAUAAUAUAUAUAGUUGCUUAUUGGUCGCAAAAUAUUGAUAAAAUUCCUUUUUUGUAUGGAAUAAUUAUUUUUUCUAAUUAGAUAGUUAUUCAUAUUGAGAAUAUUCAGAUUGAAAUUCCUAUUUAAACAACCCUAUUUUAAUAAUAAAAAAUCUAGUUUGAAAUGAUGAAACUUAAACUUAACUAAAUUUUGAGUUAAUAAAUAAUCAGAUUGACCUAUGGAGCUAGAUCAAAUUUUAUAACCAUCUGCAUAAUACUAAUUAACCCGUAUUAUAAAUACCAAAAAAAGAAAAGUUUGGUUCAUGUUAUCAUUUCUAUAUAUUCUUAUCUUACAUGAAGACUUGCAUUUUUCUUUUAUUAAUUUAUGUAUAAAUUGAUAUGAGAAUAUUUCAUUAAUGCAUGCACACGUUGAUUCAAGAUCAUUCAUUAUCAUCCAAUAAAAAAAAUGAUUUGAAUCAAUUUCACAGAAUAAUAAUAUAAAAAAGAAAGAAAGAAGAGAAUUUAGGUCAUGCGUAUGAAAGGGUGGUUUCUGCCAUAAUAAACGUCUUGCAUCAUGGAAGCAGCCAAAGGCGAAGUAAUCUUUAUAAUUACCAGAGGAAGAAUGUAUCAGACAAGAGCAACAUCGAGCAGAGAUGAUGGUCACAGACAGAGGAGCACGGGCUAACCAUGGCCUUACUGCAUGGUGGGAGGAAACCAUAGACAAAAAAAAAAAACACAACUCCCUCAAAUUGUUUAUGGGCUUGAGCUAGUGUCUCUCUACUCGCUGAGAUGGAUGAAUCUGGUUCAAUCUCACCGUGUCAAGUUGCUAUCUGUCUCCACUGUGGCAUUGAAUUUUCUGGUGAGAUCCACCCAGCAGCUUUAAUCAAGAGUUUAUUUGAAUACAAGGAUAUGAAUCAUGGCUGCCCCUGCCCUUUGCAUGCCCGUUUAUAAGUGUCGCACCCGACAUCACGGCAGUCCUAAAAAUUAAUUCUCGAAUAUGAAAAAAAAAACAGAUUUCUGGCAUCUUGUUCUUUUAGAAAAAAUAUCUUGUUUAAGGAGUCGCCACCUAGUAUUAUGGUUACUAGGAACCCUAACUGGUCAACAGAGAUUCUAUAAUACGGAACUGGUUACGUAAAAGGGAAGAUAUUAUCACCCUUUAAACGUUCUGUCUGAGGCAGACUGCAUUGCUGGUUUUGUCUUAAAUUGCUAAAAAUUUAUUCGCUUAUGCUAUGAUGAUUUGUUUAUAAUAUUCCUGAUUCUGGCGCCAGUAAAUAUUCGACUACGGAUAUUUCCAACUCUGGCAUUGGUAAGUAUUACGUAACUCAAAACAAAGAUGAAUGGUGUUGCUGACUCUAGCUCUUUAAAUGAACCAAUAAAAAUAAAUUUAAAUAUAUGCAUGCAUAUUUUAUAUUUUUUAUUUUUUAUUUUUUUGGGCUGGGCUGGACCCAGCCAGCCCGGCCCGGUCACUGGCCCAAGCCAGUGACCGUGCAAAUUUCACCCGCAAGCGUGCGUGACUCACGCACGCUUCUACAAUCACCACUUAAUUAAGUCUCUAAUGCACAGUGUUGAUGAAUUAUUUUACAGAGCUGGAGACACUUGCCUGGGAGCAGAAUGAAGGCGAUGGCGUGCUGUUCCUCUCUUCGUUUUUUAAGCUUCUUCCUCUGGUUUUGGAAGCCGGCGCCGGAGAAGAAGAAGCCGAUUGUGAUGCUGGUGCUUUCUUCUGUGGGUUUCUUAUUUCCCUGUCCUCCUCUCUGCCUCUGUUCUCAAAGAAAGAAAGAAACGCUCUGGUUCCUGUUGCUCGCAGUUGCAGAAGACGAUGACAGUGCAGAAGGGCUAUCCCACCCACACUGCCACUGCCUUCUCUCCUCUGUUUUGUUUUUUAUUUCACCCCUCCCUCGGUUCAGCUCUCUCUUUUUUCAGUUCUUCCCCCCUGGCUUUUUCGUGUUUUCCUCUGUUUCUUUGAGAAGAAACAGGGGAACGAAAGUCUGCUCUGGUUUCUCUCGGUUCCUCUUCCCAGUUUUUCUUCAGUUUCUCUCCGUCUGCUCUUUUUUAGUUCGGUUCUGUCAUUUUUUGUUCUCCGCCCUUCGUGGCUUUUCUUUUUCUCUCCCUCUCAGCCCCUCGGUUCUGUGUUUCUCCAGGGGCUUUUCGGUUAUGCCCUCUCUUUCCUGGGUUCUUUUUUGCCACCACCUGCAUGGACUAUCUCUGGCUUUUAUAGCCAGAGAACAAUGCCGUUUCUUCAAGCCAUAAAUUGUGUUAAUUGCAGGUGUAAUGGUGGGAGCGGCGGUGUGCGUCCGUUUCAGUCGGGAAGAAGAUGGACAUUAACGGGAAAACGGCGCCGUUUUUGGUGUUUAAUGGCUAUUUGCAUUUUGGACCUUGCAUUUUUGACAAUUUUGUACUUAAGUCCCUAGUUAAAUUGUAAUUGGACCCCUGCAUUUCGGCGCCAUUUUCAAGCUGGUCCUUGGAUUUUAAUUUUUUCAAUUUGGACCCCAAUUAAACCCCAAACUUUGAUAUUUCUUCAAUUAAGUCCCUGAUUUCAUUAAUUAAAUUAAUUCUAAGCCAAUUAAGUCCACAAACUUAUCAAUUCUUCAAUUAAACCCUUGAUUGGAUUAAUUAAAUUAAUUUCAAGCUCAAUUAAGUCUCAAAAUCAAUUCUCCAAUUAAACCCUUGAUUGGAUUAAUUAAAUUAAUUCCAAACUCAAUUAAAUCUCAAAACUUAUCAAUUCUCUAAUUAAACUCUUGAUUGGAUUAAUUAAAUUAAUUCCAAACUCAAUUAAGUCUCAAAACUUAUCAAUUCUCCAAUUAAACCCUUAAUUGGAUUAAUUAAAUUAAUUCCAAACUUAAUUAGAUUAAUUCCAAAGUUUAAUUAAACCCCAAAAAUUCUAAUCAUGUUGCCCUUAACCCAAAUUUUAAUUCAUUUUUCAUUUAUCUCAUUUUACUUGUUUUUUAUCAUUAUUAUUUUUUUAUCAUCAUCAUUUUUUUUAUCCUUUUUAGUAAAUAAAAUAAUAAUAAUAAUUAAAAUAAAAUGGUUAAAAAUUGGGUUAUGACAAUAGGGACAAAGAAGAAUUGUUUUCCACUUUUUAGAUAAAAAAAAAAAUCCACCAAACUCUGCAACCCACUUGGGAGAGAAACAGCAUCCUCUUUCCAUGGAGGGUCCCCAGAUAUCACCAUGUCCAUCAAUUAUUACAUUGUUUGGAACCCCAGAAAAUUAUAUUUUUGAGCUAACAAUUCCUUUCGAGCCUUGAAUAAUCUCUCUCUCUCUCUCUCUCUCUCAAUAAUACUGAUGCUUUUGUACUGACAUCUGUGUUUGAUUGGGCCUACGCCUAUCUAUGUAAACAAUGACUUGUAGAGUUAUUAAACUUUCGCCUAGAGAAUUGAUCCGGUUAACUUUUAAUUUAAAUUGAUUUUAGUAUUGAUUUGGUUAAAUUUAAGUGAUUUAACAAGUUGAUACUGUUAUAUCUAGCUAUGUCAAAACCAAUGAAUUUUUUUUAAAAAAAAAAUAUCAAACAAAUUUUGUUAAAAAAAUGAUAGAAUCACUUAAAUUUUAAGAAUAAAAAAAAUAAUUUUUUUUUAUUGUCCUUAAAAAAACCUACGUAGACAAGUGAGGUUUAUUCAUAUUGAGAACUUCUCAAGUUCAAAAGCAUAGACAACAUAAAAAAAAAAAGUAGAUAAAAUCCUAUCUAUGAUAGAAGCAUUGCAUCUCACAUCUUUUAUGAUAAAUUUUUUUUUUAAAAAAAAAAGCAGAUUUACUUUUUUUUUAUUAUUAUUAACGUAGGUAUCCGGGCCAGCUUGCACGCACCUCGACUAAUCCCACGGGCCCUAAAGUUAACGAAUGUAAGCCUUGAGUGGCCAUCAUAUGAGCAACCACAGGGCUCGAACCUGAGACCACAGAGGGAGCAAACCCUUUAGUCCCAAGCUCUUACCACUAGACCACCACCUAGAAAGCAGAUUUACUUAAACAUUAUAGAGUUAAACAUAUCUAAUUUAAUCAACAAUUACAUUUAUAUAUAUAAUCUUAAUAUGAAAAUAUUCCAGAUAAAUGAAUUUGAUUAAUAUCAAUCAGUAAAUUGAUUAAUCCAUCAUAUACUAUAAAAAAAAAAUAGUUAAUUCUCCUAAUUACAUAAUUAUUAAUAUUAUAGUAAUCAUCAUCAUUCCAAAAAUAUAUCGGUUGAUAUUAUAGUAAUCAUCAUCAUUCCAAAAAUAUAUCGGUUGCCAAAAUAAAUAUAUAAAAGUGAUAAAAUUUCUAGUUAGUGUGAAAUAAUUGAUUUUCCUAAAUUGAUAAUUAUUAAUAAUCAUCACAUUUUAAAAAAUAUGAUGAUGAUAUUUAAAAGUUAUUAAUAAUCAUCACAUUUUAAAAAAUAUGAUGAUGAUAUUUAAAAGUUAUUAAUAAUCAUCACAUUUUUUUUAAAUCUAGCUUUGUUCCUUUUGGCAAAAAAAAUAUCAAAAGAUAUAGCUCAACCAUAUCUCAAAAUCUAAAAUUAGAUGAAAUUGUCGUUUUGAUCAUUUAAAGCUAAAAUGAUAUUAUGAUUGUUAAACAAUGUAAAUAAAUAAAAGAGAAAUACAAAAACAAGAGAGGGGGAGGUUACGGUUUUAUUGAUAUUGCAUUGAAGGGAUAUGUUUAACAUAAAUACAAAGAGAUUAUAUAUAGGCUAAACUGAAAAGAAAAUAAAAAUAUUAUUCUACCCUUAAUAAAUAAAACAAAAUAACUUAUAUUUCUUAACAUAUCCCCUCAAACUCAUGAUGUGACAGUUACAGGCAUCGAGAGUUUGUCAACUAGAAAAUAAAAACAAAAAAUAAAAUGCAACUUGGUAAAGAAAUCCGCAAUCCGCAAAGAAGAAGAAACAAAAGGCAAAGUAAUGGUGUCAUGCUUGAGAUGAUGACAAGUAAGAUGACAAUUGAUUUCAAUGUGCUUAGUUCUAUCAUGAGAAAUCGAGUUGUGAGCAAUCUGAAUAGAACUCUGAUUGUCACAAUACAUAGGAGUUGGAUGAGAAAGGAAAAUUCUCAAAUCUGCAAGUAACCAACGUAACAAAAAAUCUCUUUGGUAGUAGAUGUCAUAUCACAAUAUUCUGCUUCAUUUGAAGAUUGAAAAAUAAUAGAAUGUUUCUUGCUUUUUCAAGAAACAAGAAAUCACUUAAAAAGAUACAGAAACCAGUAACACAUUUGCAAUUUGUGGGAUCACUACCAUGAUCAGCAUUAAAGUAUGCACACAGCUCUAAAAAAGAGGUGGAUAGAAGUAAAAGACUUUGAAAAACUAUACCUCGAAGAUAUCACAAAAUACAAAGAACAGUUGUCUAAUGAACGGUAGUAAAAGAAGCAGCAAACAGACUAACAACAUAAACAGCAUAUGCAAUAUCUGGAUGAGUAAUAAUGAGAUAUAUCAAGCUCCCAACAAUAGUACGGUAUAAAAUAUGAUGUGACAAGGUAAAUCAUCAUAAGAAAAAUAUUUUGUGUUAACCUUAAUGGGAGUAUAUACAGUUUUAUUAUUAGUAAGUCUAGCUUGCUCAAGAAUAUUUACCAAAUAUUUCGACUGAGAAAUAAGAUAACUCAAAUUUUUCAUUUCAAACUAUCUAGCUAACUCUGUAUUUAAAACUGAAAUACCAUCAAUAUCAUCAUCAGUAAUAAUUAUGUCAUUAACAUAUAAAGACAUAAUGAUACGACUUGUAUCAGUGCACUUAACAAAAAAAGCAGAAUCAUGACUACUAGAAACAAAACCAAUAGAAGAGAUCACAACAGAGAAUUUCUCAAACCAAGCACGAGGUGCUUGUUUGAGAUCAUAUAACGAUUUCUUGAGCUUUCAAACAUACUCAGAAUCAUGUGAAAUACUAAGAGGAGCGUCAUAUAAACUUCUUCUUUAAGAUCUCCAUUCAAGAAGGUAUUUUUAACAUCAAGUUGAGAUAUAUGUCAUUGAUGAACCGAAGCUACUACAAUAAGAGUAUGAAUAGUAAUUAUUUUUGCAAUAGGAGUAAAUGUCUCCUCAUAAUCCAUACCAUAUUAUUGAGAGUAUCAUUUUGCAACCAACCUAGCUUUGUAUCGCUCAAUAGAUCCAUCAGAAUUAAUCUUGAUCUUAUACACCCAACGACAACCAACAUCACUCUUACUAGGAGGUAGAGGAAUCAAAUCUCAAGUAUCUAUUUUAUGCAAAGCAUAAAGUUUCUCAUCCAUAACUUGCUGCCAAAGAAGAUCAAGUCUCUUUAUAGAAAGAGGGCUCAGAAAAACAAUGAAUAAAAGCUAAAAAAUAAAUAAAUGAUGAGGAAUAACAAGAAUAAGCAAAAUCUGGUAACUUUGUGGACUUAUGAAUGCAUAUGGAUUGACGUAGAGGUAAAUCCAUAAUCUCAAACGGAGGUGGAGGGAUUGUAGUGGAGAGAAUGAAACUUUAGGUGUACCAGAGAGUAAAAUGUUAGUACAUGUAGAAUAAUCAGUAUUUUUUUGUUUAAUUAUUUCCAAAUUAUUAUUAUUAUUAUUAUUAUUUUAUGAAAAUUAUAAAUGUAAUUGUUGAUUAAUUUAUUAUGUUUAACUUCUUUUUUUUGGCUUAUCAUAAAAGACAAUAGAGAUGAAAUGCCUCUAUCACUUUUUUUUGCUUUUUAAAUGCUGUCUAUGCUCUUGAACUUGACAAAUGCUCGAAUGUGAAUAAAUCACUUGUCUGCCCAAUUGUUUUUUAGGAGAAUAAAAAAUUUUCAAAUUUUUUUUAUUGUUAAUUCCCUUGGCAUAACUUCCUAGCAAGGCAAAGGAUUUUGAAACACAAAAGAAAAGGAAAGGGUGACUACAUCAAAUAUAUAUCAAAAUAUCUCACUAUAUCAAUAUUUAUCAGACUUAUAAAGUGAAUUAAAAACACAUAUAUAUGUGCAAGCGUACACACAUAUAAACUAAAUUAAUAUUUCACUGUAAAUAUUUAUCACAAUUUUAAAACAAAAUUGUGAGUAAUUUUUCCCUUUUUUUAUAAGCAAAGAAUACUUUAACACUAACUAUAAUCUAAAACAUGUGGAGAAAGUAUUAAAUUGUAAGUAUUUUUUCCCUCUUUUAUAAGUAAAGUAUAUAUUAAAGAAUCUCAUUAUAUCAAUGUAUUUCGGACUUGAAAAAGUUAAUCAAACAUGUGGGGAAAGUUAAUCAAACACAUUAACUAUAAUCUAAAACAUGUAAGAAAAGUACUCUAAUAAUAUUACUUUCCCCGUAUGUUUUGGUGUGGCUCUAAAAAAUACAUUUGUUUUUGUUUAUAUAUAUAUAUAUAUAUAUAUAUAUAUAUAUAUUUUUUUUUAAUUAAUGUUUUGGUUUUUUUUUAAAUUUUAUCCUUUUAAUAUUACAUUUUUUUAUUGGGUUAUCUUAUUUUCAAGACACGGAUCACGGGUUUGGCGGAUUAACCUAAUUGAUUGAGGUUUUAUUCUUUUUUAUUUACCUUUUUUUUUCAAUUUUAUCACUUAAUAUUGGUUUAAUUGAGAAUUAGGUUUCAUGAUUUAUUUUAUUUGCUUUCUAUUAUGUUAAUCAGUCAUGACUUGAAAAUAAUGUUUAAUGGCUUUAUAAUUUGUUUUUAUUUAUUUUCUAUGGAGUUAUCAUAAUCUCAUAACUCAAGUCACAUAUUUGAUAUGUUAACCCAAAUUGACUCAAAUUAAUUUAUUAUGUUGUUAUCUUAAUUUUAAAAAAAAAAUGUUAUCUUAAAAUUAUUUUUAUCAAAUUAUAUUUUUAUUGGUCCUCUAAAAAAUAUGUUAGUAAUAUUUAAAUAUUUUUUUUAUAUUCAAGAAAAACUUGACCCGAGGGUCAAUAAUUUAACACAAACAGUAAACUAAAACAAUAUUUCACUAUACAUGUACUAUUCAUAAAAUACUAUUUAGAGAAUCAAACUAAAACAUUCGAUAACAAAUUGUUUUAAAAUUAUGAAGGAAAUUGAAUAGCAGAAAAGUACUGGUUUUGCUUGCAAAUAUAUAUUUGAGUGAAGGAUAUGAUAUCAUUAAAUGAAAGUACAACUUAUCAUUGCACAUUGCCAUGCCAUGAAGAUUGAACCAUUACAGAAAGCAAGAGACAAGCUUAUCAUAUUAUUGCAUAUUAUCAGAAAUGGCGAUGAAAUUAGACUACAAACUUACAAAGUUCCAACCCCAUUUAGACCAAACCAAAAACAUUCUUACCCCGUCAUAACAAGAGUUAUGGCUUAUCAACAACAGACCUGAAAAAAAUUUACUGAUAGACCAAUUCAAAAGUGGCCAAAAAAAAGAAAAACUUCCCUUUAUUCCUCGCCAUCCUCUCCUGCAAAACUCAGAGCCUGACAAACAGAGUCCCCUGCUUCAGCCUCCUCGAUGCAAAAGAAUGGUUUCUUCCCAACCAAAUCAGCCACUCUUUUCGCAGCCCCUGAAUCCCUUGGAGUCUCAGCAACACACCUGACAGUCCUAAUCUUUGGCAACACAUCAGCCACUGUAGAAACUGUCGGCGGAGAUUCGCCUUCAUCAUCACCCUUAUACACCACUACUUCAAUUGGAAUCUCCCACUUCUUCUUCACUCUACCACUGUCCAUUCUCUGACACGCCCCAUUUCCUCGCGAAGCCCUCCUCUUAUUGACAUCUUCCUUCUCAUUAUCCGGCAAAGACCUCUUUCGAGCCUCGCUAGCACUUAGAUUCCCAUUAGACUGAUUUGUUCCAAUCUGACUAUACCUACUAGCCACCACCCGCCCGGGCUUCAAGGGUUUCUUAUUAGUAACAGAUUUUUCUCCAUCUUUGAAUAGAUUCUUCGGCUGAAUUGAAGCAAUAAUCCCAUCUUCUUUCUUCACUGAUCUUCUAGACCCCACAGUAGUAACAGCCUGUUUAGGAAAUUGAAUCUUGGACACAUUUUUUCGCGAUCUUGGACUAACACUCAAGCUUUUUCCUCUCUCUUUAGUUGCCUUUAAUUCAUCAAUCUCUUCAAGCUUCCAAAAACAAGAUUUCCGCCGAUUCUGAAUCGAAACAGGAGUGUUCAUGUCUUGUUUCCCACAGAAUAACCUUGAUUUGGAUCCGGAUAAAAUCUCACUUGGCCCUAAACUGACUCCUCUUCUAUUAAUCUUCGAUUUAGAACUUGGGAUCAACGGUUCCUCAAUCUUGACACUCUGUUUCUGAUCCAUAAAUUUUGCAGCCACAAUUCUCCCUCUCUUCUCAAUAGUCUUUGAUAUAUUCCUCUCUACCUUUUCAAGCCUAAGUGCUUCGAGUCUUGAAGACAAACGCUUAAUCUCUCUCUCAAUCUCUUCAAUCUCCAUAUCAAUCUUUUUCUCAUCACGAUUCUUGAUCUCUUCAUUCUUUGCCACCAUCUUAGAAACCCCAAUCUUCAAAGAACUACUCCCGAGUGAGUUAACUAGAUUGGUAUUUGAUUGAAGUGGCUUGGUGGGGUUUGAAGAAUUGACAAAAACAGGAGAUGAUUUUUCACAAACUGGGCUAAGAUUCUCUUUACUUCCAUUGGAUUCAAGACUUUGAGUCCACCAAGAAGACUUAAGAUUCAAAGAAUCCUCUGAUUCUCCAUUAUCAAACGCUGCAUUGUUCCAUAUUUGAACUUCUGGGGCAUCAACCCCAUCUGGGUAUUGAAGAAGACUACUCAUCUUUCUUGUUGCACUAUCAAAAUGGGGGGUUUUCUUUGUUCUUUUUACAAAUCAAGAUUUGACCUUUUUCAAAGGAAUCUGUGAAUUUUUGAGAGAGAGAGAGAGAGAAAAGGUGAGGAUUAUUUGAGUUUAAUGAGGGAUUUUUGGGGGGGUUUUGUGUUGUUUUAAAGAUUUUUUGACCGUUGGAGAAAAAGUAUACGUUGGAGCCUCAUGGUGGAAUACUGACAGUUCCAUAAACGGCUUAUAUUAGACGCUCCCAUUUUGAUUUAAAGGGUUAUUUGUCAAAAAAAAAAAAAAAAAAAAAGGAAAAUUUUGUGCGGGAUGGGAACUUGAUGCGUUGUUUGUUUCCUGUUUGAUGAGUAAGAAAGAGCAUAUUUGAAUAGUGUUAAGGGUUGUUUGGGAGUAAAUUUUGUUAAAAUUUUAAAAAAAAUUCUUUAUUUUUUUUAAUGUUUUUAAAUUAUUUUGAUGUAUUGAUGUUAAAAUUAAAUUUUAAAAAUUUAAAAAUAUUUUUUUAAUAUUUUUUUUGAAAAAAAUAUUUUGAAAAGUAACUACUAUUAUAUUUUAAAUAUUUUCUAAACCUCAUCAAUCAAUCUAAUAAUCUAAUAUAUUAUUUUUUAUUGAUAUGUUAUUUAAUUUAGACUAUGUAUAAAAAAUUAGAUGAGAAUUAAUUUGAUCCCGAUUAAAAUCUAGUUUAAUUUUAAAAAAAAAUUCAAAAUGAUAUAAAUUUGAAUUUUUAUUAAAAAAAUAAAAAUUAAUUUAUUUUAAUUAAUUCAGAUCAAAUCUAAUUAAUCCACAUAAUCAUGUUAUAUUAUAUAAUCAUAAUCAGGAUCAAACAAGAUUUAAUAACUUUGAUUUGAAUAGGAAAUGGCCGAUGAUUACUACUACGAAAUUGGGCCGCCCUCCCAUAGCCGAUGAUACUUUGGAAGUGAGGGGGAGAAGGCAAGAAAAUCAUAAUUACCCGUAUGACUAAUAAUCUCAUUAAUCAUUUUGUUAGCAAGAUCGAGGAGGUAAAAAAUCAUAAUUAUAUCCUCCAAGUUGGUUUUUUUUUUCAAUUUGAUGGUAAAAAAUAUUUUCAUAUAAUUAAGGGUUGAUAAAUCAGCAUAUGGAUCUGAUGAUCCUCUCAACACUGCUAAGAAUCUCAGUAUGCAAGCAACAGAACAGCAGAUGGUUGUAAGAAAGAAAUACACAGUGAAUUUUAUUCCCUUUCAAGCAAAAUGAUUAGUUAAAAUUGGAAGAAAAUGGAGCUACUCUUCCUUGACAUAUCAGUUCAUAUCACAGCAGCAAAAAGAACCCAGAAAGGAAGUAUCAGCUGCAAGUCUGUAACACACAGCAGGCUCCAGUCUUCGGCCAAUGAUACUCAGUGUCCACAUGAGCAGGAACCUUGCCUCCAUGUCGCCACAAUAAUACAGACAGUUCCCAGCUGAAGAGUCAAAGGAGAAAAGAUAAAAUAAAAUAAAUAAAUGCACAGUACUGAAGGAGAAGGCACCACACACCACACAUAAUUAAAAGAAAUCUUGCUUACACUUAAAAUAAAUAUUUUUUUAAUUCAUCAUGUGUAAUUGGACUGAAUUCCAAGAAAUUUGUUGACAAGGAUCAAAUUAGAUGCUCAGUAAAUAUGAAGGACUAAUCAAAAGACAAGCCAGAUUCUAUUAGAAUUGUUCAAUAAUAAUCAGUUGCAGCAGCAAUCAGAAAAUAUUAUAAUUAUAGUCAACAAUUUUUUAGCAAUUAGUUUCUGUUUCAAAUUAUAAAUUAUACAAAAAUAUUAUUCUUAUUUCCAAUUAAUUGUAUAUGUUUAUAUGUUUCAAACACCUGAAUUUUAUUUUCAUCAUUAAAUUUAUUUUGAUUUAAGUGGCUAAAUUUAAUUUGUUAUAAUUAAGUGGCUAAAUUUAAAUUUAAAUUUGUUAGACCAGGUAGUUGCUUAUUUAUUAAGUUUAAGAGAAUAUUUUCAAGAUAGAAUUGAAUCAUUAGAUUAUUUUUCUAUUAAAGAAUGUUAAUCAAAACAUAAUUACUGCGAGAUGUCUUUUUGAGAUACAAAAUAUCUCAUAGUAAUAUAUUUUAUCCAUUAUAUUAAUUAAAAUUAAAAUAGAGUAAAUAAAAUAUAUAUUCAUUAAAAACACAAAAUCUUGCUCUGUACAAUUUUUUUCUUAACAAAGUCACAUUAAUCUAUCUCUGUCAUCCUGGAUAAAAUUUCACAAUUACACUCCAACUCGCCCAGUCAAUUCAAUCUCCUCUUAAAAUACUUCACAACUCACCGAGUCAAAACUCGCUCUCACCACCGAGUCAAUCAUCCUCUCUCUUAAACAUGAGUCUCCUUGCUAUCUCCUCACCCCUGACCCCAGCAAUUUAAGUACAUAACUCGUCGAAGAGAAUCAUCAUUUUGCCUCACUCCUCCUUCUAAUCCACAACUCCCAAAAACUCCACCACAAUCCGAUUCAACUGAACCAGCAAGUGGCCGGAUCUCCGUGGCAUCUCCUCGGGAGAACACCCUCAUCUUACCUUGUUGCAGUGAUUUUAAGUUGGAUUUCCACCCUUGAUCAGGGUGCCUAACUGCAGCCACGGUAGCUGCCACCCAAACUCUGUUCAAAUAACUCAUUUUCCAGGCCUUUCUGAUGUAUCGGCAGAAAAAAUUACGGUGGGAGGAAUUUUAAGUUUGCUUGAGUGCUUGGAGGGAGGGCUGGGUGUGUGGCUUUAUAGAGAGAAAAGUGCUUGUGGUUUUUGUAAAACAGGAAGUGGUUUUCUUUGAUAAAGUGGUUUGGGAUAGGAAUCAUUUAGUGGUGGGCCUGAGGAUCGAGGUUUGAUGUUUUGUACAGAAGUGAAGUUUUUAUCACGAGAAAUUGUGUAUUGAUGUCCUUGAAAUUUUCAAAUGUCUAAAAACUUUUGUAUUUUUUCUAUAUAUUUUAAUGAGAUUUUAUUUUGAAUGAGUAUAAUUAUUUUUUACGAUAAUAACUACACCAUUAUAUAUAAUUUCUUAAUCAAAUAUUUGAUAUUAUGAGUGUAGUUUAAAUAAAAGCUCAAAUAGUAUAAAACUAUAAUUUUUUUCUUGCAAGAUUACCUAUCAAGAUCUAAGAAAAACUCCCCAUGGAAAAAAUAUUGUUCAUAAUAAACUUUGUAAAAAAAAUUAAUGUUGGAUAAAUGUGUUUAUAAUUUUAAAUUUAAUGUUAAUUUUUAUAUUGUUUAACUUAUGAUAAGUAAAGGAAAUGAAUGUAUUAUAUUUGAUAAUUAAUAUAUUGUUGCUUUUAUUUUUUAUUUUUUUUAAUAAAGUGGAAGGGUUCGAUAAAAUGAUAGAAAAUGAUUCGCUGAAGCGUGGAGUUAUCACGAGAAGAAAUGACGAUAAAGUGUAUUUUGUAACAGGUAAAGGGAGCAACAGGUGUCGACCUUAUCUAAAACCCACGGUUCAUCUUUAUCUGACCAAUACCAGCUCAACACUCUUAUCAAGUGGGGUCCCGCAGGAAGUUAAGAUAAUUUGUCUUUUUCUUGACUUGCUAGACCACGUGAUGAGGGGACACGUGCUGUGACGAGAAUCGGACAUGGCUCUUUGUCUGAAUGGGUAGGCAGGGAUGUCACGUGCUGGAUGAUGAAUUAUUGUAGUUGUUGGAGACUUGUAGUGAUGGUAAAAGAUAGUGUUAGCAUGGAGGGAUGCUAGGGAAGCUUCCAAAGCGAUGCCAUUUGAUUGAACAUCGUGGUGUUUAUAAGGGGACAUCAGGUGAAUAGAUUUCUCAGUGGAUGAUUAAUGGAAUUUGGAUUUUUAAAAAAAUAUUUUUUUUUCAAAUUAAUUGCUAGGCAUGAUGGAAGGAUUCAAUUGAAGAAUGUUUAAUACUAUGAAAUCUAUUAAAAAAAAAUUAGUUCAAAGGAUCCAAUUGAAAAUGAUUGGCAAAUUGAGAACUAACUGGAGUUUUUUUUAGUAUGGAUCUUUGUUGAGUGUCCUUUUUUUACAAUUAUUAUACAUUAUAGUUAUUAAAAUUAUUCGGGUUACAAGCUUGUUGGAUUAAGUUUUUAUAAUGAAAAUGAUUUUAAUUUGGAUAUUUUAAAAAAAAUCAUUAAAAUUGACUUGAUUGGAUUUAAUAUGAUCAACUGUUAAUUAUUAAAUUAUUAGAUUAUUCCGUCAACUGAAUCAAAUUUAAUAAAUAUAUUACCGAAAUUAAAAAUCAUUUUCCUUUUCCUGUAGGCAUUUCUAUUGACAUUGCUUCAUGAGUUUCAUUAUAUAUUUUCAACAAAUAGUAAUGAAAAAGAAAGGAAGAUAACUUUGGUACCGUCCAAAUAUGUCUUGCAUAGAAGCAGCUAAAGGGGAAGUAAUUUUUUUUUUUUAAUUACUAGAGGAAGAAGGUAUCGCACAAGAGCAACAGCAAGCAGAGACAAGAAGGAAUCAUAGAGGAGAUAUGGAAAAGAAAUCAAUGGUGUGGUCUCUAUCAUAGAGGAGAUAAUAAGCAUAGUCAAAGUUUGUGGGCUAACCAUGUCCUAACUGCAUGGUGGGAGGAAAUCAUUAUCAAAACCAAUGUGACAUAUUGAUUUGUCAAGUUUAAAAGCAAUAUAAAUAAUUAAAAAAUAUAUAAUUUUAUAUUAAAAAAUCAAGAUAAAGUCUAAAAAAAAAAAUAGAGAAGAUAAUAUAUUAAAUCAAUCUAAGUUAAUAUGUAAAAGUUAUUAUAUGAAUUAUUAGAUCAUGAUAACUUUAUAAAAAUUAAAUCAAAAAAACAUAUUGAAACUUGAUUCUCAAUUAACUCAAUGUUGAAGGAGUGAAAUUAAAAAAAAAAUCAAUUAAAAACAGACAAAAAAACUCGAGUCCACCCGGAUUAACUUAUCAAAUCUAGAUUAUGAGACUUGGAUAAACUAAUAUAAAGUUAAUCAAAACAAAUUAUGAAACUCAAUUCCAAAUUAAUUCAAUGUUAUGAAGAAAUUGAAAAAAAUAAUCAAUUAAAAAAAAUCCUGAGUCAACCUAUCAAAUCUUUGACUCGUAUCAUGAGAUUAAGAUAGCCUUAUAUAAAACAAACGAAAACAAAUUAUAAAGUUUAAUUCUUAUUCAACCUAAAUAUUAAAGAAUAAAAGAAACAAUUACAAAAAAUAUAGAGAUUUUAAUAAACAAUACUUUAUAAGACAAAGAAGAAUGAUUUUCACUUAUCAAUUAGUUUCUGUUAAUAAUUUAAAGGUUUAAUUAUAGAAAUUUUAAAAUAAAAACAUACUUUUUCAACCAACCCAUUGAAAUUUAUGAAUCUACAUGGUGAUAUUUCAAUUAUCAAAGAGAGGUCCACCUAGCAACUUUAAUAAUGAGUUCAUAUAAAUUCAAGGAUAGAGAUCAUGGCUGCCCUUUAGAUGGCAAUUUACGGGGACAAGGAGAAUUGAUUUCAACUUUUUAGAUUAAAGUUCCACUUAACUUUGCAACCCACCUGGGAGAGACGCUAUCCCGUUCCCAUGGAGGGUCCCUAAAUACUCCAUUGUCUUGGAACCCCAUAACUGAUAUUUUAUAAGCUACAAACUACUUAUAAUAUGAUAUUUUAUAAGUCCCUAAAAGAAUUUGAGCAUUGGCAACGCGUUUUUUAGCUUUUAAGAAAAAUUUCAUUAUGAAUAAAAAAAAUUAAAACAUUCAUUUAAUCAAAUAAAUAAAUAUAAAAAGGAAAUAUUUACAUGAAUCAAAAACCAUUUAGAUUUUUUAUGAUAAUAAUAAUAAUAUUAAUAAUUCAUUCAUUCAUAAUCAUUUCUCCCUCGAUAGUGCUAAAGCUUUAUAUUGACAUCUACGUUUGGUGGCCAUAGCUAUCAAUCUAUCUAAACAAGAUCUUUCCCCAUUUCAAGUUCUUUAGAAGAUAAGAUCUUCCCCUUUAUUCUCAACACGAUUUUGCUUAUCAAACUAUGUUUCAUGUAAUUUCUUCUUUAAUUUAUUUGUUCGUGCUAGAAGAGGGCACCUUGGAUGUUAUUAAAGUAUUUAAGGGCAUUCAAAAACACAAAGAUGCAAGGCAUGAGGAGGAUUAGCACGAUAAAAGUGACUUCUUUUUUCCAGGAAGUGUCCAAAGCACAACACAUUCCAGGUUCCUGAUCACUGUCAUUAGCAGGAUAAUUUAAUUGCAGUGGACAAAACACAAAGCAAGAACCAAAUCCAGAUCUCAAUCUAAAUUCCACUAGUUCAUUACCUUAUCAGCAAAAGAAAAGGGUAUAUAUCUCCCUUUCUCAGGCAAAAUCUCCAACUAAGCUGCCAAAUUUGCCUCUAUCAGGCUGUCAAUCCAAUAAAUAAUACUAAUGAAGGACAGCUGCUCAAAGGUUGCUUUCAUGUGCAAAACAACAGCAGCAGCAAAGUUGAGCAUGUAUCCAUUGUCACUUCCAUGGACCAUCCAAAUAAUAAUGCAAUGUUAUGAUGCUUUACGUGACAGCAUUAUAAAUAAUUUACACGUGUACUAAUGAUUAUAAAAAUGAUUAUAAAGCUCAAAUAUCCUAAGAAACAAAAAGUAAACAAGUAGGGUAAGUGACGGAUACUGAGAAGAUAUAAUCUUGUUUUGGUUGAGAGAUAGAUACAGAAGCUUAAAAUAAAGGAAACCUCAGCUCAAGAAAAAACAAGUGCUUGCAAGGAAACAGGAUCUUCACACAGAAUCAACUUCAACCUGCUGGCGUGCCAGGUAUCUUUCCCUCCGCUCUUUCUGAAAUGCAUAUCAGAGAAGCAAAGUCAGGAAAAUUUAUAGGCCACAAUGUUAUAAAGGAGAAAUAAAUGGCACACCAAAUGUUCAAGACCUCACCCACUCAUCUAUAACAAGUCCUUCGCCAACAACUCUGGGGCCUGCAUCUUCUGGAGGCUUCUUGCGUGCUUCGAGCUCAGCUUCAGCCUCAGCCAGUUGUCUUUUAAGCUUUUCCAGUGCCUUGAAGGAAACAAAACAGAAUUUCCUCGAAGAUUCAGAAGGCUUGUUUUUGGUCUUUAUAUUUUCCUUUUAAAUUCAGGCAGAGAACAUAUUAGAGAUGUAUCUGUUUUACUUACAGGACUAGGGCAUUCUGGAUCAAGAAAAACAACUCGUAAAAUUUGCUCAACUGCUACUUGAUCCUUCUGCUCAUCAAACUGCAUAAAAAUGUAUAAACAUAGCUUGUUCAGCAUUUUUAUAGAUCAAUGCCAUUGUUUUGUAAUAGAACACAACAUCAGAAGCAUUCUUCCUGGCAUACAGACCAAAAAUAAGCUUACACAUUGAGACAACAAAAUUAGAUCUUCAGCCCUACAUGUUUCAUAAAACUAGCGUAUGCCAAUCAUAGAGAGAGCUCACAAUUCUGAUAGAUGAUUCAGAUGAAGGAAAACUGAAGCAAAAUGAAAAUGCAGUCAAGAAAUCCUGAAAUUCAUUUAUUGACAAGCAUUUCAACUAGUGUUGAAGAUUCACAAAUCACAGAGUUGGAAGUCGGAACAAAGAAGGCUAGCCUAUCAAAAGUACAUAUUGAACGACUGAUGCAUCCACUUCUUAUUUUCUACCUACAAUGCUGUUUUUUUGCCAGAGUUCUCUUUUAAGAAAUUCUUACAACUAAUCUAUCACCCUUAGUAAUGAUGCUUAUGACCAUGUUGAAAACCAAUAGUUUUAUCAACAAAACAAAGGAAGAUGUUCAUCAAAUCAUGUUGACAGGAGCUUAAUGUAGAAUCAAUAAUAAAAAUCAGAUGAAAGGUGCAGACAAUAUACCAUCUCAGGAACAUAUUCCAUUUCUCCUUUCACUUUCAAGCUCAUGAUCUUGAACUUUACCCUGCUCUUCUGAUCCAGUAGUCUCUCAUUGUUCUCUGGAGGCUCCACAAACUUGAAUACUGUUGGCAAGUAAUGAUUCAGAAUGAUAAUUCCCUAAAAUCAAAAUGUAUACAGCGCACAUGGUCCCUGAUCAUUUAAUUGGGCACAAUGAACAAGAUAGGUGGUGGAGGAGCAUUGAUUACCAGUUGCAAUAAGACUUUCACCAGGUGCAAGUAUAGCCCCGGGAGGACGCAUGUAACAGCUCUUUGGUGCAGUUGUUUGGAACUACAACAGCCAUCAUAUCACCAAUAAUUCCCAAAAAAAUGAUAAACAUAAAAAGCAUUGAUAAAAAAAAAAAGUUGACAGAUUAGUCAUACCUUGAAAGCUACAUGAGACUUGCUAGUGUUUUUUAUGCCAAUGGCACUCCUAACCUGUUUUCCUGGUUCAUCUUCAAUACAAUAAGAUUGAAACAAAUUAAGUACCAAGCAAACACAAAUCCAGUUCGUUGCAAAAUUUACAGUAAUGGAAACACACAUAAAGUAACCCCAGAAAUAGCAAGAUCAAUCAAGAAAAACUAGUCCAUCUGUAUAAUGAUAGCUUCAAAUGUGAAAGCCAAUAAUAAUAAUAAAUAAAUAAAAGAUUUCUCAGCUCCAAGUACAUUAAUCAAGAAAAGUUGGAUGAUUAGCUUUUUGAUAUACAAUGAGCAAACCCAAUAAGGUUUCUUAAACUUGUUUGAUUUUGACCACUAAAGAACAAUCAAUCUGUUUUCAUAAGGACUAGACAUUAUCAUCCUCAAAAAGUUCAUUUCCCUUCAAUAAAUUAACCCCCCCUCCUCAGAUCAUCACAAACAACAAAUGAAUCUAUUAAUCACAGUUCAUAUCAAGUAAAACAUGCAGACGACAAUCUAAGCUGUGUAAUCUAUAACAUCGACAAGUCAGAAUAUCUUUGCUUGAAAUAAAAACAAAGAAACCCAGAUCACACAAACUAAAGAAAAAAAAGUAAAAAAGAGUCCAAGUUGUGCAUACAGAACAAAAACCAAAAGAAUAUAGACAACAAAAAGAACCCGAAACCUUAGUACUUACAAGGGAAGAAGAGCUUGUUAGGAGGAUCAAGCCUGAGUCUUCUUCUAGUAGGCAACAAAGACUUGGUAACAAAAGACAUUGCAUUUGUUGAAUAAUAAAGACUUGAUCUUGCCUCUCCAAGCUGGUUACUUUGGUUCUGCUGACAACCAUUGUUGCCAUUACUGUUAUUACUGCUCAUGGAACUUGAAGAUGUUGAAGAAGAAGAAGUGGUGGUGUUAGUUGAAGAAGAAGUGGCAUUGCCAUUGCCAGUGCCAGUGCCAGUGCUUGUUUGCCAAAAAGGCAUUUUGCAAAGACUAAACUUUCAUUUCACUCUCUGCUUAAAAGAUGGAAAAUUUGAGUAGUUAUUUUUUUGGGGGGGUUUUGUACUUUAGUUAUAUUUUCUAUUUUUACUAUAAUAAUAAUAAUAAUAAUAAUAAUAAUAAUAAUGGAUUGUUAGUUGUCACAAUCAUUAAACUUGAUCUCGCAGGUCUACUUGGAGUGUGUUUAGCUUAUGUUUGGAAUUUUGUUUCGGUGUAUCUGAUUUAAAAACAUAUUAAAUUAAUAUUUUUAGAAAGUUUUAAUGUAUUAAUAUUAAAAAUAAAAAAAUAUUUUAAUAUAUUUUUAAAUAAAAAAUACUCUUAAAAAACAUUUUAUACCACAAUAUUAUACACACACUUAGACUCGAUCAACCUGUCAUAAGGUAUAAUUUGGUUUGAUUAAGUUAGCAGAUCAAAACUUAAUUAAAUUUAUCUGGGGAUAGAUUUAGUAAUUAUUUUUUAAAAUAAUUUUUAUUUGAAAAUAUAUUAAAAUAAAUCAACAUAUCAAAAUAAUUUAAAAAUAAAAAUCAAAGUAAAAAGUUUUUUAAGAGUUUUUAUAACAGUAUUUUUAAUGCAAUAACAAACACGUUCUAAUCUGGUUUUUUUUUUCACAUGCUUCCAUCUUUUUGGUUUUUAGAAUCUACCCAGUCCAUAUAUCCUAUUAAUUUACAGUAUAUUUUUCAGGAAAUUUAUAUUAGACUUGGGGAAUCUUUAUAAAAAUUAUUUUAGAAUCAAACUCUAAAAAUACAUUGAGUGAAAUUAUAUAUAACGAUGCACACCAAAGAAAAUUUUAUUGUCUCAAUGAAAAAUUAAAAAAUUUACUUUUGCUUGAAAUGAGCCUUGGAUGUCACUUUUGCUUUCAAAUGGAGACUCUCUUUAAUUUUAUUACUUUAAGAAAUAUAACUCGUUUAGCAUUACAGUCUAAUUGUUUUUUUAAAAAAAAAUUAUUAUUUUUUAGUUUCAAAUUAUUAUUUUUAUAUACAAGUAUCAAAAAUUAAUUUUAAAAAAUAAAAAUAACUAUUUUAAUACAUUUCUAUAAAAAAUUAUUUUAAAAAACAACAUAACACUUACUUUUUAUUUAUAUAUAUGCUUUAUCUUAAAAAGAAUGGAUAAUAGACUUUAGACCCGAAGAAAGCAUCUAAAACAUCAUGAUUUGCUAUGAUGUUGGAAACAUGAUCUUGUGGAAACGUUAAAAUAACAACACGGGAACACACACACUGAUGCUCCCAUGUGGCCCUCUUGCAAGAAAAGCAUCUCUCUUCCAUGAUUUCAUUUCGGUGAUUCAUUCAAAAUAUUUUGCGGGCAAUGAUUUAACCCAACCAGACGCAUAUGGCACUAGAUGGCCUGCUGGGUUCUAGUCACACAACCUUUGUAGAAAGUGACUUUACUCUUACAAAUCUUUUGACAUGGUCAAUGAAGGAUGGAUUCCCUUGGAUCUUGCCAUUGGACUAAUCAUCAUAGUUAAAGAUGUGAUAGGAUAACAAUCAACAAGGAAGCAAUGGCGAGUGGAAAAGGAAAUUUAAGAUAAGGAUUAGGGUCAUGAUCACUUGUAGGUGAGAGGCGAUCCCUAAGAACACCAAAGAUGCUGUUCUUAGGGAUUCUUCAGAUUGAUUUAGCCUUUUCUCUUUACUUCUAUAUAUUUUUGAAGCUGUAGUUGCUUGUGGAGGUGGUGAUCCUGCUGCUGCUGCACUUCCCACUUGAGUAGGCUUUGAGGAGGAUCCCGUGUUGUUAAUGACAUGUUGAUGGUGCAAGGAUUUCAUGGCAGGAUUUAGCCUUCACUUAUUUUUAUCUCUCAACUCCUCCACAGCUGCCCAAACCUUGCUCUUCCACCUCAUUGUACUAAAAGAAAAUGGACCAGUUAAGAAUCAUGCAAGACUCAAUACAGCUGAAAUUCCAUGCCUGUUGUUUUAGCGAAAUUGAGAGUAAUUUAUUUGUGUUACAUCUAGUGUUCCAUGCAAGAUUAGGUUAGCCAGAUCCCGAAUUGAUCCAUCAGUCGUAAUUAAAACUAGAAAAAGUUCCUUGCAAAUUAACUUUUUUUUAAAUUAUCCAGGAGCAUUUCUAGGAGAUUAGCCAAAGCAUCCUCCCGUGAUUCAUGUGGUGAUGUUUGAAUGAGAUUUAUAUUCAAAAUUUAUGUGAAAAAUUACAUUAAGUAAUUUUAUGAAUUCAAAAUUUAUGAAGCAUAAAUAAUUGUAAAAAAAACAAAUACUCUAUUUGAUGUACAAUAAUUUUAUAUUUUUGUGAAGUUUAAUUUGUACCAUAACAAUUUAAUUUUAAAUUCAAAGGAAAAAAAAACUUCAUUUCAUUUUCUUUAAUUUUAAUGUUUUUUCUCCUAAGCGGAUCCUCUUUAAGAAAAUUUAAUAAUACCUUUCCUAUGUGCUAUAUAUAUUACUUUCUGAAUUCAGGGCGCCGCUAAUUUAUUUUUUAUUUUAAUUUCAGAUAUCCUAUUUAAAAUAGCUGAUCAUGACUUUCAGCACAAAAGGAUAUCAUUUUCUUCUUGGAGAAAACACAAGAGGAUAUUAUUGAUAUUUAUAAUAUUAUUAAAUGUUAAUAAAAUACUAUAAGUUAUAAUUUAUCAUAUAAAAGGAAUCGUCUAUAAUUUAUUUUCAAUUUCAAAUUAAUAUAGGUUGUGAAAAAUAAAAUUUAAGUAACUUUUUUUAUCAAUACAUGAAUAGCAGUUUAUAAUCAGAUUAAAGAUUUAUAUAAUUUAAUAAACAAAAAAUGACAGAUUAAUUUACAAUUGAUGGUCCUGGAGUAGAAUCUGAUCAUGGCUGAUCAAAAUCUUUGAUGGGAACUCUACAAACAGUUUGAUCUUUGUCAUCUAUAACCACAACAACCUCAGUAGGGACCCCAACAACUUAAGUACAUGACGGUCCUUAGUGACUCCUCUGAUUGCUUUGCCUUCUGAUUUUCUCUUACUUUACUUGAAACCACGUUAGAAGUCGGAGAAGACAGCUUCUUGGCCUUAGACAUUGACCUAACUUUGUUCUUGGCAUGAUGGUGUAAUAAUCUAAUUGUGUAGUUCCAUCUGCAAAACCCUUGAUCUUUCAUUGCCUCCACAGCUGCAAUACCAAAGGCUACCAUCCAAGCUUUGCUUGUUGAACUCAUUUUUUUUCUAUUUUCUUCUCUGUACUAGAACAGAAGGAUGGAGGCUCUUUUAGUUCAGGAAGACGAGGUAUAAUCUAUCGAGCUUUUGUGCUUGAUGGUGAAAAUGGUAAGCAGGGGUUUGCUUAUAUAGACAGUACAGAAGGGGCCAGAAGCUUUGGGAGAAAACUAGAGCCUACAAGAUCAGGAUGUUAGCUGCUGGUUUAGGCAAAGUGGAAGCCAAAGAGAUGUUUUCUUGUGUUUUUUAUUAGUGGGGUCGUGUUAGGAUAAGAUUUUCAUUAAUGUCAAAAACUACAAGUCGGAGCUAGAAAAUGGUAUCUCAAGCACACUUUUUUUUAAAUCAUGAAAAGGCUAGCGUGUGAGUUGUUGCUGAUGAGCACCACACGGUUUUCCUAUGUAAAAAUCCCAUUAUUUUCUUUGAAUAGUCGAUUACCAUGCGUUCAUUGCAUGUGUCACCAGAACCAAGGUCUCAACUCUCAACAAUGGGGGCAGAUUUUACUACAUUUAUUGUUUGAUUAUGGAACAGUUUUUUUAAAAUGUUUUUUAUUUAAAAAUAUAUUAAAAUAAUAUUUUUUUAAAAAAAAAUUAAUAUCAACAUAUUAAAACAAUUUAAAAAUAUAAAAUUUUAAUUUGAAGUAAAGAAAAAAUAAAACUUUUUAAUUUUUUAAAUACUUUUAAAACACAAAAACAAAAAGAUUUUUAUUGGUUAGAAAAUAGCAAUUUACCCUUUUAUUUUUGUUUCUAUCUAAAUUACUCCAAACUUUAUUGAUAUUGAUUUUGAAUUCAUUCUAUGGAAUUUGGUAAGUGUUAAAAGUUAAUAUUAAAUUAUUUUUAAGAGUUUGAUUAUAAAUUUAAUUUUUUAAUAUAUAUAUAUAUAUAUAUAUAUUAGAAUAUUUUUAAUUAAAUAGUGAAAAUUUAAAUCUCUCAAGAAAAUUGGUCGGAAUAAGUUUCAAGUCCAAAUUCUUUAUUUUAAAUUAAUAAUUUAUCACAAUUUUUAUUUAAGAUUUUUUAUUUUUUUUUAACUGUCUUCUUGUUAAAUUUCAUUGAUAACCCCAAACGUUUAAAUUUAAUAAUUUACUGAACUGCAACUCUAAUGGUGAAUAUUGAAAGGAAAUAAAGUUAUGAGUAGUCUGUUGAUGUGAGAUUUGCGUUGGAAAAAAAUGAGUUUAGAUGGCUUGAAAACGCAAAAAGACGUUGAUGAUCAAAAUACACAAGUUAAAUUUUGGCGAAAACCUAUCAAGUUCUCUAUGUAAUUUAUUUUUCAAAAAAAUCACAUUAUCACCAUAACAAAAAUAGAUUUUAAUAGAAUUUAUCAAAAAAGAGCCUUAUUAAAUAAAUGUUAUGAUAGAAUAUAUAUAUUCCACUGUAUGAUAUCAUGAUUUCCUCCAUCAUUGUAAACCUUUCAAAGCUCUUCCAUUAUAUAUAGGUUCAAAAUUUACAAUUUUUAUAUGAACUGGCAGCGUUAAAAACAUUUUCCCCCAUCAUUAGCAAUUUAUUCAACAACAAUCGAUUGAAAUACAAUUGCUGCUGAUGAUAAAUUAAGCUGGUCGAGAUAAUCAUAAUCGUUGAUGGGUUCCAGACCCAGAAGCAGUUGGCCUUGUGAUCUCUGUUCAGACAAGUGUCCCUUGGAGCUCUUUGGUUGCCUCUUUGUGGUCACCAAUCCAUGAAUAUAGUUCCUCUGCUAGUAGUUCAGUAAUCAACUAGUAAGGACCCCAACAACUUAAGUACAUGACUUUCCUCAGUGACUCCUCUGAUUGCUUUGCUUUCUGAUUUUCUCUUACUUUACGAGAAAUCACAGUAGAAGCUGGAGAAGAGAGCUUCUUGGUCUGAGAGAUUGACUUCACUUGGUUCUUGGCAUGAUGGUGUAGUGAUCUUAUUGUGUAGUUCCAUCUACAGAACCCUUGAUCUUUCAAGGCCUCCACAGCUGCCAUACUAGCGGCUACAGCCCAAGCUCUGCUUGCCGAACUCAUUUUUCUACUUUCUUUCUUUGUUUGUACUAGUAGAACAACAACAAAAAUGGAGAAAUUUUUAGUUGAAAAAGAUGAGAAGUAAUUGAGAAUUCGUGUUUGAUGGUUCAAAUGGUAUACUGGGAUUUGCUUAUAUAGAGUCUAAGGGGCCGUAAGCUUGAAGGAAACCAGAAACUAGGUACAGGCUGCAGCUGGUGGUUUUGGCUUGAGAAAGCCAAUGGUAUUAUUUUAAGGACCCCUCACUUGAUGGCAUAAAUCACUAAGCAGACAGUGACAAUAAAUAAAUAAAUAAAUAAAAAUUGGGAGUUUUUAAUACAUUUUAGCAUGUUCGAUCAUGACAAAGCAUGGAUGUGACUUGUACUAGGAGGAUGUUUUGCGUUGAAUUGUAGUUUUGUAGAUUUUUAAAUUUUUGAAAUUAUUAUGUUAAUAUUAAAAAUAAAUUUCAAUAAAUAUAAAGAUAUUAUUUUAAUAUAUUUUUAAAUAAAAAAUUUUAAAAACAACCUCACCACUAAUGGCCACUCAAUUUUGCUUUAUAAAAAUCCAAAUUGAGCCUAACUAUUGGAGGCAAAUCCAUGUUCAAGAGCGAGGCUAGAAGGAUAGAAUUUUAACUUCUUUCUAGGUGUCUACUCAAAACCAGAAAAAGGACACGAGGGCAUCCUCAAGAUUUUAAUAUAAAGGUAGAUGCUGUGUAUAUAGGUAUUUAACCUUACUCGGGGUGUACGCGGCUAACAAAUGAGAUUUUUAUUUUUUUCAGUCAAUUUAGGUUGAUUUAUAUUAAAUAAAAAAAAAUAAAAAAAUAGGAUAAGUAUACAUAUAAACUAUAUAAAUAUAUAAAAAAAAAAUUUCUUAACUUUUUGAUGUGGUAUGACUAUCACAUGAAAAUGUUAAAAAACAUUUCUUGUAUUUUAUGACUAUAUAUAUAGAACAUUUCAUAUAGAUGUAAAUUUUAUAUAUAAACAUUUCAUGUUUUUAUGAUUAUAUAUAUAGCUAUCACACGUAGAAAAGUUAAUGAACAUUUCAUAUAAAUAUAAACUUUAUGUAUAACUAGUUAUCGUGCAUGGAAAUAUUAAGAAACAAUUAAUGGGAUUUAGGUUAUAAAUAUAGCUCUUUCAUAUGAAAAAGUUAAAAAUAUUUUAUGAGGAUGUAAGUUAUAGAAAAAAAAUAUAUAAGACCAAGUAAUCACAAAUUAACUUUAUAUUUUUUGGGUUUUAUUUAAAAAAAAUGUAAAAAAAGAGAGCUCGGGUCUCACCCGGGUUAAGCCAGGUUACCUUAGUUUUGAGUUGAUCCGGCGGAUCACUUGGGUUUUACCAGGCUAAUUACAAGCUCGGGUUUAUAUCAUUUAAAACCCCGCUAAGGCCCUGGAUAGCCGGGUCCUAGGUCAACCUGUCAGGUCAGGUUUUAUAUCUAUGGCUAUGUCCUGAAAAUGAAAAGGAAGAAGAAAAAAGAAAAAAAAAAGAUGAAUACAUUUGAGUGCUUUAUCUAUUGGAUAUUAUCAAAUUAAGUCUUACCAUAGAAAGUUUCUUUUAAAAUUAUAACCAAGAACUUAUUUGUUUUAAGAAAUGUCAUUUUAAGCAUAAAUUUUAAUGGUGUGAAUUGAUCGGGUUAUAUUUGAUAAAGAGUUCCAAUUGAGAAAUUUUUAUCAAAUUAGUCAUUAUUAAAAUGGUGAAGGGUAAAUUAGUUUUUUAUAUAUAUUUUUUGCUCAAUAAAAUAACUAGAGAGCCCUUAAAGAAAAAAAAUUAUUGAGUUGGCGUCAAGGACUUAUAAUAUGUCUUUUUACUUUUUUAGACAUAGUAAAAUGAAUAAUAAACCCUUACAAGCAAAAAUUCUUUAACUAAUGCCAAUGAGCUUUUAUGUGUUUUUAUCCUUUUUUUUUUUUGUUAUAAUCAAUUUAAAUUAUGAUAGAUUUGAUCUUUUAAAAUAUAUAAACAUUUUUAAAAAAAUUGGUGAUGCAUGCAUUACACGCGUCAACGCAUAGAUCGUUCUCGUGUUGUGUUGGGUUAUGCAUGCUGCAGUGUUUGGCGGUUAAAUGGUGACUUCUAAGGGUAGCAGUCAAAUCAUCUCUACAGCCCCUCCAUCCCUGGGCAGUGCAUGUAACCAAUGAACUUUUGAUUUGACGCCAAUGAUCCUUUUUUUUCUUUCUCUCCUCCUCGAUUUCACAUUGACCCUUUAAGUUUUCAAAUCAACUCCUUAAUUUAUUUUUCUUUCAUAUUUAGUUCGUGUUCUUUUGAUUACUAUUUAUUUUAUUUAAAAUAAUUUAUAUAAUUGAAAUUUGUUUUUCAAUUGCAUUCUCUUUUAAUUUUUUUCAUAGGUUAGAUUUGGUCUUAUUAUUUAGAUUGCUAUUUGUUUUAUUUAAAAUGAUCUGUAAAAUUGAUUUUUUUUACUAUUUUAUCCCCAUGUUAUUUUUUCAUGUUAGAUUUGAUCCUUAUUUUUUAUUGCUAUUUUUUCUACUUUGACAAAUUUUCUAAAUUGAUAUUUUUUUUAUUUCAUCUUUCAACAUUAAAUUGGUUGGAAAUUAAGUUUCUAUAUUGACCUUGAGUUUAGGAUUUUAUAGGUUGCGAACUUGGCGGAUUAACCUAAAUUUAAGAGAUUCGCACAUGUUUGCUUUUAUUAAACUCAUUUUUCUUAUUUGCUUUCUAUAGAAAUUUUCAUUAGUUUUAAAAAUAAUUCAGGUUAUCUCGAGUCUCUUUAUUUGUUAUUUGUUUUGUUAGAUUUAGAUUUUAUUGAGAGAAAUUAUGUUUUUUUAUUAAAUUAAAUAAAUUGAUUAAAUAUAAGUAUGGAAUGCUUACUUCAUGGUUUUUCAUUGAUUUUCUUUCUAAGUUAUUGCUCUUAUUGCACGUGCAGCCUCUUUCAUUGUCGUCAUCAACCUUUCACGGUGGCAUUAGAACUGUCUCGGUAAGCUUUUUUUGGUGGUAAGAUGAUGUUCAUGGAAGAGCAACGGUGAGUCUAUCAGGCUAUUCUUUUUUUUUUAUUAUUCCAAGUAUUAUAUUGACAACUUAUUUUUUUAUAACUAGCUAAUUAUUUUUAUUUUUUGUUUUAUUUUUUGUUGAUAUUUUUUAAAAUUAUAUUAUUAAAUUAACCGAGUUUUUUAACCCAAUCAAAUUAAUGACUCGAGUCUCAGUUUUUUUUUAAUUUAUUUAUUAUUAUUAUAUUUUUUAUUCAUAUUAUUUAAAUUAAUCAAACUUAUUAGAUAGAAUAAAAACAAUACAAUGAACCUAAUCUCAAUUUUAUUUUUUAAUAUUUAUAACACUUGCAUUAUCUUAUUGAAAAAAAUAUUAAGGCGGCACGGGCCGCCCGUUUAUGUCCUGAACAUUAUCUAUCUUUCAAAAAGCAUUUGAAAUUGAAGAUUAAAAAACUCAAAACUUUAAAUUAAUCUUUAAUUUGUUAAAGUUCGACUUGAAUGAUGAUUGGAGAUGAAGUCAUGUUUGGGAUAUUGCGGGCACGAUCGAAUACGCAAAUUAACGGCAGCUAUACUAAGUUUUGGUGAAAUCUUUAUCAAGUUUUUUAUGCAAAUUAUUUUCCAAAAAUCAUUUUAUUUUUCAAUAAACAAACAGAACAUAAACACAGUCUGAAAUGCCGCCGCCUCCAAUUGACGAAUUGAAAAGCUAGUCCCAUCUACCCUUUUUUUUUUUAAAAAAAAAAAACACCUUGAUUGAUAAAAUUGUUAGAUAUAUGUAUCAGAAUUGCAUAAACUACUAAUUAAUCGAGUUUUAUCAUGAAACUAUAUUGUAUAAAGGUUGGAUUGGUUACUAAAUUUCUCCUUUUUUUUCAUAUAUAUGAACGAGAAAGAGUUGACUAGAUAAUUAUACUGCACUCUAUAAUAUUACUUUGAUCAUAGUAAGGCUCUUACAUUACAGGUUGAUUAUGUACAAAAUUCAGCAAAAAAAGUACAAUUUACAUCAACAUGCAGAAAUUAAGAAAAUUUUCUCCCAUCAUCUAGCAAUUCAUUAAACUACAAUAUUCCAUUUAAAAACAAUUGCUAGAGCAGAAUCUGAUUGUUGAUAAGCAGUCGACCUUGCCUUCGAAACUCUUUGAUUGCCUCUUUGCUGUCACCAUUCCAUGACCAUAGUUCCUCUGCUAGCUAGUAGUUUAUCAAAUAACUAGUAAGGACCCCAGCAACUCAAGUACAUGACUCUCCUCAGGGACUCCUCUGCUUGCGUUGCUUUCUGAUUUUCUUUUACUUUACUUGAAACCACAGUACUAGAAGUUGGAGAAGACAGCUUCUUGGCCUGAGAGAUUGACUUGACUUGGUUCUUGGCAUUCUGAUGGAACGAUCUUGCUGAAAUCAUCUUUCUUUACCCUUUCUUUGCACUAGAACAACAACAAAAAAGGACAAUUUUUAGUUGAGAAAGAUAAGAUGUAAUAUAAGAUUUUGUUUGAUGGUGCGACCAAGCCUAGGUUUUGCUUAUAUAGAGAGUAGAGGCCCAAAGGUUUGGAGGAAACCAAAAACUAGCACAAGUUGUCGAUGGUGGUUUCGGCUGAAGUGAGAAAGCCAAUGGUAUUAUUUAGUAGACGGGAUGAAUCUAAUACCUAGGAAGGACCAUUCUUUCUUGAACGAGGAAGGACCAUUUGGCUGCCUAAAAUACAGAGGAGGAGGAGGAAAUCGGGGAUCAUGACAAAACUAGAAUGGGACUUGUUUACGAAAGGUAAAGGCACUCGGUUUUUGUUCAUGAGAGGGGAUAGAAGGAUAAGAAUUCUUGGCAUUUGUCUGGACGUCUACUCAAAAACAGUAUAGGAUCACAUCAUGAACACAAUAAUUGUGAAUCCAUCCAUAUCAAAAACAUCUAAAUUCAAUACUUAAAUUAUUAAAUAAAAUUAAGAUAUAAUUUAUAUUAUUUUUUAAUAUAUAUAUUUAAAUGAAAGCUAUUUGAACUUAAAAUUUAUACAACUUUAUAUUAUUUUUUGCUUGAUUUUUAUGAAAUAAAUAGGGAUGAUAAGAUUUGAACUCGUGACUACUUGGUCAUCAAGGCUCUGAUACCAUGUCAAAAAACCAUUUCAACCCAAUAAUUUAAAUUCUUAAAUGAGGUCCCAGAAUAUAAUUUAUAUUAUUUUUUAACAAUCUAUAUAUCACUAAAAAGAUAAAUAAAUAAGUAAAAUUUAAGGAAAAAACAGUUCUCAAGUUUUGAUAAUUAUUAUUAAAUCUGAAUCAAGUUAAUUUUUUUUUUAAAUAGAUGAUAAUUAACUUAGUUAAACUAAAAAAUAUGAUCGAUCAAAUUAUCACCCGAUUGAAUUAGUUUCAAAGUUGACUUAAUUUAAAAAGUAAAUUAAAUAAUAUCAUUUUAAUUAAUAAAAUCAAUUCGAAUUAUAUAACUUGUUUAAUCCAAAUCUUAAAAUAAGUUAUUAGCAUAUCCAAUUUAAUAACUUUAGUUGCAAGGGGUUCAAAAAAGAAAAAAUGACUCGCGAUGCAUAAUGUUGAUAUGGAAACGACGUGGACUGUGAUCAGAAAAUAUAUUGGUUUUCUUAUUUUACGAAAGAUUAUGAAUAAUUACUCCAAAUAUUUGUUCUAACUUGUGAAUUCCUUUUACAGAGCUUUAAACUCCGGCGCUAUGCCAUGGGUUGUAGCAGAUUUUAAGGAAAAAAAAAUUAUUUAGAUAUUAGUAAUAUGUUUUUUAAAUAAAUUAAAUUCUAACUAUAAAUAAUAAUGAUAUUUUUAUUUAAUAUUGAAAUAGAAAAACAUUUAAUUUACCUAGGUUAACAUGCAUUCACCUAUGAAAUUUAUAGGGAUAAUCUUGAAAAAAAAACAAAUUGAAAAUUCAAUCAUAAAUUAACUUAAUGUUGAAAAAUAAAAUCGGUAAAAAAAUAGCAUUUAAUUAAAAAAAUUAAGUCAACUCGAAUCGGCCAGUCAAACUCACAGCGCAAAUCAUGUUAGUCAUCAGAUUCAAUAAAUUUUUUAUCCCAAAAAUUAUUUUUCAUUUAAUUAUAUAACAAUAAAGCACAUGAUAAUUUUUUUUGUAUAAAAACAUUUGUUUUAAGUAACAAAAUCAUAAUAACGCUAGGAUAACAAAAGUAGAUCAUUGAUAAUAAAUAAUAAAAUUAAAAUUAUAUUUUUUUAGGUUGGGGUUUAAAAAAAUAGAUCAUCGAUAAUAAAAAAUUAUUUUUUUAAAAGCUAAAAAGAAUUUAAAAAAAUAAAUAAAUAAUAACAUUGUUAAACUUGUAACCUACAUUCUAAACUUAAUUAAAUUUAAUAAUUUUUUUAAUCAAAAUAUAAAAUAACAAAAAAACAAAAAAUUUAAAAGAAGCUCAAACACGCAAGUCUUCCAGCCCAGUUCUUAAAAGUUUAUUUUUAAACAAAGACAACGAACUACAUUUGUUUUUUUCAGAAUCCGUCAAUCAAAUGUCACUGAAAAUGAAAAUAGAACCUAUUAAAACUAAUUUACACUCUCUAUUGAGAAUCCAAGAAUCCUCUCUCCUUUGAUAUUUAUAAAAAAAAAACUAAAAAAAACUAAAUUUUAAUAUCAAAAUUAAAUUUAGAACCAACAAUCUAUAAAACAAAAAAAUAUAAAAGACCCAGAUAAACUUUUUAUAUAAAAUUCAAAAUCAUUAUUUAUUUUACCUUUUCUUUUUCCUUUUAAUCCAAUCAUCUCUUUCGAAAAAGUAAACAGUGCAUCUUCAACAUUGAAAACCCCACGCGGUUUCAUUUUUGUUAAUUAAUUACAUCAUGUUACUCAAGACUUGACUGCAGCCUAACCCCAAUAUAUAAACUUAUAGUAGAAAGUGUCGUGUUAGGUUCAUCCACUCUGCCACAGUCCAAGUUUCAUGAAGGAACACAAGUUUUGACGUUGCAGUAAUUAAUCCCCAUGGGCUAAAAGGAGAGAACAAGACUUUAAUCCACUCAUGUAAUUAGCUUAUUGAUUCAAUUGAGUCUUCAUUUUAAAUGCCGUUUCAUUCUGAAAAAUUACAAUUUACAUCACUUGCAAAUUGUUGCAGCAAUGGAAGGAAUUUGCUCCCAUCAUUCAGCAAUUCAUUGGACUACAAUUGGUUGAAACAUAUAUUGCUAGAGCAUAACAUUCAAAUGAAGCUGAAUAAUCGUUGAUGGGUUCCAGCGUCCACCGCCAUAAGAAGUCGGCCUUGUCAUGUUUCUCCAAAUGAGUCUCUCUUGGAAAGACUUCGAUUGUCUCUAUGCUGCAACCAGUCCAUGCAUGGCCAUAGUUACUUGCUGGUAGUUUACUGCCUAGCUAGUAAGGACCCCAGCAACUUAAGUACAUGACCUGCCUCAGUGACUCCUCGGAUUGCCUUGCUUUCUGAUUUUCUCUUACUUUACUUGCAACCACAGUAGAAACUGGAGAAGAGAGCUUCUUGGGCAGAGAGGAUGACCUGCCUUGGUUCUUGGCAUGUUGGUAUAGUGAUCUUAUUGUGUAGUUCCAUCUGCAAAAUCCUUGAUCUUUCAAAGCCUCCACAGCUGCAAUACUAGUGGCAACAGCCCAAGCUUUGCUUGUUGAACUCAUUUUUCUAUUUCUUUUGAUUGAACUGAACAGCUAGAAGAUGGACAACGUUUUGAAAAAGUUGAGAUGUAAUUGAGAAGGGAAAUUAUGUUUGAUGGUGUAGAUGACAAGCUGGGAUUGCUUAUAUAGAGAGGAGGGGACUAGGGGACCAGAAAAUUGGAGGAAACCGGAAGCCAGGGAUAAGCUGUGGCUGGUGGUUUUGGCAUAAGUUAAAGCCAAUGGUAUUAUUUUAGUGCAGUUAGGCUAGGAUGGGACUGAAUCUUUAUGUCUAUCAAGGACCACUUGGUGCCAUUAAAUACAAAUGGAGAAAAAAUGGGGGAUUUCUUUUUCAUGCAUCUUAUCAUAUUCAAUGACGACAAAGCUGGAGUGGGGACUCGUUUUGGUAAGAGGCACGCGGUUUGCUUUAUAAAAAUCAAAAUUGAGCCUCAAGUAUUGGAGGCAAAUCCACUUGUUUUUCUUUAAUAGUGGGGCUGGAAGGAUAGCAUUUUAGCAUUUGUCCAGGCAUCUACUCAAAAACAGGGAACGGACAGGAUUACCUCCUGAAGACAAUAAUAAGUGUAGAUCCAUUGCAUGUAUCACAAGAUACGAUUUUUUUUCCAAAAUAACAAUCGUGGCAAAAAAAUUAAUUGUUAUGUAUCACAGUUGAGAACAAAAAAAAUUAAAGAACCAGCACAUUAUAACUAGCCGUGUUACGGGAAAAAAAAAAAAGAUAUAUUGGAAAUGAGCUAAUAAAAACAAAACAAUUGACAAAUUAACAGAGAAACAAAAUUUUUAAUGAAAUUGUAUAUUUUCACUUUAUUGCGUUUUAAAAUACAAUAUUUAUUAAAUAUUAUUAUUUUUAAAAGAGAAAAUAAUUAUCACGUUUUAAAAUAAUAACAUUUAAUAAAUAUCAUGCUUCUGAAGCACGACAAGGUAAAAUUUCAAUUAUAUAACUCAAUUGGUUGAUCGAUUCAUAAUGAUCAGUGAAAUUGAUCGACUAAUUCUAAAAAUAACAAAAAAAAUAUUAAAACUACUAAAUUUGAGGGGCCUCAACUAGAUUUUUUAUAUCUAAAGAUUUAAUGGUUCACAUAGCAACACAGUGACUACUAUAGAGAAAACGGCCUUUUAAAACUACUAUAAAGAAUUUGAGCGUCUAAUUAGAAGUUAUGGUCCUAUUAAGAGUUAUUUUGGUCUGACAUGAUUAGACCUUCUCUUUAAGUUUAGAUUUAUCUCAUUGAUUCAUAAAUACAUCUGUUAGGUUGUUCAAGUACUAUGCUUGGGCCAAAACUCAUUCAGUUAUAGUAGACUCACAUCUGACUGCUUAGAAUCACAUAUUAUCGCAAAUCCAACUACAUCAUUGACAUUGAAAAACAUAGGACAAGCAUUUUGCAUACGAUAACAUUUUGAGAUUUUAAUUGGAGUCUAUUUUUUAGUCUACAAGUUGAAUAAAAAUAUAUAUCUUGACUCUUAAAAUAUAUUUGGAAGAAAAAAUUCAUUAAAUUAUAGUUUUUAUAUAAAACAAUCGACCAAUUCAUACAACUAAAUUUAAUUAGUCAACCACUUGAGCCAGGUGAUUGGAGAUU
rnacentral:lncRNA from 1 species